AACCAGCCUCCUCCUCCUCCUACACCACCACUACCACCGCCAUCACCACGCACCGCGGCCGUGGCCGCCACCAUGCAACCCUCUCAACCUCCUCCUCUCGAUGAAAAUUACUUGCGAGAUGACGCAAGUCGCCAGAAUGCGAAGACUUGCUCUCCUCUCUCCCUUCGGAAGAGGACUGGGUCCCCACCUCUCUCCCUUUCGAAGAGGACUGUGUCCCCUCCUCUCUCCGCUUGUACCAGGGUUUCUGGUUCCCCUCUUGGCUCUUGAACAGCGUCGUCGCUUGCCAAAAUCACUUCCAAGCUCACCCCUCCGACAUCCUCCUCGUCACCAGCCCGAAAUGUGGCACCACCUGGCUAAAGGCCAUCCUCUUCGCUCUCUUGAACCGUGCCAAGUACUCUGACUCCUACUCACAACCACGCCACCCUCUCCUAACCCAAAACCCCCACGACCUCGUGUCCUUCUUGGAGUUCGGGCUCUAUCUCCAGAAUAAAAAUCCUGAUCUCACUGCUUUUACGUCCCCAAGGCUCUUGGCCAGCCACUUGCCUUAUUCCUUGCUUCCGCGAUCGGUGAGGCACUCCAAUUGCAAGCUGGUUUACUUGUGUAGGAACCCUAAAGACACUUUCAUCUCGAUGUGGCACUACUUCAACAAGUUCAGGCCUGAAGAGAAGGGCCAACUUCCACUCCUAGAGGGCCUCGACAAGUUCUGCAGAGGCAUGAGUGCGUACGGGCCUUACUGGGACCAUGUGCUGGGUUACCACAAGGCGAGCUCGGAGAUGCCCGAGAAGGUGUUGUUUGUGAAGUAUGAGGAGAUGAAAGCGGACCCGAGCGUUCAAGUGAGGAGGUUGGCCGAUUUCAUCGGGCGUCCAUUCAACGAAGAAGAAUUGAGAAACGGGACCAUGGAGGGAAUACUGAGGAUGUGUAGCUUUGACAAUUUAAGUGCAUUGGAGGUGAAUAGGAGCGGCAAGUUGCCGGGUGGAGUAGAGAAGAAGUGGUUCUUCAGGAAGGGCGAGGUUGGAGAUUGGGUGAAUUACAUGAGCGCUGAAAUGGGAGAGCGAAUUGACGGUGUCAUGGAAGAAAAGUUGCAUGGUUCUGGUUUGAAGUUUUAGGACAUAUGACCCACUCGAAGAUAUUUGGUUUGAUGGUGGAAAAGAAAAAUGUGUAAAAAAGGAAGAAAAAAGAAGCAAAAACGAUUCGAUUGUCCACACUUUAGGGGGUCAAUGUCAGGUUGGCCAAUGCGAGCGUGUUUCUGAUGCUAUAGGAUGAAAGAUUUUCAGUGGCAUUGUCAGUCGUGGCUUCGUCUCCAUAGUGAGAUGCUUUAAGGUUGUGAUUCUACUCUUCAUCUGUGUUGUGUAUUAUUAGCGUUUUGCAGAAGUUAUUUGGCCAGUACGUAGCUGGCUAAACAAAAGCUGCCUUGCUGCUCCCUGGGAGCUUGUGGAUGUAUCUUCUGUUAUUCAUUUCAAUUCCAUUUUUCUUUUUCUCUUGGCUGUGUGAAGAUUCGUGGCAUACGGUAUUAAAUACAAAGCAGUUAUUUGGUAGGUUAAACUACAAAUUAUAUUUGUUAGAUGGAAAAUAAAUUUGUUAUUAAACUUAUCGGUCCAGUUUAAUUUGUCGGUUUUCAAAGCCAUAAACUAAAACCAAACGAAAAACCAAAGGAAAAAAAAAUUCCUAAACCAAAAUUAAAACACCAAGGGCGCAUUUGGUAAUGAUUCUAUUUCGGGGAACAAUUUUUUAGCAAAAUAACACGUUUGGUAACUUCCCAAAAUUUAUAUUUUUGGGAUAGAAAUACGUUUGGUAAAAUUUUUAGAUUUUUUAGAUUUUUUAGAUUUUUUUAUUCUUUUACUAUUUUUCCUUAUUUUUUCCUUAUUUUUUUUCAUUUUCCUUUUUCUCUUUGGUCAGUCGUCGGCCACCGGCUGGGCGAUGUCCAGCAAGCUCGCCAGAGCCUCGCCAAGCUUGGGCGAGGCUCAACGAGCUCACCUGAGGCCAGCCUGGCCACAGCGAGCCUCUGCCUCGCUUGAGCGGCGUGAGGUUGGCCUUGCCCUAGCCUGAGAAGGCCCAGCCUCGCACCGAUUGGGGAGGGCGAGCCUUGUUGUUGCCACUCAAGGCUUGUCCUCGCCCAAUUCUGGCAAGGCUGAGCUUGCCUAGCCACCGACGAGGCUUGGCCUCAUUGGGCCACCGCCAGGCGACGCCGUCCUGGAGGUGGCUCGGCAAGGCCGAGCCUUGCCAGUGGUUGGGUGAGCUUGGCCUUGCCAGAUCUAGGUGAGGUCAACCUCACCCAUCCCAGGUGAGGCAAGCCUUGCCAUGCCACACCCAGCCAUGGUGUGGCUUGGGCCGACGAGCCUCGCCGUGGCUUGGCGUCUCUGAGGGCGGGCAACGCUCUAACGAGGUUGCAAGCCCUCGUCUGGCCGGUUGCUAGUGCCAGCCAUGGCCAAGGUUGGCGAUCGGCUAAAAUGAAGAAGAAAAGAAAUAGAAGAGAGAGAGAAAAAUUGAUUCUAGAAAUUGUUAUCGGGAACAAGAAGUUACUUUUUUCAACUUUUUGUUUAUGUUCCAAAUCUAUUCUCAGGAACAAAAAUUUAGAUUUUGUUUUUGUUUUCGGAAACAAAAGUUUUACCAAACACGUUUCUAUUCUUUUUUCGUUCCCUGAAACAAAAGAAUAGAAAUUUUUGUUCCGGGGAACAUAAAUUUUUUUAACAAACAAGCCCUAAAUUGCUAAACUGAGCUUAUCGAUUUUGUUCGGCUCGGUUGAUCGUUUUUUUCUGUUUUUCAUGAACAAUCCUAAUAGCAUAGAUCCUUGCCGAAGCUGGCUAUGGUUGGGCUGUGGCCAUAUUCAUGCGGUUUAUUCUUUAUUCUUUAUUUUUUUAAAACUUUCUUUCAUUUUAUUUUUUAAGAAUUCAUUAAAUUUCAACUGUUCCUCUUGUUUUUGGCUCUUUUAAGUGUUUUGAUAAACCAGCUUGUAGUUUGGUUGACCUCCUUUUUAUAAUGUAUCAAUGAGAAUAAAAAAUUAAUUUUGUCAUGUUCUUUAAUUUACUUUGCCAAUUGCUUGCCAAGUGAUGUCUUUAGCUUCCGCGUCUUUAAUCUUGUCCAUGAUACCUUCGACUUCAUUCUUCAUAUACCCAUUAUGAUUUUUCUCCUCUUUUUGCUGAUCGCCUGUUAACGGCCUAGCCAAGCCCACGCUCUUUCGAUGCUAGACUUCAGCCUACCAUCAAUUUUUCCUUCCAUAGAUGGUGCGCAUGAAGGAAUCAAACCAAAUGAAAAGAAGGCAAACGGUGAUAGAAAACGAGGAAAAGAGGAAACGGAGAAGAGAGAGACAAAGCUUGAGCGCGCAUCUCACGGGAAACUCGCUAAGCCAGGUUAGCCUCAUUUUGCAAUGCCCAAUAAUUAAUCGAACUCGUUAUUCGUCUAAUCAAAAUAAUUUUGGGAAUUAGGCCGCAAAUUUGAAGUUUAAGUGAAUUUUGAACCGUGGUUAAGGAAUUAUUAAGUUAUAUAUGGAAAUGGUCCUGUUUUGUGUGGGCAAAGUUGUGAGCCCACCACAAUGAAUGAGUUUGAAAGAGGGACCCAAGAUUUGACAUGUGCUCUCAUAUCAUAGAGCAAUACCAAAUCAUAAAAUUUAAAACAUUAAAUGAAAGGAGACUACCAGUAUACAAAACAUAUCAAACUCUAAUAAUUUAUGUGAUUUAGAACGAUACUUAAUAGUUUGAAUGGAUGAGACACCAAAUAAUUAUACUGGUGGAGGUAAAGGAUCUCAUUCCAUUUUGGGGUAUCUAUACAUUAUAAAAUUACCCUCCAACUUUACAGAAUCCUGCCAUUUUUAUUCAAUUACAGAAAUUAAUUAAAGUGGCCCAAUUGCAAUGUGGUGAGAGGAUCCAAUUCAAAGACACAUAGUCAAUAGCUCACUAUGUAGUGAAAAGAGUGACAUCUGGACUCCCGCAUACUUUUUUUUUAAUAAAAAUUGCCAUAAUUUUCCACAUAUGCACUAGCCUUCCUAAUCAGCUAUGCCACAUAAGACGGUUGAUAUUCAUGUUAGUAAUUACUAGCCAAAAUUAGUUGAAAUUGUUGGAAAUUAAUCCCAAGAAUACACACUGUUUGUUGUAGUCAGAACAUCAAUGUAAAGAAGACAAUAACAGUUAUAUAAUAUCCUUCUUUUUAUGUAAAAUUACAAAACUUGAAGAAGAAUAAAAUAAGAUAUUACUGGAAAAAUAACAUAAAAUUGGAGGUGAGGUACGGAUAACCGAAUCUCCUUAAGGCGAUUAGUUCCUGCCAAUGGUGCUCCGCAGAUUCACGAACUAUGCCUCCCAAGAUACAACACCUCGAACCUGUUUGGAUUAGCACUAUGCAAAUAGGACUCAAUCGAACCGUUCAAUUGAACCAUCACAUCCAGAAAAAACAGAAGAGUUGAAACGUAUAUCAAAGCUCUUUUGGAAUCGAGUUAGAAAAACCAAAAACCAAAAACCUUUAUGAAGCUCUAUGCUCAUAUCUAUUUAUAGAGAAUUUUUAGUUCAUGUACUAAAGAGAUACAUGAAUUAAAUAGACGCGUGUAUCCACGAGAUUCAUGAAUAAAGAGAUACGUGAAUCCAAGAGAUUCAUGAACUCAAUAAAUACAUGAACUAAAAGAUACACGGAUCUAAGAAAUUCAUGAAUUCAAUAGAUACGUGAAUAUAAAACUAUAGGAAAUUCAUGAAUCCAAAAUAGAUACGUGAACAAAAAGGACGUAUCUUAAUUUAUUGGCUUUCGUUGAUCCAUUAACCAUAAUUAUAACCAUAAUUACAACAAUCCCCCACAUUAAUGGAUCAACAAAACAUUUUUGACUCGAAGGAAUUUGAGCAUGCCUGUUGAAAUACACUGCAUCAAGAUAGGUAGUUUUCGCUUUGAACCUUCUUUAGUGAAAGCCUAUCUGACUUACUUAACUAGUCGAUGGACUAAGCCUUGAAUCGCCAAUUGUUUGUGUAAGCCUAGACAAUAAACCUCACAUGGAGUAUUUCCAAUUCAAGAUUGGUUCUCGGUUGUGUUCGUUCUUUCAGCCCUGAACCUCUCGGGAUUAAUGUGUGCUUUAGAAAAUCUAGCCUUUAAAGAUUUUCAUAGAGUCGGCCAGCUCCACGCAUAUAGGUGUAUUCCUAUUAAAGAUAUCCUAUCAUAUCUUACUUGGAUGUUAUAUUCCAAGUUAUAGGAAUCAUUAAAUGCAUAGCGUACCCUUAAUAACGCUGUAGGAAAGCACUGUUGCAUCAUAGGAAUGGGAGAUAAUGCUUACACUAGAGUUUCUAGAAUUUGCGUUGUCCUAUUGAACCUAGACCAUGGGAUUUCCAAUCGCAUAGGUUAGGUUUCCACCCUGGAAUCUCUUUAUUGGGUUAAGGCUCUUAAACCCAUUCCCCUCGAUGUGCAGUUUAUCUGCUCUUUUGACAAACUUGUUGUCAGCGAAUCUGCUAUAUUUUCCUUUAACUUUACAAAGUAUAAAAAAUGAUUCUAUUUAGAGCAACUGCCUUACGGUAUUAUGUCUAUGACGAAUGUGUAUAGACUUACCAUUAUAAAUCACAUUAUGCACCCCCACACUUUUAGAAAAUUGUAGGAUAGCAACUUUUCAUUCCAUAACUCGUAUGGAGUUUUACCUGUCUCUUUGUGGGGUAUUUUAUUAAGAAUAUAAUUUGCAGUUAAAACUGCCCCCCCCCCACAAGUUCUGAGGUAAACCUGAACUCAAAAGCAUGGCGUUAGCCUUCUCCUUUAGUGUCAUGUUCAAUCAUUCGGCAACUCCAUUUUGUUGUGGAGUAUAAGGUGCAAUCGUUUGGAGAAUUAUUCCAAAGCUAGCACAAAACUCCUUGAAAUUGAUUGAACUGUAUUCUCCUCCUCUAUUCUGAGGCACAUAAUGAGAUCUUCAAGGCUCAUCUCCUUCCGUUUGCGCUUCAAAUAAUUUUGAAGGCUGACUAGCCCGGAGGCAAUUUCUCAAUCAUAGCCGCCACUUGGAAUGAUUCACUAAGUAUCAUUCCCUCAGCAGAGAUGUCGCUCAGAAUUAAUUGUAAUUCUUAGACCUGACUCAUGACAUAUAUAGAAUCCACUAUCUUGUAGUCCAAGAAUUUGGCAACCACAAAUUUCUUGGUGCCAGCAUCCUCAAUUUUGUAUUUCUUCUCUAAGGACUCCCAUAACUGUUUAGCAGAUUCAAUAUUACAAUAAACGUUAUAUAGAGAAUUCACUAAGUAGUUAAGAAUAUAAUUUAAGUAUAAGAAGUCUCAAUGCUUCCAAGCCUCCAACGCACCAAGUGUCGUGACAUCUUGCUCAUUUGGACUAAUUAUCGGGCACACGUCCGAUAAAUAUUUCGUUAGAUUGAGCAUGGUCAGAUAGAAGAACAUCUUUUGUUGCCACUGUUUAAAGCCCACUCCGGUGAAUUUCUCCGAUUUCUCAUUAGCUGUAACUGGAGGUGUUGCCAUCACAGUAGGCAAGGUUUGUUGAACUACCCUCCAGAACCAGAGCCAAAAGCCAUUUAGCCUAUACUGUUCUAAAAAACAGUCCGGGACAUACCAGUCGUAUGACUUGUACCCACACCACCAAAAUUGGUGUUAGCCCAAGGGCCCGUAGUAUUGGCUACUACAAAUUCAGACCUUGAGGGCUUAAAAUCUUCCAUAGUAAUGGUCGAAUCAACCAUAGGAAUGUCUCCUGAAACAUUAUGGACAUUGAAUGGCACUUGAUUGUUUUCAGCCAUCUCAAUAAUCUGACAAGAACAACAAAUAGUGAGUGAUCUAAUCGCCUUAAGAUUGUUGGAAAUUAAUCCAAAGAAUACACACUGUUUGUUGUAGUUAGAACAUCAAUGUAAAGAAGACGAUAACAAUUAUAUAAUAUUCUUCUUUUUAUGUAAACUUACAAAACUUGAAGAAGAAUACAAUAAGAUAUUACUGGAAAAAUAACAUAAAAUUGGAGGUGAGGUACGGAUAACCGAAUCUCCUUAAGGCGAUUAGUUCCUGCCAAUGGCGCUCCGCAGAUUCACGAACUAUGCCUCUCAAGAUACAAUACCUCGAACCUGUUUGGAUUAGCACUAUGCAAACAAGACUCAGUCGAAUCGUUCAAUUGAACCAGCACACCUAGAAAAAACAGAAAAGUUGAAACGUAUAUCAAAGCUCUUUUGGAAUCGAGUUAGAAAAACCAAAAACCAAAAACCUUUAUGAAGCUCUAUGCUCAUAUCUAUUUAUAGAGAAUUUUUAGUUCAUGUACUAAAGAGAUACGUGAAUUAAAUAAACGCAUGUAUCCAUGAGAUUCAUGAAUAAAGAGAUAUGUGAAUUCAAGAGAUUCAUGUAUCUUUGGAUACAUGAAUUCAAGAGAUUCAUGAACUCAAUAAAUACAUGAACUAAAAGAUACAUGAAUCUAGGAAAUUCAUGAAUUCAAUAGAUACGUGAACAUAAAACUAUAGGAUUUUCAUGAAUCCAAAAGAGAUACGUGAACAAAAAGGACGUAUAUUAAUUUAUUGGCUUUCGUUGAUCCAUUAACCAUAAUUAUAACCAUAAUUACAACAUAAAUGACUAUAUUGACAAAACAUUAAAAGAUUUAAGAUUAAAUUGGUUAAAUUGAAAAGUUUAGGACUGAAUUAACCACCGUAUAAUAGGUUUAUGACUUUUUAAAUAAUUAUCCAUAAUUUUUUCUGUUGAUUGAUAAUGGUUCAUCCUGACAGAGUGAAGUACCACUUACUUUUGAACAGCCAAAAAAUUGAUGAUGCUUACAUAUACAAACGUCAUUACGCUAUGGCUAUAAAUGACUAAAAAAAUGCAAAUAUCUUCACUUACACUAGAUGUACACCAAAUGAACUCAAAAUUGCAUAUCUAACUAAAGAGACAUAUUUUCCUCUAUUCUUGCUAAAGCCAAUCUCAAAGUAGAGGAUUAGACAACCCGCUUGCAUAUUUAACUAUAAAUAAAAUGUGUGCCAUGUCAAACUAUGAUUGGAUGCUCUAACUAGGGUAGCUAAAGAUUUUCUAUGAUGUUCAUUGUUCAUAGGUUAAGAAACAACAGAAUAUGUAACUGGUUUGUAAUACCAAUUCUCACCAAUAAAGAGAAAAACUCAGAAUAAGUAGUUAGAGUAGAGAAUAAAAGUGAAAAUCAUAUUUUUCCCUGACGAGGAGAUUUGGUAGGAUGUUAAUUUCUUGCAUCUUGAUACAUACAAAUGUAAUAUCAUAUAGUAUGAAUUUGGAUGAGUAAAAAUUGAUUUACACGAUGAAAUAAUAGAUCCCAAUGAGUAUCUAAAUUAAGGAGGACGUGUACAUUCAAGCAUCCAAUAAUAGUUUUGACAUAUACACCAAUAAAUAUCGGUCUUUACCAACCUUGGUAUCAUCAAAAUUUUUUUUUUUUAAAGCUGUAGGAAAGCAUCAAAUAAUGCUGGGAGUAUUUAUCUAUUUGGGGUUUUUUUUAUUUAUUUGGAUCGAUAUUAUGAAAUUUCAUCCACGCUACCCCGGAUACGAGCCAACCAACGAAUAUUUCAAUAGGUUUGCUUCGCUUAGUUGAAAAUAGAGUUAAGUGGGCUACCUUUUAAUUGUUAUUAAAGGAUGAACAGGAACCUUCGAAUGUAUUGUUCAAAGUUGACAUGAUACAUAUGCUACUUGUAUAGAAAUUAUAAUUUGCAUUUCGCAAGAUGACAAAACAUAUUUUGCGUAUGAUAAGUUACUUUAUCCCUAUUGAAGAUGACGUUCACUUGGUAUACUAGUCAUCCCGUGAAUUCGAUACAGAAUGCAAAAUGCACCCGGAGAGAAUCCUUGAUACUUUGGGCGUUCAUCACAGUUUUUGGGCUAACAUUAUAAGAGUUAUUUUGCAUACGAUGUUUCGGGCAUUGGGUAAUGGCCAUGGAGGGUUUGACAUGAACAUAAAUUUGGCAUUAGCCACCAGAGAUGAAGUUGAAAUGGAAGACACUGAGGAAGCCUCAAUUGGAGGAUACAAGUCAAAUCCCAACCAAGUCACGCGGGGCGUCUCUAGAGGCACCAUUGAAAAGCUCGAGCGGAAGAGCUACUCUGUUGGGGAAGCUGAUGGAUGCUGUUCUAUUUGUUUAGAGGAACUAGAUGAGAAAUAUAGAGUGAAGGAGAUAUCAUGUUCGCACCUAUUGCACAAUAGGUGCAUUGUCAAGUGGCUCGAGAGGAAUAAUUCGCGUCCAUUAUGUCGUGGCAAAGUACAAGUACAAGAUUCAGAGUAGUCAGUUUUAGUUUGUAAGAUUUUCUAAUAAGAAAUGAAUUCUCUCUCUCUCUGUUUUUUUUCCCCAAUGGAUUAACUAAUUUGCUGCAAUGACUUUGGUACUCAAUGCAACGUCCGCUGCUACAGUUCCAAAAAUCACCCCUGUUAAAGAACCAAGGUCACCUGUGAUGUCCCAGUAGAGACUAUAUAUAGUGUCUGUUUCUUCUAUGGCUAGAACCUGGCGAAGAUAGUAACCUGCAUUCGGAAAGAGAGCAAAACGAAAAGAUAAUUGUCCCCAUCAAUAUUUACAUGAGAACACUCACAAAAGAAUGUUCACAUAAGAGUACCAAACGAGCAGGGAGCGGGGAGCGGGGGGAGAGAGAGAGAGAGAGAGAGAGAGAGAGAGAGAGAGAGAGAGAGAUUCUUACGCAAACCAACAUACAUAACAUGUGACAUCCUGAUUUUCUAUCUUGUCCCAAUUUUAUGAAUGGGCUUUUCAUCGACGCGCCUAUGGUCCUUUUUCUCUGAGUUGGCCACUCAUGAGAUAAUUAAUCUAUCUGGUGAAGCCAUUAAGGAUUGGAGAUAGGUUGAUUCGACAAAGGCACGUAAUUAAUUGUUGGUGAUUCCAUUUGAUUGCAAAAUUUUCGUCGAACGUCACUAAACCAAUUUUUCUGUCGAUUAUGUACCCGAUAUUCAUAAUUGAAACCUUGAGAUUUUCAUGACAAUCAAGAGUCGCCUAUGAGUUGGAGAUGCACUAUGUGGAUCGAAAAUAAUCGACCAUGGGUUAAACGUAUUAAAAAUUCCUAAAAGCUACCUAAUAGGUUAGGUCACACUAAAAUCGCGUUCGGUUGAAAUUAACCACGAAAUUGAACCCGGUUUCAGGAAUCGAAAGUUCUAGCAUGUCGCGAUUUAUUUUUAGAACGUCAACUCAUCCUUUGAAGAAUUUUCGCCGAGCUCGAAAUUUUGGCGGGAAUUCAAAAUUGGACAAUUUAAAGUGUGGAAAUUCGGAGGGGCAUUUUCAAGUGAAAUUUUGGCCUUCAAAAUGGAUUGAAUUGCGGAAGAAAUUGUGGAAUUUGGUUAGGGCUUCCUCCUCAACAAAUUUAGCCAUCAAAUUGGAGAGAAUUGUGAAGAAAUUGAAGUGCAAUGGGUGCAAAUUCGUAGGCUUGUGGGGAUGCUGCAAAUUGGUCUUCAAUUUGGCUCUAGUUGGUGAGGUUGUGUGAGGAAAUUGGCCUUAUGUGACCAAUUGAUCAAGUUGACAAGAUGGGCUGAAGAUAAGAGUGAAAAACACUCAAGUGCCAUAGAUAUUUGUGGUUGACUUGCUUGCUUCUUGUCCCCUCCUUGUUCCCUCCUUGUUCCCCCUCUCUCCCUCUUGGUUCCCCCUCAUUCUCCCUCAUUCUCGACCACCCCCAGUAGAAGCCCCCUUGUGCUGCCUUUUCCUUAUUCUUCAUCCUUUCUCCUCCUCCAUUGUUGAAGCAAAAAUAAAGGACUAACACUAGCCCUUGCACCGAAAUCGCAAGCUUCCGCCAGCUUGCCCUUGCGCCGUCCGAGCUGCUCGCGCCCUUGCGGUCCCCCCACGAGCCCAACUCCGUUUGCCUCGUGCCAUCCUUGCUUGAGCUGCCGUCCACAGCUCUCCAGCUCGUUGUCACUAAUCCCCGUGUCCGCUGUGUCUAGCUCCAGCCGUCCGACACUACCUCCAGCCUUCAGCCAAGCCGUGCGACCACUUAUAGUCCCUCGGUUCAGCCCCCUCCCGAACCGGUUUUCUCUCUUUAGCUGAGAGCUUGUUGGCUGUUUUCAGCCAUAUCCGGGCCUUCCUUAGUGUCGCUGUAGACCCGAGUUGUGGUCGCCGUCGUUGUGAACUGAUUUUUGCGCUAAACUGGUGAAUUUACCUCAUAAUAUCUAAUUAGGAUGCUAAUUACACUUAAAAGUGGAUUAGUGUCUAAUUAAUGGAUUAGUUUAGGCCUAUAUAGGAUUGAUGAUUAAUUUAGUUAGUUUAAUUAGUUAUUUAGUUAAUUAGUUAAAUUAAUUAGGUGGUUAGAUAGCUUAGAUGAUUAGUCUAAUUAGUGUAAUGUAUUUAUCCAAAGCUAGGUUAGUUAAUUAGUCCAAUUAGGUGGUUAGAUUAGCUUAGGUAGAUUAAUUAGUGGUUUAAUUUAAUUAUUUUGCAAUUUAUUUAAUUAUUUUGUAAUUUAUUUAAUUUUGUAUUAAUUAGCGGAAAUUAUACUGGGAUAGCCGGUUGUCAGAUUUUUGUGUUGAUCAUCGUGGUGCAGUUGAUUUGUGCAAUUGAUUGCUAAUUUAUGCAAUUGGAUGCUGAUUGAUGAUUUUUGAAUUAUUGUUUCAAAAAUAGGAAAUUUUGGUAUUUAAUUAGAAAAAUACCAGGUAUCAGUUUUUGAUGCAAAAAAUAUUUUAAGUGCUAUAUCAAAUUGUGGAAUUUUUUUAAAUGGGAGAGUAUCACGCUUUGUGGAUCAAUUUGACAGUGUGUCCACGCACAAUUAUUUUACCAGGUAUUUUUAAUAUGAAGAAAAUAGGCCAAAUACAUUAUUUGAAAUUGAGGCAUUUGAGUGCAAAGCACGAUAUCCUUGGUUGAGAUUGGAUGUGUGUGUGAUCGCUAUGAGAACCCGUCACCCAAUGAAAGUCGGGUGGGCGAUGCUUCUAUAUGGAAUACCCCACAUCAACAGAUGUCGGAUCGUGGUAGAGGCCGAACCGAUGCUCCUUCGGGAAUGCCGUCUAGAGGUAGACGUUGCCGUGCUCGACGGGGUGAGACGACGCCCGAUUAUGCCGGAGGACUACCGACUAUUGAGUUGGAAAUGACCCAGGUCAUAAGAACAUGGACACAUGUGAAUGAUUGAGAUAACCGUGCCUGAUUAUGGAACAAAAUUGUGUGGCAUGAAAUGGGACGUGUCAUAACAAUUUGGCCUUAUAAUUGGGACCCCUGUGAAUAUUUGAUGAUUGAUGUGCAAUGUCCCAGUUGUUAAAUAUGUUUGCUAUAUGCAUAUGUAUAUGAGAUGUGUUAACGUGCAAGGAGGUGCUGAGGCGAGGUAAGUCUUAUUUGAUAGGUGUUUAGGCUGCCUCUAAGUGAAUUAUCUUCCUAAUCUAGGUUUAGGGUGUAGACUCGCUGAGACAUUAUUUCACCCCGUCGUGGUUUAAUAUUUACAGGUCCUUAGAUGGAGGUGCGCCUCGUCCGUUUUGGGUGGUCGCGAGAGGUCGAGACCAAGCAUACUGUCUUCCCCCUCCUAGGGACUACCCGGACCCAUGAACUCGUAGUGACCACUAUCUGGGUUGAUGAGAGCCUACCUCAAUUGGUAUCUCAUCGCUUCAAGGUGUGGUUUCGCCACGAGCCUAACGGGGUUUGGGAGAGCCCCUUGGACGAUUUUGACGGACAUGUCGAAGGUGUCGAGUUGGAGAAGAUACUCGACCUCGUGUUCAACGCUGAUAUUAUAGCUGAUAUCGAGGCGAACCAAUUGCCUGAGGGUGAGGAGCCCGUAGCAAAGAUAGCUGACCCAUUAGACAUCGACAUCCUUGACGGUGUCGUGGUAGACCUAGAUCCCAACUAGAUUGGGUCUGGGGCAGCGUUAGUUUAGUAGCUCUUUUUGAGUCCAGGCCUUCUUGUACAUGACUCUAUAGGGCUGACUUAGUUUGUUUAUAAAAUAUUUUUUGUGUUAUCUGACUGUCCUGCUUUUCUAUCCCUUGUGUUUGUUGUUGUCUAGAGAUUGUUUAACUCGCUUCCGCAUAUGCAUAAAUCGUUUGGGUUGACAACGCGUCCUGGGAACGUCGCAAUUUAGUCGAUCGUCGAGGGAUAUGUGUGUGCCCAAUGUUCGGGGUGUGACGGAAUAUGUGCAACUUUAUUAGCUUGGUUCUGCCAUUUAUCCUAGGCAACAAUGACCCAUUCGUGAGAAAAUGGGGAAAGACGGCCAACAAUGUAUUAUGCGCACAUUUGAAAUAAAUUAAUAAGAUUGUUGCAGAUAUUUCUUAGAAAUUUAUUUAUUUUUUUAUAGUAGAAAGAGAAUAUUACUGAAGCGCACCAAGGGAGUGGAAACCCAUAUGCAAAAAGAGCUCGGUUACUCGACAAAUUAUGUACAGUGUUAAAGCAUUUCCAUCCGCACGACUUUCUAGGACACCAAAAGCAUAAUAUUUUUAACCAACUUUCAAUAAUUACAGAAAAGGGCGUUUCCUCUCCAAUGAAAGCUCUCAUAUUCGGCUCUCGGAAACUUAACUUAAACAAAUGACUUCCAACCAACAGAAUAUAUACAAAGACAUGCACAACAUAUGUUGUUCCAUUAAUGUUGAACACUUACAUAAGUUCUGGUAAUAAUACAAGUACCCGUGCGGGUAGUCGACCACCACACCGCCAGUGAAUCCAGCACGCAUGGCAGAACUUAAAAUCAACUCUGCUGGGCUAUGCUUUCUUGAUAAACUUGAAAAACUGCUCGUUUCAUCCCUUGCCAAGCAUCUAUAUGACGAGCCAAAAGAUGCCCUAAAAACACUCGAGACAAAUGUCGAUUAUAAGCCAGCCAAAUAGGGACUAGAAGUUCUGCAAGAUAGAAAGGCAGAAAAGAAGAAAUUUUUGAUCUGUCAGACAAUCAUCUAGUUAUCAUUCAAUGGUAAGGAAGACGCUUAAAUCUUAAGCGUGGCUCGUGAGAGCACCUAUUUGCGUUGCAUAACCACUGCAUGAAAAACAAAUAUAGAAUAAAAAAACUACAGAAAAGAAACCAAAAAGGAUUCCAAGUUACCCAUGGUAAAAUCUCAGAGAAUUUCCAGAAAGUGUAGCAAAAUUACGAAAUAAGAAUGUAUGGAAACGAUACAACAAUGACACAAGGUGUCUCACCAGGCUACGGUCCAUCAGUCCUUCAAACCCAACUAUGCCCAAGUUCUAAACAUUUCAUGUGCACACUUUACCCCAUAAGUAUCCACUUAAUAACAAGUCAUUCUUACGGAUCAUUCUUUUGGUGUCUAACUAGCAGAUAAAGGGGGAAAGACAGAGAGUUGAAUCUACCAAAGUUGAAGCACAACAGUGGCUACUUUCUGCAGGGAACUUUUCGUAUGGAUCAUUCUUUGAUUUGUCUGGCCCAAGCCAAGAGGGUUGUCACGCCCCGAUCCUUGAGUACAUGCCCAUCGCUCUCUGGUCGAUAAUAUUUUGCGACUUAUCAAGACGAGUCGCCGACCCUUUCAUUUUAUUGCACAUGCGAAGGUGAAUAAUAAAUCCCUUGACAGUAACCAUCUCGGGAUAGAAAAGCAGGACAACAAAUUCACAAACAAACAUGCCUUUAUAAACAUACCGAGUCAUGUACAAAGUCUGUAGCCAAAAGACUACAAAAGACUAGUCCUCCAAAUAGAAGUGGUCCUAACUGACCUACACUUUCGAUCACCUCUUCUCGACUCCAGCUCCUCCACUCGACGACCCUGAAAAUGGUUAUACAAUAACCAGUGAGACAAUGUCUCAACAAGUCCAAGAUCUAAACCCCAAUUAGGAGGGAAAUACGCCUAGAAGUGUUCUAAUCACACAAUCACACAAUCAAUGAGACUUACCUCAUCUCAGAUCCACCAUGCAAGUUAGUACAUUUUAUAUCUCAAACAACUUGAAAGCAUGAGCAACAACUAAGCUCAAUUAACUAGAACGCCAUACAAAAAUUCUCAAAUAAGCACAUGAGUAUUGAUUAUAGGGCCAAAUCGUUAUGACACAUGUGGCAUCCUGGAAUUUCAUAAAAAGUCCCUAAAUAUGCCAUGAGCUAUGGAUAGGCGAUAGAAGUACCUCUAUUGUAUUUUGUAGCCUCCUAGUCCAUGAGUUGCAAUGGGAUGUAAGGCCAAGUCUCUAAUGGAUGAAUUUUGGGAAAGGGAGUUUUAUCUUUGGCCAUGUGUAUGUGAUAAAUUGGAACUUAUGAAAUUAUAAUUUCAAGUGUAUAGUCAUCUUAAUUUGUAAUUUAGUACUUCAAUUUAAUAGGGAUUUAAGUAAUUUUAAAAGGGUUGAUCUUAGGCUAAUUAAGCUUGGGUCUUAGGCCCAAGAUGGAUGGGCCUAAGAUGGGCCAAGCUGGCCGGCCCAAUAGAAGCCCACAGAGGGGCUGUUGCCGGCCCAAGUGAGGCCCAAGAAGAGGAGUGGCCGGCCCAUUGCAUGGGUCUUGCCAAGUGGCAAGAAGAGCUUGCAUGCAUUGGCCAUUGGAGUGGCAAGUAAUCAUUACCAAUGAUGGAGAUUUUGGGGAAUAAAAGGAAGAGGAGGAGAGAGAGUGGCCGGUUGGUGGUAUUCGGCCAAGUGAGAAAGAGAGAGAGAGAGAGAGAGGGUUGCGAGAGAGAGAAGGGUGCCGAGAGGAGAGGAACUGAGGAGGAGGAGGAGCCGUCGCCGCCCGUUUGCAGCCGUCGCCGCCCGUUUGCCGCCCGUUUGCCGCCGUGUGCUCGUCGCUAGCUCGGUUUAGAGGCAAGUUAGGAUCCUCUUACUACUAUUGCAUAUGUGUGUUGCAUGUAUGUUUGGAGUAGUGUCGAAUUUUGGGCGAUUAGGAGGGAGAAACCGAAGCUAGAAUGACUUGUUCUUGUGUGAUGUUGCUGUUUUCGCAUGAACCGCCUGAGCCAGAAUCUCGUGAGAGCUUGCAUGCAUGUUUUGAGUUCGAUUUUGACUUUUAUUCCUUCAUGAAAGUUGUAGCCAACAUCUUAAACUACAACAUACUAAACGUUGGUGCAAAAUUGUGGAGAUUUAAGGGGUCAAACUCUCAUCCUACAGAGACACUAGAUCUGGAACUGUUUUGCUGACCUUGUGGUAGAUUUGUGGUUGCAUGUUGAUUUUUAUCAAGAAUCUCUCUUCGAAUUAUUCAUGAAACUUAUAGAGAACAUCUUAAAGAAUAACAUACUCAAAUUUGAAGUAAAAUGAACAAGUAUAUCCUAGUGAAUCGACUUACUCUUGAAGACGGUAAAUCUGGAGACGCGGUACUGGACACCCGAGACUUCAUGGACGUAUGUGGUGACUUUUCUUUAAAAAUUGGACUUAUAUCCCUUAAUGAAAGUUGUAGAGGACCACUUUAAGUAAAACAUAUCCAAAUUUCAGAGGAAAAGAAGAAGAAUAAGGGGGUAAAAACUCGGUAUUUCGGAGAUGACUACACUGGAUGUUUCGGUAUGAGAACCAGAAGCUUCGGACGACUAUAGGACAUUUUAUAAAACGAAUCUGGCCUAGAAGUAUUCAUGAAAAAUCUACUUUAGCGUCUUAAAUAUAACCUGGUAAAAUUUCAUAAUUUUCGGAGGUCAUUCAGGUAUUUUAAUCGAAUUAUUUCAAAAACUGCACAUUCUGUUUUUAUCCGAAAUUGCAUGCUGUAUUUGUGUAAAUUAUAUCUUUUGUGUGGAACUUUAUUGGCCAUGUGUUUUGCAUGAAAUAAUUAUCGUAUUGUCUUGUUUAUCACAUGCCUUAAUUUCAUGAUUUUUGGGAAUCAUAUGGAUAUUUAAUUUAAAUAUUUUCAAAAAUGGUACAAGCUGGAAUUUAAAUAAAUUUCAAAAAGGCAUGAUAAAUGAACUAUUUUAAAUUGUACGAAUUCCAUAAACUUUAUUUUUAUGAAUGAUUGCGUCUUGCUGCAUGUAUGAUGAUGACUGAUGAUGCAUGUAUAGAUCAAAGGAUGAAAGUGAUUUUGUUUGCCAUUACAUCAUGUGCCAUGCUGAGUUGAGACCUAAAUUGGUAAAUAUGAUCAAUGAUAAAUGAGGAAACUAUUUGUGGCGGAUGGUAAUGCCAUGGGAGUAUUAGGAUGCCCGGGAUGGGGGGUGCCGGAUGUCUGGAAUGUAUAGAGAUACAUGGCUGGAUGGCCUCGGGAGUUUCGAGAUGCCCGGAAUGGUUGGGUGCCGGAAGCCUCGGAGGUCUUUGCCCGAGGGGAUGCCUUGUGAUGCUAGUUGGGAUGUGAGAUGCCCUGAGUGUGGGGGUGUCGGAUGCCCGGUGGCCUUAAAUGGCUGGAUGCCAGAGGUUUUCUCGCGAUGCCAGGAUGGGGUGCGAGUGUAAAGUAUGGGAUGAAAUUGAUGAUCUUGAGAAAGAGUGAUGUGGUGAUCGAAUUGAAAAUUAAAAGUGGAAAUUGAAUCAUGCAUAUAUGACAUGAUAUGAUGAUGAUCACCUAUGGCAUGAUGAUAUGCAUAUAUGACAUGAUAUGAUGAUGAUCACCUAUGGCAUGAUGAUAUGCAUAUAUGAUAUGAUUGUGAUUAAGAUGUAUGAUGGUACAUGUAUGGCUUCAAGGUAAGUAUGCUUGGAUGCAUGAGUGACAUGUAUGAUGUUAUGAUUGUAUUGUAUGAUGCAUUGAGUGGUUAUUGGAUUCCUUUACCUGCUGAGUGGUUGUAUUCACCCAUUCGGGGACCAACAUUUCAGAUUAGUAGGAUGCCGCUCCCUGCUGUCACGCGGGGCGUAUUUUACGGCAUUCCUUCAGAUGUAGAGGUCGAGUGUGUGGAGAUCGACUGUCCCACCAUUCCUGGACUGACUUUUAUUCGAGUGCGCGCCUUCGUGAUGUACGACGUGGGCCUGGCUGGGGGCCUUGUCAUUCAGGAGUUUAUAUCCGUCCACGUUCGUCGAGACGGAGUGAUGCGUGGGAUGUUGCCGCCGCCAUCGCCUGAUGCACCGGGAUGGGUGUGAGGGCCCGUGCGUGAGGAGUAGGAGCUGCAACUUUUUGGGAUGUUAGCCGACACUAGCUGAUGGGAGAUCUUGCACGAUAGACAUAGUGGGUCGAGUGUUUCUUUUUGGGGUUGUGGCCGAGUGUAGUUAAAAAUCUUGGCCUUUCUUUUGUUGUAUCGACCCAAGAAAAAAAUCCAUCAUGAAAAUAUGUAAAUAAAAGUGUCUGGGCUCUAUCUUUUCUGAUGAUGUUUAGUGGUGUGCAAUUGCAUCAUGGUUGUUGGAGGGAGAGAUGGCGAUAUUAUAUUUUGCUUCCGCUAAUGAGUCGCGCUGGGACCGUUUCUUUUUAAAAAAAAAUGUAUGUCUAUGAUUUACGACGCUUCUUCUGAGAGAUGUAGCUAGUGUUCCAUUAGGUGUAACGUCAAGUGCCUGUGGCGACCCUAGGUGGUUCGGGGUGUCACAACACGUCCCAUACUAUGCCACACAAUUUUGUCCCAUAAUCCGGCGCAUUCAACUCAAUUAAACAUGCGUUCCUAGUUUUGAUCUCGGCAUAUAGCACGGCCUACUCUCUGUUCGGUGGUCUUCUGGCAUUGCUAGGCUUCGUCUCAUCCAUUGAGCAUGGCACGUCUCUUUCAGACGGCUUUCCUGAAGGAGCAUAGGGUUCAGAAUCUACUGCAACCGGCUUUACGUUGUCUAGGGGUAUCCCAAAUAGGGAUAACGUCCAGCUUAACAGCCUGGGACGAUUUCUCUUAACCAUCACACAAUUACUCAAAUAUGGCUCAGGGCACCGUGCAUUGCACUCAAAUACUUCAAUUAAAAUGGUGAACCUGGCAUUUUUCUUUAUAUUAGAAAUAAAUUGUAAACUAGUUGUGUGUGAGUACAUGGUCAACUUGAUCUAGAAAAAUCGACAUUCUUCCUUUUUAAAAUCCCACUAUUUUAUAUAAUACUAAAACUAUUUUCGGUGUCUAAACUCGACACUGGGAAUUUUCUGAAUAAAUAUUGGAAAUUCACAAAUUUGUAGAAAUGAACACUCAAUUGGAAAAAGUAACCACACCAUUGCAAUUAGCACGAAAUUCUGGUCAUCGGUUAUCCCGCUUUAAUUUCCAGAAAAUAUUUAAUAAUUAAAUAGUACUGAAAUUAAUUAAAUAAAUCAAUUUAAAUUCUAAAAAUACUAACCUAGGCUAGAAUCACUAAAUUAAAAAAUCGAUAUGGACCCAGAAAAUUCUCGAACCCUUCUAGAUAAAUAGCACAUCCUAUCUAGGCCUUGAUUAAUUUAAUCUAACCACCUAACAUGCACAAUUAACUAAUUAAAUCACUAAUUUAAUCUAACUAACCACAUAAUUCCUAAUUAAAUUAAACUAAACACCCCUUAGACGUCAUUAGCCUACUAAGAAGAGUUUAGUGCAUAAACUCACUAGUUUAUUGCGGAAAUUGGUUCACCGCGAUGACGACGCAACGGCAGCUGAAAUCCGAAUUUUCGGCAAUGUUGACGGACACAUGGACUAGGCCUAAAAGGCCUUGCAAGCCCACAGCAAAAUGUUGGGCUUGGCUUCGGGCUUGGGCUGCUUCGUGGGCCUCAAAUGGGCUGAUCUGGGUUUGAAGGUUUCGCUAGGCUGAGCGAAAUUUGCUUGGGCUCGUGGAUGGGCCCAACUGUUGGGCCGUGAACCUUCGCUGGAUCCGUGGACUGCUGCAGGUUGCUGAUCGUGGCUGAAGACGUUGGGGGAUGGGCCGUGAAGACACGUGGAGCUGCAGCUUGAAUGGGCCGAAGAUGCUGGACUCCACGGCUUGGCUGAUCCACGAGCGAAGACGGUUGGUUGACCAAGGGCGGGUGGAUUUGCUGGCAGCUGAAGAUGGAGACGCGAGCCACGGAGUUGAAGACGACCAUGCAGACGAAGGGGACGCGGGACACAGAGCUGCUAGGAACGUGCGGACUUUUCUUGCAGAAGGCCGCGUGGAGCUUCGGUGGACGAUGCUGUUGACCGAAGGGAGACAAAGUUUGCUGGAGGGUGCUCGUGAGUGGGCUUGCUCGAUUCUUUUUGUGCGGCCAAAUUGAAGACUCGAAGGAGAGAGAGCAGGCGGUAGUGGGCGGUCAACUUCAGUGAGCUUGGGACUAAUUUGUUGACUGGUGGAGGCUGGGAAAUUGGCAAGUGGCAGCAGUAAGAGAGAUGGAUUCGGUGGGCUGAAGCUUGGAACAAAAUGGAAGAGAGGGCUGAGCUUCGACGGUUAGAAUGAAGAAAAGCAGAAGUGUUCGAGCGUGCGGAAGAAGAUGGGCAGAAUGGGACGAUCGGCAGGAGCAAAGGAAGAAAAGUCCACAAGAAAUGUCUAAAAUCAUCAUAACUUAGCCUUUAAAGUCUUCAUGUUUAUCCUAUAGUCCCCUAAUUACUUUCUAGCAAUCUAAUUUCCAUGAAUUAACAAACUUUGAAGCCAAAAAUUUCUUCCCCUCGCAAAACUCCGAAUUUUCAUUUUUUGUCUUCAAUUUCUUUGAAAUUUUCUCCAAUUGGUAUCCAAAUUUGAUGUAGAAAAAGCCCACAUAAUUUCUACAAGUCCCCUUUGUUGGACGCAAAUUGCGCAACCCCAAGAUCUCAAUAACCAGAACAAGAACAUGCCUAAUUAAGUAGAAAGAUUAACGCACCUGUUUUGGGAUCCAUCGAACAUAAAGCGAAAGCAGAAAAGUGAUUACUCACAUAUAUCAAGGGGAUCCACGCAUCAAGUCCUUCUCCUCUAUUGCCCUCUGUAUCACUGGCUCAAUGAGGCGGCCCCCCCUCACGUUCAGCGUUAGGUAAACGCCCCUUAGGUGAGGAUACAUGUGAAAAUUCAGGUUAGAGGAGAGAUUUGAGCACUAUUUAUAGAGUUUCCAGCCAGUCCCUCUCAUUACGGGCCAGGCUCAACUCGGCCCACACUAGCCAGCCCAUAUUAGACUAAUUAAGAAACCUUCUAUCUCACCUUAGACUAAUCCUGUUUUACGGUAACCGUAAAAACAGUAAAUUACAAUAUCAAUUAAUUUAGUCAACAUUAGGAAAACUCUUACAUUCUCCCACUUGGACUAUAUUAAUUGAAAUCAUACUGUAUGUGCGCACAUUUGGUCUAGAAAUAAUUCUUAAUAGUCAAUCCUAUCCCAUAAAGUCUUAAACACCGAAUCAUGGCGGUAACUGCAUGUAUACACACAUAGCCUUCCAUGGACACAAGUGCUCUCAACUUUAUUGAUAUGGAUUUAAUAUGGUAGUGUGUCAAAUGAAUAACAUCUCUCAUAGAGAGAUCUCAUUUGUUAGUCACCAUUCUCUUACCUUAGGUGUCACAAAAACUUGUGCCACUAGAGAAUGCUUUAUGGUUCUAAUGAACCCACAUAUGUCUUAUCCUUAUGGUUAACCUUUCUUUAUGUAUCACAAGACAUAUGCACAAGGUUAAUAACCGGAUGCCCGGAUGCCCCUAGCCUUCACUCAAGGUUUAUACAAUCCCUUGAGACUUUAUUAAUAUGUAUUCAACAUAAUAACAAUACAUUCAAAAAUAUUUUAUUGAAUGCAAAAGUUGAUACAUAUCAAACCGUUACAAAGUGUAACGAACACAUAUGAAACUUUUAUCAAAGUAAAGCCAAAAUAGCUCCCACUAAAUAACAGUAUCCAAAAAAACUCCUAGGCCCAUGCUAAUGACAUGUCACUCAAAUAUACAUGGGCGUAGGCCUUUAGUUAGUGGAUCUGCAACCAUAUCAUCUGUGAAAAUAUGUUAUAUUAUAAGUCACCUUUCUGUACCGUUUCUUUAUGGUAAAAAAUAUUUGACCACCAUAUAUUUAGACCCCUUUAGACCUCUGUAAUAAAUAUAUAUAUUACUUCAAAUUUGUUAUCUCAAUACAAACGUAUGGGUCUAUUCAUCAAGUUAAAACAAUCAACUCCGUCAUGAGGUUCUGGAGCCUAAUAGCCCAAGUAACAAUCUAAAAGAAUGUUAUCAACACUGUAUACAUAGUAGAAGAUAACAUAGAACUUUAUUUACUGCACUUCCUACUAACAUAAAUUUGUAUCUUGUUAUUGAUAUUAUAUCAUCCUAACAGCCAGCAAAGUUAACAUAUGAAUACCUUACUCACUGCAAAAAUUAAACUUGUCUGUAAAUUAACAUAUAUUCUCUUGUCCUUUUAAGUACUUUAAAACCUUUUGGCAGCAACUCAGAUCGCGUCCUGGAUUCAACUUAUAUAUGCCUAAAAGUCCCAUCGCAAAGGCGAUAUUUAAUCUAGUGCAAAAUCAAAGCAUACAUUAUACUGUUAAGUGCACUGACACAAGGUACACUAUUUAAUUAGAUUUUCUCAAUAUCUAAAUAAGGACAAUGUGAUAGAUUUAGUCCAUCACCCUUAACAACAGGAGCAAUUCCCGGCUUGCAAUGAUGUAUAUUGAAUAUUUCCAAUAUAUAAUAAGCAAAUGUCCUCCAAGAAAAUCUAAUAUAAUAUGGCAAAAACAAUCCUUACAUACCUCAGUACAAAGGAUAUAAGAUGUCUCAAGGUCACAAAUUGUAAGCAAAAUAUCAUGUAUAUAGAGUAUGAGAAAAAACAAAUUUCCUCCCAUUGACCUUGUAGUAUAUUGAAUUGCUUUGUUCCUAAUUGAACAAGAUAACAAUACUAUAAAACUUUAAUAAUAUUGUUUGGAAACUUGCUUAAGGCCAUGAAUUAGAACUUUUCAGUCUAUACACAAGUUUACUUGAAUCUGCUGCAAAAUCAUCCAAUUGGACAAUAUAGAUUUUGUAUCUAUUUGGCAUAACUUUAUAUCAAAAUAAAUUAUCAAUGACACGUUCACUCUGAAAGAAUAUUUAAAGAAAUAAUUAUUUCUUCACUAUAAACAAUACACCCCUAUUUCAGAGUGAAAACAUUAUUAUCUUUUUUUUUCUAUGGCAUUUUAUCACAUACUUAAUUGAGAACAAGAAACAACAUUUAUAUAAGUUGCUAAAACAACCAUGUCGUAGAUAUUGUAAUCAUGCUUUCACAAAUAGACUAUAUAGUAUGAUGAUAUAACUGAUCGUCUUUCCCUAACAAAUCUCCUUAAUAAAGCUGCAACCACUUUAUUCUGCACUUGAGAGGUUUAAGAAAAUUUCAUUAUAAACUAUAUCAAAAAUAGUACCUUAAACCUCAACAAGUUUAGUCUAUGGUAUAGGAAAUUCAAUAAUUGUCUAUACCACAAUUAUCUGUAUAGGCAAAGAUAAAGACACAGUGAUUUUCCAUCGUACUAUUAUUCUUAAUAGUCUAAGAGCAGCUAUCAUAUACAAUUACGUUGAACUGCAUAAACUUUACAGUAUGUGAUUCCAUAAUACUUGUACCUUCUUUAGGGUCAUAAAAUUGAUACUCCUUUGAACAAUCUGAAUAAGAUACAAAAUAAUUCCAAGUGGAUCUAAAUUCCAACACACUUAAUAUUGAAUUAGAUAACCUCACUUCUGCAUGAUACUUCUAAAUUUCAUAUGAUUCAAGUAAUUUAUGUCCAAUCUAUAACUUAAAAGAAGUUUAUGAAACAACUUUGAUAAAAUACACAUUUUGUAUGUGAAAAAAUUGCUUUCAUAAUAUCAGUCCACAAAAAACCAGAUAAAUUAGUCUUACUAAUCAUACUCAUCACCAUGUUCAAUAUGGUGCAUUUAUGCCUUUCGGCCAAGUCUUUUUGUCAGAAUUUUCGGGUAUAGUAAUUAAAUUACCACUCUAGAAUCUACCAAGUAUUUGACAAAUGACCCUUUAAGCUAUUUCGCAUCGUCAUACUUGCCAAAAUACUCAUGGCCACUGUUAAACCUGACAACCAUUUAAGACUAAUUGUAAUUGUUUUAUUCUUUAUCUCGGUCAUUUUCCUUAAAUAGAAAACUUUCGGAAACAAUCUUUUAAUCAUAUACGAGAUGUAUAUGUCAUUAGGACUUAAACACAAUCUUUACAGAUGUGUCCUAAUUUCAAUAUCAGACAAGACAUAAUUUUAAGCAACUAAGGCUUCCAUCAUCUUCUAGCAGUGUAGUCCGCAGGCAAACCUCUUUUCAAGUGUUCCAGAAUGGAACGCUUCAUGAACAGUAAGCAAAUUCAAUUGCUCUUUUCUCAAGCAACAAAUCAUAUGUUCACAACUUAAAAUUUGAAGCAGUAAAAACCUCAAUAAUAAUGAAGUUAUUAAUUACAGAAAAUGUAACUGAAAAUCAAACAAUGUAUAUAAUUAGCAUCAUGUGAGUACUGUGUAACUUGACGUACAAGUACACAUCCAGAGAGUUACAUGCAUAAUCAUAUAAUCACCUUUGGUAGAAUACAUGACAUGCAGUUGUACACUCCCCACAUGAUAGCGGUUAUAAGAAUAUAUUCCAAUUCUUCGUGAAUUCAUCACCUUUGGGCAUAUGAAUCACUAGAAUCAGUCACUCCUCCACCACACUAUCAUGUAUCCCUCCAUGAACUAAUACACAAUCACCUCCUUUGGGAGUAUGACUACGAAUUAGAUCAAGAGACAUCCCAAUCAUUAUAUGAGACCGAAAUUUCUCAAACCCAAUCAAGUGUGCCACUUUGGCGGUCACUACUCAAUUGAAUCAUUAAAAUUCUCUCAUACUAGGGAUAUAAACUUUACUUAUCACAUACACCAUAUAUAUGUGAUUUUAACUUUAAUGAUAGGGGCAUCAUAUCACCAAAAUCACAUAUCAUACUAAUUACACUACUUUAUUCAUUAAUAAAAUUAAUCAUAUAUAUAUACAGCGAACCUGAAAGGUAGAUUCCAAUGAGAUCAUUGAUCACAGUAACACAAGAAACUUCUCAUAACAGAGAAUAAAACAUCUCUUAUGUACCCCAAUUACAUAUUACCAGAACAACAUAAAAAGAAUGUUGACCUAAAAUAUCUCUCACAAAUUAACAUCAAUAGUAAUACAUGGUACACCAAAUCGACAAGCUUGACAGCUAUUAUCACUCAUGAGUUCAUAAGGCAAAAAUGACUCCAAGGCCAACAACUAAUUUAUUAAUCAAUUUUAGGUAACAAAUAUCAUUACUUCAACCGGUGGCCUAUAAAUUAAGUCAAACAACAGAACUAAAUAUCUAAACUAUAACAGUAGAUACUAUUGCUCUGCAUAAAUAUUGUCAUACUCCUUAACCAUAAAAAUAUUCAACUUGAUAGACAUUAACAAGUGACCAGAUGAGUUCAUGUACAAUAUGCAGUAACUUAAUCGACAUGCAUUACCCACAUACAGCAGAUAUGUUAAUCAGUACAAUCAGUUUGGUCACGAGUUCUUAAGACGUCCAUCAUUCAAAGAUUACCAGCGUGACUUGAGCAACAAAAGUUUUAUAAUCUUUACUGUUUCUCAUCAGCUCAAUACAUAGCUCAAUUACUAUUCCAUAAUGGUUAUAUCUCAUUAAGCCAGCUUCAGUUCACAAUAAAGUUUGAUUUUUAUUGAUGAAUCACACAUUUAUAAUGAUUAUGUGAUAAUAUACCAGUAACCCAACACUUGUAUUUCCAAAAUCACAGAAAAUACAAGAAAAAUACGCAAAAAUACACUAAAAAUACACGUAUUUAGGGCUUUGUAUGUAUUUUCACAUCCAUAAAAUAAUCAAACAUAUAAAAUAUAUAUACCACGAGAUAGGAAAUCACCAUACGAGUCCAACGCCGCCAACCACGCACCGAUCGGAGCCUCCACGCACCCACACGCGCCGCCUGAGUGCGCCGCCCGUGGAGCUCAUGUGCGGCGCGCAUUCGAUGCCCAGGCGGCGCGUGGCCUCGCGUGGGGGUGCGUGCGACGCACCACCUACCGUCUUGCUCGUCUCGUCGAGCCCAGUCCGAAUUUGUGAUUUUAUUUUAUUUUUAUUUAACAAAAAGUCUUGAAAAUCACAAAUUAGGGCAAAAACUUUAUGCGUUCAAGUUCUAGGGUUACGGUUGCUCUGAUACCACAUGUUGGACGCAAAUUGCGCAACCCCAAGAUCUCCAUAACUAGAACAAGAACAUGCAUAAUUGAGUAGAAAGAUUAACGCACCUGUUUUGGGAUCCAUCGAACAUAAAGCGGAAGCAGAAAAGGGAUUACCCAUAUAUAUCAAGGGGAUCCACUCAUCAAGUCCUUCUCCUCUAUUGCUCUCCAUAUCACUGGCUCAAUGAGGCAGCCCCCUCACGUUCAGCUUUAGGUAAAUGCCCCUUAGGUGAUGAUACAUGUGAGAAUUUGGGUUAGAGGAGAGACUUGAGCACUAUUUAUAGAGUUUCCAGCCAGUCCCUCUCAUUAUGGGCCAGGCUCAACUCGGCCCACACUAGCCAGCCCAUAUUAGACUAAUUAAGAAACCUUCUAUCUCACCUUAGACCAACUUUGUUUUACGGUAACCGUAAAAAUAGUAAAUUACAAUAUCAAUUAAUUUAGUCCACAUUAGGAAAACUCUUACACCCUUUGCCAUAUAGCUUGGUUUGCAAGUCAAAAAUCUUUUCAAUUCGGCCAAUCCGAAUUUCUGUUUGUUUUCCGAAACGUCCGAAUCGAUUUUUCGUAAAAAUCCCAAAAUCAUCGAAAAAUUUUCGGAGGAUGAGUCAUCGUUCCUAAAAUAGAUCGUGACAUCACAUAAUUUUCAAUUUCUAAAAUCGGAUUCAAAUUCGUGGUUAAUUUCAAUCUGGCGCACUUUUAGCGUGAGCUAAUCUCUGGAUAACUUUUAGGAAUUUUUGGUGAAAUUGACCUGUGAUCGAUUUAUUCUCGAGUCACAAAGUACAUUUUCGACUCAUUGGCGACUCUCGGUUAGCUUGAAAAUCUUGAGGUUUGAAUUACAGACACUAGGUACCAAAACGAUAGAAAAAUCGGUCUAGUGCCGAUCAACGAGUAUUUUGCAAUAAGGUGGAAUCACCCACACUCUGAUCACAUAUCUCAAUUGAAUCGACCUAUCUCUGGUCUCUAAUCGAUUUCUGACAGUGCCAUAAUGACUCUUGUAGACCAACACGGUCGAGCAGUCGAUUCCUGGUCGAAUUCUCAAGUCCAUUGUAUUUAGAUUCCUUAAUUAUUCCGCCAGAUAGUCCAGUUAUCUCAUGAGUGAUCAACUCAGAGAAUAACAUUAUCAGUGUGUCGAUGAAAUGCUUGAUUUAUUUAAUUGAAAACGAAAUCUGAAAAUUCAGGCUGUCACAAGGUCAAUCAUGCAUCCAUAGCUCUCACUAGUUGGAGUGAUGCUGUAACCUUUGCUCAUACGUCCGAACAAGCGCCAUGCUCCAUUAAUUAGACACUUCCGAUUGCAGACCAUUGGACCUCCAAUAAACGUCACAGCAUUUGGUUGGGGCCCCUAUUUUCCAUCUCGUAGAAAAACUGCAGCCCAGUUUCAUUCUCACCAUUGACAGAAAACCCCAACAUCAUUGCACUCCAAGUUGUCAAUAUCUUUAAGAGGCAUUUGGUCAAACACUUCUUUGCGCGAAUCCGACGAACCCACAUGUGACAAGAAAAUAAUCAAUGCAAUUCGUGGCCCAAGUUCGUAAACAAUGCCACUCUCAUCUAUGUACUUAUGAACCCAUUUUCCUUCUUUAGAGGCUUCCACAAUAGCACGGCACAAUAGCACGACGCUAAGUACGCUAGCCUAAAGAGAUCCACUUAAUUUAACCGCUCGUUCCUAACGUAGCUAGAGAUCAAGGCACUGUAGGAAACAUCAUUUUCCCUGGCACUGAAUCGAACAGCCCUCGAGCUUCCUACAUGAGGCCGAUGCUACAAUACCCAGUGAUAAGGCUCGUCCAGCAUUGAACUCUGAUCAGACAGGCGAUGAACAACACUCGCAGCCCAAUGCCUUUCGGCACAUGCUUAUCGGAGAACCCACCACGUAUGCAUCACAAUCUCGCCCGAACUUCAUAGCCCGGUGGCGAAGUUGGCCAAGCAAAGGAAGAGCGAGUGCCAUGGCCCGACCAGUGAAGUGGAAGUGUGGGCAUAUGGCGAGCUUAGACAGAGACCAGCCUUCCCACGUUCGAAGUACCCCCAAGAAACCCAUCAUCCCGACUCCCAAAUCGAAGACAAUGGCGGUGGGUGAGUGGGAACACGAGAGAAAAUGCGCGCCGCGUAGUUCAUGUGGCUGCAAACGGAAGCGAGAGAGGUCGGAGAUGAUGGCGUGGGUGGUCGGUCGAUGGUUGAGCAUCUUCGGAGAAGGUUGAGCGUGUGAUAUAUUUAUUCUAUAUAUGUCUUCUUCUUCUUUUUUUAAUAGAGAAAUUAUAUAUUAUAACCGUCCAUUUAACACCCCUAUUCUAUAUUUGUCUUUAAACAUUUUGGCUGUGUUCACAGCCAAUUUUAUUAUGGAAAUAGCGAGUUUCAAGAAAUUGAAACCUAAUAUGAUGGGAGAAUCAUUUUAUGCCAUUUAGAACACAAAGGGAAUAAAAAGUUAUCGUGAUUUAUUUCUUGAUCAGUCCGCCCACAAUCAACUUUGGUCACAAAAUAUAUCAUAUUUGAGCGUAAUAAUUAUUGAUCACACUUUGUAAGAGAAAACUGUAAUCCACGCGCAAUUGCAUGACGGAUCAAUCUACCAUAAUCAACUUUGCCCACUCAAAGUAUACCUUGAUAUAUACGAAUAUAGAUAUAAACAGAAUAAAACAUUUCCUAUAUAACCACAGUGGAGAAAGAAAUGAAACAAAAAAAAAGUUGAAGACGUUAGGACUGGGCUUCAAAAGAAACACUCACCAAGGAUUGAUGCUCCAUUCGUUUCGCAGAAAAUAACUUCCAGGAAAAUAUUUUCCGAAUUUUCCGGUGUUCGGAUGGCGGAAAAUACACGGUCAACGGAAAAUAUUUUCCGUUGACCGGAAAAUCCUUCUUGAAGUCACGGAAAAUGACUUCCUCUUUUCAAAAGAGGAAAUCAUUUUCCGCACCUCUCACGCGCUCCCGCUGCUCUCUCCUUCCUUCAUCAGUUCACGUUCUCUCUCUCUCUCUUUCUUGCUCUCCCUGCUGCAAUGGCUUUGACAACGUCCUUCUCCGGGAUCAGCCUCCGCCCUCCCCAGCCGCUCCUGCCCGCCUGCUCCGGCCGGGGCGCCGCCGCCGCCGCCGCGCUCCGCUUCCCCGGCAGCUCGAAGCCGCUCGUGAGGAUCCGGCUCAAGAGGGAGCACCGCGGCGACGCCGGGAGGCUCGCGGGGAGCCCGCCGUCCAGGCCGCUCGUCGUGCGGCCGCGAGCCGUGAGCUCGUCGGAUCGGCGGCGGAGCUCGCGGCUCGCCGGAUCUAGCGGCAGAGCUCGGGCUCUCGAUCCGGGUGAGCUCGAGCUUUGUCGCUAGAUCCGGCGCGCUCGGGUGAGAUCCGGUGAGCCUCGAGCUCGCCGGAUCUGGCGGCGGAGCUCGCGGCUCGCCGGAUCUAGCGGCAGAGCUCGGGCUCCCGAUCCGGGCGAGCUCGAGCUCUGUCGCCAGAUUCGGCGAGCUCGGGUGAGAUCGGCCGAGCCUCGAGCUCGCCGGAUCUGGCCACCGGGUCUUCGUCGGCUGCUGGGCAGCCGGCCAUCGUCAGGCAGGAAGGAGGCGGCGGCGGCGGAAGGAGGAGGAAGAAGGAGGAGGAAGGAGGUGACGGCGGACGAAGCUGCUCGGGAGGAAUCGGGAGGAAGAAGGCGGAGGAAGGAGGAAGGAAAAAAAAAGAAAUAAUAAAUAAUAAAAAUUUCUAUUUUAAAAAAUAUAAAUAAUUAAAAAAAAUCAUUUUUUAAAAAAUAUAAAUAAAUAAAAUAAAUUUUUUGGUCAAUUAAAAAUAUUAAAAUUCAAUUUUUGAUAAUUUUUUUCAGGAAAAUGUUUGAGCUAACGAACAGUGGAAAAUAUUUUCCACUCAAAUUUUAGAUUUUGGCCGAACACCGGAAAAUAAAGUCAUUUUCCUGGAAAACAACUUCCAGGAAAAUGUUUUCCGGAAACAUGAUAUUUUCCGUGAAACGAACGGAGCCUCAAUUUCUCGAGAGAAAUAGAGAGAGUCUAAUUGCGUAGAAUAAUAAAAUUGUAAACAUAAAAUAAAAUUUUUCAUUGGUCAUCAAACAAAAGAAAUACUAAUUUAAGAUUAAGUCUCAUUAAAAGAUAUGUUUGACCCAUGAAUUCUAUAUGCUCUUUUAAGUUAAAUGACUUUCAAAGGGUGAUUCUUGCACUUGUGAGCCCUUUUUAAAAUGAUAUAAACAUGUAUCGAUCAUCGUCAAUCCAAGAAAACGGCUGCGCUUUAAUAGAUUUUACAUCUUAUACCAUGUUGAAACCAACAUUUUUCCUUCUGGUUGUUGCUUCUCCAAAACGGCAUGUCCCUUUAAAGAGGAAGCAACUAAUUGUACUCAACAAUUUCUAGAUGCAUACCUCUAAAAGAGAAAUUGGUUUACGUCAAUAAAUCUUUCAAAUUCAAAUCUCGAGAGAACCAUCAAGGGAAAAAAAAAAUCGAUCAGGUCUGAAUGAUUUAGACUGCACCUAGAACUGAAUCGAUUAUCAAUGAUUCACUAGGAAUUGGACUAGUGCUCACCCCUAGAUAGUAUGUCUGAAUGUAAAGAAUUUGUGCAACCAACUAAGAUCUUUGGUUUUACGUACCAGUGAAAAUGAUUUUCCUGAAUAAGUCAAUUGAAAACUUUAGUUGUGGUUACAGAAAUUUCUAGGAAGAGUUUAACUAAGCGAUGCAAAUAUUUUUUAACUGAACACCGGUCGCGAAGGUCCAUAGGUGUAGAGAGCAAAGCUCAAGCCAUAUGUGUUCUUGUUUUCUUCAACUAGUUAAUUGAUAACCUUCUACCAUGUCUUUAUUCAUAUAAAAGAAAAUACUUUUAAUACCUUCGCUAAGAUUUCAAGCAAAGUUUAGAGUUCCAAGGCAUUGGAGUUUACUAUAUCUGUUUUUGUUCAAGAAUCUAGCCUUGCGCAAAAAUAGAAUUCCGAGAAUACAACCCUUUCGAUGUCUUGCCGAAAUAAUUCAUGCUUAGCACAUCAACAAACACAAUAAAGUGAUCCAAAUGCUGCAUCUUCUCGAUAGUCUCUUUUAUGUGCAUUCUCGAUAGCGUUGACUUAUGUGCAUUCAUCACUACGUGAAAAGAAUAAAAGAAACUUUUGAGCUCUAGUCGAGCUCUCGUUUUUACUCGAACCAGUCACAUGCCAAUAAUAAAAACAAGGCAAAAAUCAAAUUGCAGAGAGGACGAGCAGUUAGUAGUUUCUCUUCCACAAUGGUCCAGAGGAACUCUGCUGCUUCUCUGUGCGCCGUAUUGCCGGGGUACCCUUGGAUCUAUAACCACCUGAUCAACAGCUUCCGAUGAAUUCUCCACAGGUGGCUUAAGAGGCCAAAAAUUUCCAUUCCUAGGGAUUAAAGAUGCUGGAAAAUUCCCGUCAUGGCGCCAUCCCUGACCUCGGUUCUGUGUGCUUGUCUGUCAAUCUAUGCCUUGACCCACUUGACCUCAACCCCUCAAGUUUAAAGGAGUCUUACCUGGUAGGGGAGCAAGAAUUAGUCCUUAGGUAUCAAGAACUCUUUGGGGACAGAAUCCAUGUCCACGUAACAAUUUUUGGCUUUAGCAUCAGCACUCCGCACAGCCCAGUCAUCAGACUGAAUCAAAGGUUUGUGUUUCCCAUUACCUAAUAAGAGUAAAAGACACUAAAACAAUCACAAUCUAUCCUUGUAAGUGACAAAUAAACAGGACACAGAGUUGGCCAUAAAGACAAAGGUAUACAACAGGGCUGAUGAAACCAUACCUUAGAUGCUCCUAUAUACCGAGUAAACAUGGGUGUCGUGUGGUAAGAGACAGAACCACCUCAGUGGGAUUCCCGACCAUAUGUAAUAUCACAAAUUAAGGUCUAAGCAAUGGCUCUCUGUAACAUAUUUAAUCAUGUUACUUGACCAGUCUCACUAUCGAUUAGGCGUUCUUGGUAAUAGUAAUUGGAAGGGACAUCAUGGAUUUGUUAAUGUAUCCUAUACUGAACAGACAACAACAUUGUUGCGGAAUCCAGCUUGCUGAAACAGCAACAGAAACAUCGAGUAGCACCAAGAGAAACGGAAGGAAGAACUGCCACUUGAUUGGCCUGCAAUGCCUCAUCAAUGACUGCCAUUUCGAAACCAUGAGAAAGGCGAGAGAAUAAAUUUCUACCACUGCUUGACAGGGUAGUGAAGACAAUCUCAGCUUCAUAUGAGAUCCAUUUUUCAAAGAAGCAGAAACAUUUUCUUGAACUAUGUGAUGUGAUUUGCAUAUGGAUUGAUGGAUCUAAAUUGCCAAUCAAGCAUUGAUGCUACGCUUAGUAUCAUAUAGGAAUAAAUUGACUCAUCUGAAUUCUCAUCGUUGAAUCAUGCUACAUUUUUCAUACUACCUAGCAGAAUUCCACUUCGCUUUUAAUAACCCUUGAUGACAGAAAUGCAAUGCAACUCAUGCAUACAUAUGAUUAGCAUUACAUUGAUCAAAUUUUGGUUCUUCGAAAACCCCAACUCUCUGUACCAUCCCCACCACGACACUCAAGAGGGAAUGUGACAUCCUGAAAUUCGAGCUCUUUGUGAGAGAAAUGAAUGUGAAUUUUGCCAAUGCAUUGUUGGUUGAUCUCACUCGGAAUUGAUUACUCCUGAGAUACUAACCUUGAGGGGAAAGGCUAAUGAGGACAGAACUCGUACGACUAAAUAACUUGACUUGGGAAAACGACUUGACCGUGAGACUUGCGUGAGAACGAUCCUGUAGAUAGGCAGGCUAAUUUCAAGGAUGACUAGAAGUCGAUUUGCGAACAUAACAUAAUGGAACGACGGGUGAUUCCGUUUACUGUUAUUGAGCUCGUGAACGACCCUAUCUCGAUCCUUAAUAAUCGUAUACUUUGAAAUAAGAAUCUAUCAUCCGCAAUUUCAUGUAGUCAAGGACGUCCAUGUGUCGAGAUGUCUUGAACGUGGUUUGGCACGAGUCGGUUACGCGUGAAUCCUCAAAGUUGCCCGUUAGUAUGAGUUGUACCCAAAAUGGCAUUGGACGAAAUUGACAUGGCAUGAGAACUAAAGAUUGGACUUCGAAUUAUCGGUAAUGUUUGGAUGGACUUUGGAUGAUGCGACUUCGAUAGUCAACAGUGCCAAGCAAGCCGAGUGUGGAGAAAAAAGACUUGAGAACCGAGAAGGCAAACCUAUGAGGACGUGGGCCGAGUAAAGCCAGUGUGGGCCUUACGCCCAACGUAGGAUAGCCAUGGUGGGCCUAGGGCAAGAAAGUGAGCCCAUUGGGCCAAAAACCACUAUUCCUCCUUCCAAGCCCAUUACCAAACCUUAAGCCCAUUUGAGCCCAACCAAUUCUUGAGCCUGUUACUAUUCAUUUCCAAGCCCAUUUCUUAGGCCCGCCCAUCAAAUUCGGCCCAAGGGAAAAUUGGGAAUUUGUGCAAGGGGAAAUUACCAUUUUGCCCCUAAAAGCAAGUGGAUAAAGGCAAAACAAGAGAGAGAAAGAUGAGGUGAUGUGCAUGGGGAUUUGGGGCUUUGAUGAGGUUUGACAGCAGUUCAAUCCUCUCUCUCUCUCCUCCUCCUUCAGCCCAAAUUGUCGAGCUCCUCUCUCCCUUUGUUCCACCUUUCUUCUUGCUUCUGUUCUAGCAAACCUUCCUCCAAAGAUUUGAGUUGAUUGUUGGCUUUCAGGACGAAUCAACUCCCGUGCCACCCACCACUGUGUCAAGGACACCUAGACCAUCUGCCUGGAGUUGACUGUUUGCCAGUCGGAGCCGUCGUUUAACCCGCCGGUUGGCCAGAAGCCAAUGCUAGUCCGACUGUCUAGUCAUGUUCUGCUCCAGUUGACCUUUCUUCGAAAACCCAAGUUAAAAGUUACAUUCCCGUGCGAAUUAGCUCACACUCCACCCACCACCGUGACCGGCACAUCUAGACCGUAUCGAAACACCCCCGCCGCUCGUCGGAACGAUCUGCCAACCAUCCCGUUUGCCGGACCGCCUGGUUCCGCUUGUUUCACCUUUGCAGCUCGUUUUCUCCCAUUCUGACCCUUCCUCCACUCAUCCCAACCUCUAGCAACUCCCCCUUGACCCCUAGGUUCCGCCGGUUGCCGGCCAACCCCUUGCCGGAGCUCCGAUGAAGCCGUUUCACUCAUUUUCCUCCUCUGCUGUUCGGUUUCUUGGAAUUGCUGAGGGAGUUCGAGCUUGUGGCUGUUGUUUUAGCCUUGGGACCACCUUGGAUCGUUGUUGUUGACGUCUCGGUGCAUCGCCUCCGACGUUGUCGCCGCGUGCGUGUCUUCGGCACGUUUAACGGGUGAGUGUAGCUCCUAAACCUCAGUUUAGUGCCUAAACUUGCUUAGGGUUGGUUUAAUUAGUGGUAAUUCUAGUUUAGAAGAUUUAAUUGAGUUAUAUUAGUCCUAAUAUAGGUGGUUAGAUUAGUGGCUAAGAUUAGUUUAGUUUAAUUUUACUUUAUUGGCUUAAAUGUGGUUUAUGUGCUUAAUUAGGCUUGUUUAACCUUAAUGGAUUAAUUGCUUGUUUAAAUUAGUGUUUUUAAUGAAUUUUGGAUUUAAUUUAUUAAUUAUUAAAUUUUGGAAUAUAUUGUUCACGACACAAUUCACACGCACUGUACAUGAAACACUGUUUAUGCGCACUGUUCAUGCGCACUAUUCACACGAGAAUGAAAAGUGUCUAAUUGCAUGUAUUUUAAUCGCAUGUAUUUUAAUCAUAUGAUGUGAUUUGAGUAUAUACAUGCAUGAGCAUCAGUAUCAAUUGAGUGAAUUUCACAAAAAAGGAAUAAUGGAUUGUCUGAGGGACAUUAGAGAUGGACCGUUUUUAUGAGAGAAGGAUUUGAGGAGGCAUGUUCGCAUGAUCAAAUGUUGGACCCUCACCCAACGGGAGUUUGGGGACCGAUGUUCCUUUUGGGAAAACUGUCUGAACGGGAGUUCGAGAUGUAGCCGUGCCCGACGAGGCAGGAUGAAGCUCGAUCUUUUUAUCGGUAGUCGUUGGGAGUUGGAUGAUCGCUAAUUGGAAAGUUAGCAAUGGCCGGGAGGUUAUUAAUAACUAGAGCACGCAUGAGUGUUGAGGUGGAUGAGCACUAAUCGGAAAGUUAGUUAUGGCCAGUAAGUCAUUAGUAACUUGAGUACUCGUGAGAGUUGUGUUGGUUGGGCCUUACUAUGGGGUAAAAUUGUGUAGCGCGGUAUGAGACGUGUCAUAACGAUUUUACCUUAUAAUCAGGACCUGUGUGAUUGAUUGAUGCACGAUAGGUGGCGCACUAAAGUGCAAGAACGUAUGAGAAUCAUGACAUCAUUAGUUUCGGUUAUAUAUGUUGAUCACAUUGUUUAUGGCACGCACGCAUGAAUCAAUAACAUGCAAGGUGUGGCAAUGGCCAAGUGAGAUUGCUUGUGAUGCGACUCAUAUGUGAUUGAUGAACUGCAUCAUCUAACGGCCAAGUGCAUUGCGUGUUUUGUGCUGAGAUUCAACGUGCACGGUAUGGCAUACCAGGUAAGGUUGCAUGCAAACCGACUAUGUAGUUAGUGGUUACCCUAGUUGUUGUGAUUUGUUGAUUGUUGGUUGUCAGUUGUGGUUGGUUUGUGGGGUGGUUCUGGAGAGAUACCCUGAGUUGAGUUGGUGUUCUAAUCGAGGGCUUAAGGGAUUUCAGGUUCUUAGGAUGGCACUUCCGCCAAUGAGGUUCAGUAUCCCUAAGGACUGGGAUACUUUGUGACGCGCCACCGCUUCUCGGGUCGAGCAUACCUGUACGAGAAGUAUCUCACUACCAUCUGGGUGGAUGAGGGACCAAGGCAAUGGACACCGCUUCCCAGGUCGAGCAUACCUGUACAAGAAGUAUCUCACUACCAUCUGGGUGGAUGAGGAACCAGGGCAAUGGAUACCCCAUAGGUUCUUGGCAUGAUUCAUCUGGAAUGGAGAUAUGUUAUUCGGUCCUCUGCAAGGUUUUGACAGGCCACUUGGUAGGGGCCUUGAGGACGAUGAUUAGGAUCUCAUGGAGCUGGACCCUCCUGACAGCACAGUGGAGAAUCCUGGCCUCGCUUCACCAGCAUCAGACCCGUGUGGCUCCAACUAUGAAUCGACGGGGUCUAAGUCCUUUGGAUCCGAGUGACGGUAGGAUCGAGCCCGAGAGUUCUUUUUGGUGUAUAGAUUGGGUUAGCCUAGACUAGUCUCUUUUUGGUCUAGCUUAGAGGAUGGAUCGGCCCCUCUGUUGGGCUUGUAAAUUAGAAAUGAUCCUCCGUAGGUUAAUCCAAUAUGAAAAUGUAAAAUGUGUAUAUAUGAGUAGAGGUUGUAUUUCUGCUGUUCAUCUCACUAUCCCUAUUUGAUUGCUUGAUUGUCUGUUGAUGAGGAGAUGGUUCGUUUUCCGCUUGCGCAUAAUGAAAGAUUAAAAAUGAAAGGGGUAGCGAUGAGUCCUGGGACAUCGCUUUCUAUCGACCAAGGAAGGGAUUGUUGCGUGCCCGGGGUUCGGGAUGUGACAGGAAAGCAACUCACGAGUGUUGAUUAGCACAAACUAUCAUCUUCCCAAUUGCGUGCGACACAACUUACUCCGGCAGAAGAGACCGAAGAGGGAUAGAUGAACUGUGCAGUGGACUAAGAGGGGGCGUAAAACCACCGCCAGAGAAAGCAGCGGCGGUGCCCUCGAAUUGGCUUCCAAAUGUGGCCAUCUUCUCUGUUUUGUUUCCCUUUUUAUUUUUUUUUCACUUGAUCAAGAGGGAAUUGUUUCCAUUGUUGGUUCAUUCGAUCCUCGGAUUUUUUUUUUCCUGUUAUGGAGCUUCUUUUUCCGUCUGUUUCUCGAUGUACUUCCAUAAGAUUCCACGAAAGAUUUCCUGGGUUUUCUCGUGCUUGGGUUUCAACGUUACUCGCGAAAUCUUGUUCAACCCACUCUUGGUAGCAACAACACAGAGAAGAUAGUCUAUUGCGGAUACAGUUUGAGGCUAAAGACAAGAAAUUCCGAUUUUUUAGGCCCACCGACCGCUGUCUUUAAUUUCUCGGUCAAGUGGCACCAUUUGCUAGUUUUCGUUGAUCAAAAUCAAUUUUGAGUUGUUUAACUGGACACAUCCACUUCUAAUGCUCAAUUUUGUGGGCAAACAUCACAAAAAAUCUCAUACUAUUCGCACUGUGGCAUAAAUACCCAAAGCUUUUUAUUUUUAUUUUUUAUAUAUAUCACAAAAAGUUAAUAAACUUGCCCACUGUGACACAAAUACUUCUGACUUUUUUUCGUGUCACAAACAAAUCCAAUGUAUAUAUAAAUAUUUUAUAUUUCAGUUCUAUUCAGAGUAUAUUUGUCACAAUUGGCAAGUUUAGGAUUUCUACUAAUAAAAAAAAAUUAGGGUAUUUGUGUCAUGGUUGGUAUAAUUUGAGUUUUCUGAGGUAUUCAUCCUUAUUUAUUUAUUUAUUUAUAAGCAAUGCUUUAUUUGCUUUUUUGAGCAUGGGUUUUUUAUUCAAUCAUGUGAUUGAGAUGCGUUUGUUUUUAUUUAUUAAUAUAACUGAAAAAAAAUAUUUGAUCACGGAUGCUGAGAGAAAGUGUGCGUGCCCACUCUAGCAUUAUUAAUCCUUGUUAGUUGAUAUCUAGCCUUAAUCAUGUAAUAAAAAUUGCGAAUAAAGUGUGGGGCAGUGAGAGUACUUUGUGUUAUAUAUAGAGUGGUUAGGAUUUGGUUUUAUACACCUAAUCUAGUGCCUUGUCUGAUAGUGUAAAUGAAAGUUCCACGUUAAACACGUGCAUUUGAACACAGCCAAAAAAAUAGAUGAUGAGUACACAUACAAGUAUCUUGACGUUGUAGCUAUAAACGAGUAAAGAAUUCAACAUAUGGGCUUGAGGUUUCAUGCUCUUGACGUUGUGACUCUCAUGUGCUAAUAAAUGUCCACCAAAUGGUUCAUUGACUUGAUACUACACACCUAACUAAAGCAACAUAUCUUUCUCCAUCCCUACUAAAGCCAGACCUCCAUUAGAGAAUUGCAAAUAAGGAUAAAACCCAUUUGUAAAUUUAACUAAGUUGAAAUUUUUGCGAUGUCAAAUUAUAAUUGGAUCUUCUAAUUAGGGACGGAGGAAAUAACAUGGCCCUUAACUAAAUAUUUUUUAUUUUUUGACAAAAAAAAAGCUAAACAAUUUUUGUUCAUGUGCAUGUUCAAAGUUCAAAGAAAAAGAAGAUUUAAUUGGAUCAAUAUACCAAUUUUCACUAAUAAAUAAAAAAUUCAGAAGAAGCCGUUCAGGUGGAGUCUAAAAGUGAUUUAUUUAUUUUUCCUACUAUGAGGAGCAUCUCCAUUUAAUGUAUAAAUUGUAAGAGACACCCAGCACCAUCUUCAUGUUCUUUAUUUAGACACCCAACCAUUCACUCCAACCAACCUCCUCCUCCACCUACGCCACCACUACCACCACCAUCACCACGCAACGCACCGCGGCCGCGGCCGCCACCAUGCAACCCUCUCAACCUCCUCCUCUCAAUGAAAAUUACUUGCGAGACGACGUCAAGUCGCAAGAAUGCGAAGACUUGCACUCCUCUCUCCCUUCGGAAGAAGACUGGGUCCCCACCUCUCUCCCUUCGGAAGAGGACUGUGUCCCCUCCACUCUCCGCUUGUACCAGGGCUUCUGGUUCCCCUCUUGGGUCUUGAACAGCGUCGUCGCUUGCCAAAAUCACUUCCAAGCUCACCCCUCCGACAUCCUCCUCGUCACCAGCCCGAAAUGUGGCACCACCUGGCUAAAGGCCAUCCUCUUCGCUCUCUUGAACCGUGCCAAGUACUCUGACUCCAACUCACAAAAACGCCACCCUCUCCUAACCCAAAACCCCCACGACCUCGUGCCCUUCUUGGAGUUCAGGCUCUAUCUCCAGAAUAAAAAUCCUGAUCUCACUGCUUUUGCAUCCCCGAGGCUCUUGGCCACCCACUUGCCUUAUUCCUCUCUUCCACGGUCGGUGAGGGACUCCAAUUGCAAGCUGGUUUACUUAUGUAGGAACCCUAAAGACACUUUCAUCUCGAUGUGGCACUACUUCAACAAGUUCAGGCCCGAAGAGAAGGGCCAGCUUCCACUCCCGGAGGGCCUCGACAAGUUCUGCCGAGGUGUGAACUGGUGUGGGCCUUAUUGGGACCAUGUGCUGGGUUACCACAAGGCGAGCUCGGAGAUGCCCGAGAAGGUUUUGUUUGUGAAGUAUGAGGAGAUGAAAGCGGACCCGAGCGUUCAAGUGAGGAGGUUGGCCGAUUUCAUGGGGCGUCCAUUCAGCGAAGAAGAACUGAGAAACGGGACCGUGGAGGGAAUAUUGAGGAUGUGUAGCUUUGACAAUUUGAGUGCACUGGAGGUGAAUAGGAGCGGCAAGUUGCCAUCUGGACUAGAGAAGAAGUGGUUCUUCAGGAAAGGCGAGGUUGGAGAUUGGGUGAAUUACAUGAGCGCUGAAAUGGGAGAGCAAAUUGACGGUGUCAUGGAAGAAAAGUUGCAUGGUUCUGGUUUGAAGUUUUAGGACAUAUGACCCACUCGAAGAUGUUUGGUUUGAUGGUGGAAAAGAAAAAUGUGUGUAAAAAGAAGAAAAAAGAAGCAAAAACGAUUCGACUCUCCGCACUUUAGGGGGUCAAUGUCUGGAUGAAAGAUCUUCAGUGGCAUUGUCAGUCCUGGUUUCGUCUCCAUAGUGAGAUGCUUUAAGGUUGUGAUUCUAGUCUUCAUCUGUGUUUUGUAUAUUUGGCGUUUGGCAGAAGUUAUUUGGCCAGUACGUAGCUGGCUAAACAAGAGCUGCCUAGCUGCUCCCUGGGAGCUUGUGGAUGUAUCUUCUGUUAUUUAUUUCAAUUCCAUUUUUCUUUUUCUCUUGGCUGUGUGAAGAUUCGUGGCAUACGGUAUUAAAUACAAAGCAGUUGUUUGGUAGGUUAAGCUACAAAUUAUAUUUGUUAGAUGGAAAAUAAAUUUGUUAUCAAGCUUAUCGGUUUAAAUUGUCGGUUUUCAAAGUCAUAAACUAAAACCAAACGAAUAACCAAAGAAAAAAAAUCCUAAACCAAAAUUAAAACCCUAAAGUGCUAAACUGAGCUUAUCAAUUUUGUUCGGCUCGGUUGAUCGUUUUUUUUUUCUGUUUUUCGUGAACAAUCCUACCAGCAUAGAUCCUUGCCGAAGCUGGCCAUGGUUGGGCUGUGGCCAUACCCAUGCGGUUUCUUCUAUUUUUUUUUUUAUUUUUUUUUUAACUUUCUUUCAUUUUAUUUUUUAAGAAUUCAUUAAUUUUCAUUUGUUCCUCUUGUUUAUGUCUCUUUUAAGUGUUUUGAUAAACCGGCUUGUAGUUUGGUUGACCCCCUUUUUAUAAUGUGUUAAUGAGAAUCAAAAAUUAAUUUUGUCAUGCCCUUUAAUUUACUUUGCCAAUUGCUUGCCAAGUGAUGUCUUUAGCUUCCGCGGCUUUAAUCUUGUCCUCUUUUUGCUGAUCGCGUGUUAACGGCCUAGCCAAGCCCACGUUCUUUCGAUGCUAGACUUCAGCCUACCAUCAAUUUUUCCUUCCAUAGAUUGUGCGCAUGAAGGAAUCGAACCAAAUGAAAAGAAGGCAAACGGUGAUAGAAAACGCGGAAAAGAGGAAACGGAGAAGAGAGAGACAAAGCUUGAGCGCGCAUCUCACGGGAAACUCGCUAAGCCAGGUUAGCCUCAUUUUGCAAGGCCCAAUAACUAAUCGAACUCGUUAUUCGUCUAAUUGAAAUAAUUUUCGGAAUUAGGCCACAAAUUGGAAGUUUAAGUGAAUUUUGAAACGCGAUUAAGGAGUUAUUAAGUUAUGGAUUUAUAUGGAAAUGGUCCUGUUUUGUGUGGGCAAAGUUGUUAGCCCACCACAAUCAAUGAGUUUGAAAGAGAGCCCCAAGAUUUGACAUGUGCUCUCAUAUCAUAGAACAAUACCUAAUCAUAAAAUUUAAACCAUUAAAUGAAAGGUGACUACAAGUAUACAAAACAUAUCAUAACUAUAACUUAAGUGAUUUAGAACUAUACUUAAUAGUUUGAAUGGAUGAGACACCAAAUAAUUAUACUGAUGGAGGUAAAAGAUUUCAUUCCAUUUUGGGGUAUCUUCACAUAAUAAAAUUCAACUCCAACUUUACAGAAUCCUGCAAUUUUUAUUCAAUUACAGAAAUUAAUUAAAGUGGCCCACUUGCAUCAUGGUGAGAGGAUCCAAUUCAAAGACAUGUAGUUAAUAACUCACCGUUGUCCACAUCUGCAAUAGCCUUCCUAACUAGCCAUGUCACAUAAGACAGUUGAUAUUCACGUUAAUAAUUACUAGUAAAAAUUAGCUGGAAUGAUUAUAUUGACAAAAAUCGAAAGAUUUAAGAUUAAAUUGGUCAAAUUGAAAAGUUUAUAACUGACUUAACCACCAUAUAAUAGGUUCAUGACUUUUUAACUAAUUAUCCAUAAUUUUUUUCUGUUGAUUGAUAAUGCUUCAUUCUGACAGAGUAAAGUACCACUUACUUUUGAACAGCCAAAAAAUGGAUGAUGCUUACAUAUACAAACGUCAUUACGCUAUAGCUAUAAAUGACUACAAAAUGCAUAUAUCUUCACUUACAUUAGAUGUAACACCAAAUGAACUCGAAAUUGCACAUCUAACUAAAGAGACAUAUUUUCCUCUAUUCUUGCUAAAGCCAAUCUCAAAGUAGAGGAUUAGACAACCCGCUUGCAUAUUUAACUAAAAAUAAAAUUUGUGGCAUGUCAAACUAUGAUUGGAUGCUCUAACUAGGGUAGCUAAAGAUUUUCUAUGAUGUUCAUUGUUCAUAGGUUAAGAAACAACAGAAUAUGUAACUAGUUUGUAAUACCAAUUCUCACCAAUAAAGAGAAAAACUCAGAAUAAGUCGUCAGAGUAGAGAAUAAAAGUGAAAAUCAUUUUUUUCCCUGACGAGGAGAUUUGUGUAGAGGAAAUAAUUCUUUACGCAUGGGAUGAAUUUGGUUGGAUGUUAAUUUAUUGCAUCUUGAUACAUAUAAAAUGUAAUAUCAUAUAGUAUGAAUUUGGAUGAGUAAAUAUCGAGAACAUAAAGAUUGGUGUACAAAAUUGAUUUACAUGAUGAAAUAAUAGAUCCCAAUGAGUAUCUACAUUAAGGAGGACGUAUACAUUCAAGCAUCCAAUAAUAGUUUUGACAUAUACACCGAUAAAUAUCGGUCUUUACCAACCUUGGUAUCAUCAAUUUUUUUUUUAAAAGCCGUAUGAAAGCAUCAAAUAAUGCUGGGAGUAUUUAUUUAUUUGGGUUUUUUUUUUUAAAGAUAUCUUCACGGGGAAAAUUGGCAGAUUGAUGUUUAUAUUAUUGAAAGACUCGGCCUGUGCUUGGCGACUUCUCAUGUAUAACAUUGACUUCAUUUUAAAACACCAGUUCAGAUUCAAUGUUGUAUCCAAUACUGGAUCGAUAUUAUGAAAUUUCAUCCACACUACCCCGGAUACAAGCCAACCAACAAAUAUUUCAAUAGGUUGCUUCGCUUAGUCGAAAAUAGAGUUAGGUGGGCUACCUUUUUAAUUAUUAUUAAAGGAUGAACAGGAACCUUCGAAUGUACUGUUCAAAGUUGAUAUGAUACGGAUGCUACUUGUAUAGAAGUUAUAAUUUGCAUUUCGCAAGAUGACAAAAUAUAUUUUGCGUAUGAUAAGUUACUUUAUCCCCGUUGAAGAUGGCGUUCACUUGGUAUACUAGUCUUCCCGCGAAGUCAGUACAAAAUGCAUCUGGAGAGAAUCCUCGAUACUUUGGGUGUUCACAGUUUUUGGGCUAACAUUAUAAGAGUUAUUUUGCAUACGAUGUUUUGGGCAUUGGGUAAUGGCCGUGGAGGGUUUGACAUGAACAUAAAUUUGGCCUUAGCCACCAGAGAUGAAGUUGAAAUGGAAGACACUGAGGAAGGCUCAAUUGGAGGAUACGAGUUAGAUCCAAACCAAGUCACACAGGACGUCUCCAGAGGCACCAUUUAAAAGAUCGAGCGGAAGAGUUACUCUGUUGGGAAAGCUGACGGAUGCUGUUCUAUUUGUUUAGAGGAACUGGAUGAGAAAUAUAAAGUGAUGGAGAUACCAUGUUCGCACCUAUUGCACAAUAGGUGUGUCAUCAAGUGGCUCGAGAGGAAUAAUUCGCGUCCACUAUGUCGUGGCAAAGUACAAGUACAAGAUUCAGAGUAGUCAGUUUUAGUUUGUAAGAUUUUCUGAUAAGAAAUGAAUUUUUUUUUUUCCCUGAUGGAUUAAACUAUUGUGCUGGAAUGACUUUGGGUACUUAAUGCAGCGCCCGCUGCUACAGUUCUGAAUAUCACCCCUGUUAAAAAACCGAGGUCACCUGUGAUGUCCCAGUAGAGACCAUAUAUAGUUUCUGUUUCUUCUAUGGCUAGAACCUGGCAGAGAUUGUAACCUGCAUUUGGAAAGAGAGCAAAACGAAAAGAAAAUUGUCCAGUCAAUAUUUACAUGAGAAACACUCACAAAAGAAUGUUCACAUAAGAGUACCAAGCGAGCGGGGAGCGGGGAACGGGGAGAGGGAGGUUGAGAGAGAUUCUUACGCAAACCGACAUACGGAAUAUGCGCAACUUUAUUAGCUCGGUUUUGCUAGUUAUCCUAGGCAACAAUGACCCAUUCGUAAGAAAAUGGGCAAAGACGGCUAACAGUGUAUUAUGCGCACAUUUGAUAAUCUCAUAUAUAAGCUGUCGUGUAUAUUAGAAAUAAAUUAAUAAGAUCGUUGCAGAUAUUUCUCAGAAAUUUAUUUAUUUUUUGAUAGGUGAAAGAGAAUAUUACUGAAGCGCAGCAAGGGAGUGGAAACCCAUAUGCGAAAAGAGCUCAGUUACUCGACAAAUUAUGUACACUGUUAAAGCAUUUCCAUCCGCACGACUUUCCAGGACACCAAAAGCAUAAGAUUUUUAACCAACUUUCAAUAAUUACAGAAAAGGGCGUUUCCUCUCCGAUGAAAGCUCUCAUAUUCGGCUCUCGGAAACUUAACUUAAACAGAUGACUUCCGACCAACAGAAUAUAUACAGAGACAUGCACAACAUCUGUUGUUCCAUCAAUGUUGAACACUAACGUAAGUUCUGGUAAUAAUAUAGGUACCUGUGCGGGUAGUCAUCCACCACACCACCAGUGAAUCUAGCACACAUGGCAGAGCUCAGAAUCAACUCUGCUGGGCUAUGCUUUUUGGAUAAACUUGAAAAACUGCUUGUGUCGCCCCUUGCCAAGCAUCUAUAUGACGAGCCAAAAAAUGCCCUAAAAACACUCUAGACAAAUGUUGAUUAUUAGCCAGCCAAAUAGAGACUAGAAGUUCUGCAAGAUAGAAAAGAAGAAAAGAAGAAAUCUUUUGAUUAUUCCGGACAAUCAUACCAUCCAAUACUAAGGGAGAAGCUUCAAUCCUAACAAUGGCUCCUGAGAGGACUUAUCGGCGUUGCAUAACCACUACAUGAAAAACAGAUAUAGAAUCAACAAACUACAGAAAAGAAACCAACAAAGAUUCCAAGUUACCCAGUGUAGGAACUCAGAGAAUUUCCAGAUAGUGUAACAAGAUUAUGAAAUAAGAAUGAUAACAUGCAAAAUUACUGACAGAAGACAAUCAGAAUGUAUGGAGACAAUACAACAAUGACAAAAGGUGUAUCACCAAGCUAUGGUCCACCGGUCCUUCAAACCCAGCUAUGCCCAAAUUCUAAAUAUUUCAUGUGCACAAUUUACCCCUUGAGUAUCCACUUAAUAACAAGUCAUUCUUACGGAUCAUUCUUUUGGUGUCUAACUAGCAGAUAAGGGGGAAAGACAGAGAAUUGAAUCUACCAAAGUUGAAGCACAACAGUAGCUACUUUCUGCAGGGAACUUUUCUUAUGGAUCAUUCUUUGAUUUGUCUGAUCCAAGCCAAGAGGUCAACCAUGCAUCCACAGUGCUCAUUAGUUGGAGCGGUGCCAUAACCUUUGCUCACACGUCCGAACAAGCGCCAUGCUCCAUUGAUUAGACACUUCCGAUUGCAGGCCAUUGGACCUCCAAUAAACGUCACAGCAUUUGGUUUAGGGCCCCUAUUUUCCAUCUCGUAGAAAAACUGCAGCCCAGUUUCAUUCUUACCAUUGACAGCAAACCCCAAUAUCGUCGCACUCCUAGUUGUCAACAUCUUUUAGAGGCAUUUGGUCAAACACUUCUUCGUGCGAAUCCGACGAACCCACAUGUGACAAGAAAAUAAUCAAUGCAAAGCCUGGCCCAAGUUCGUAAACGAUGCCACUCUUAUCUUUGUACUUAUGAACCCAUUAUCCUUCUUUAGAGGCUUCCACAAUAGCACGGCACAAAGUACGCUAUCCUAAAGAGAUCCAAUUAAUUUCACGUCUGCACGAUCUUUAACCCCAGAAAACAGCUCGAUGGUUUCAUCAAACCGCUCGUUCCUAAAUUAGCCAGAGAUCAAGGCACUGUAGGAAACACCAUUUUUCCCUGGCACUGAAUCGAACGGUCCUCGAGCUUCCUACAAGAGGUCACUGCUACAAUACCCAGUGAUAAGGCUCGUCCACCAAACCACGUCCCGCAUUGAACUCUGAUCAAACGGGUGGCUAGCAACACUCGCAGCCCAAUGCCUCCGGUACAUGCUUAUCAGAGAACCCACCAUGUAUGCAUCACAAUCUCGCGUGAACUUCAUCGCCCGGUGGUGAAGUUGGCCAAGCAAAGGAAGAACGAGCGCCAUGCCCCGACCAGAGCAGUGGAAGUGCGGGCAUAUGGCGGGCGUAGACAGAGACCAGCUUUCCCACAUUCGAAGUACCCCCAAGAAACUCAUCAUCCCGAUUCCCAAGUCGAAGACAAUGGUGGUGGGUGAGUGGGAACACGAGAGAAAAGGCACGCCGCGUAGUUCAUGUGGCUGCGAACGGGAAGCGAGAGAGGCCAAAGAUGAUGGCGUGGGUGGUCGGUCAAUGGUUGAGCAUCUUCGGAGAAGGGCGAGCGUGUGAUAUAUUUAUCACUAAUUGGUUGGAUAAUUUCGUCAUUUCACAAUGUGUAAUAAUAAAUAAAAUAUUUAUUCUAUAUAUGUCUUCUUCUUUUUUUUAAUAGAGAAAUUAUAUAUUAUAACCGGUCCAUUUAACACCCCUACUAUAUAUGUCUUUAGACAUUUUGGCUCUGUUCACAGCCAAUUUUAUUAUGGAAAUAGCGAGUUUCAAGAAAUUAAAACCUAAUAGUGAUGGGAGAAUCAUUCGAUGCUAUUUAGAACACAAAGGGAAUACAAAGUUAUCGUGAUUUAUUCCUUGAUUAGUCCAUCCACAAUCAACUUUGGUCACUAAGGGCACGUUUGUUUAAAUGUGUUUCUGUUCCCAGGAACACAAAUUUUUGUUUUUGUGUUCCUGGGAACAAAAAAGAAAGGAACACAAAAACGAAACAGAAACGCAUUUAUUUGCGUUUUUGUUCCAAAAUUAUUUUUUUGUUCUCAGAAACACAUUUGGAAUGGAAACAAGAAACUAAAAAAUUUUGUUUCUGGAAUAAAAUUUAGGAACACUUUUUCUCUCUCUUCCAUUUUCUUCUCUCUUUUUUUUCUUCUUCUUUUCUUCUUCUUUUUUCUUUAUUUUUUCUUUGGCCGGUCGCUAGCCUCGGCCAUGGCCAGCGACCGGCCGUCGAGGGCCGGCGACCUCGCCAGAGCAUCACCGGCCCCUGGUGAGGCCGACCUCGCGCCGGGCUGGGCGAGCUCAAGCCCGCCUAGCCAAGGCGAGGCCGCUGGCCCUCGUCAGCCGGUCUCCGGCAAUGUCUGAGGCUGGCGACUGGCCAAAAGAAGAAAAAAGAAAAAAGAAAAAAGAAAAAAAAGGAAAAAUAAAUAAGAAAAAAAAGAAAGAAAAUAGAAAAAAUAAAAUAAAAAUAUUAAAAGAUUAAAAGAAAUAAAAAAAUUAUACAAAUUUACCAAACGUGUUUCUAUUCUUUUUAUAUUUCUGGAACAGAUUUACCAAACACGUUUUUUGUUCAAAAAUUGUUUCGUGAAACAGCAAUACUUUUUUCUAUUUCUAUUCCCAUAAACAAUUUUUAAACAGAAAUGUUACCAAACGCACCCUAAAUAUAUCAUAUUUGAGCGUAAUAAUUAUUAAUCACACUUUGUAAGAGAAAACUGUAAUCCACGCGCAAUUGCAUGACGGAUCAAUUUACCAUAAUCAACUCUGCCCACUCAAAGUAUACCUUGAUAUAUACGAAUAUAGACAUGAACAUAAUAGAAAAUUUCCUAUAUAACCACAGUGGAGAAAGAAAUGAAAAAAGAAGAAGAAGAAAACAAUUGAAAACAUUAGGGGGCGCAUUUGAUAAUGAUUCUAUUUUCGGGAACAAUUUCUGAUUAAAAAGGAUUCUUUUAAAUUUUGUUUUUAGGACUAAUUUCUAAGCAUUUUAAGUAGUUUGGUAAUUGUUCAAAAUUUAUGAUUUUAGAAUAGAAUUCCAUUGGGUACUGUGCUUAAAAUUUCUACUCCAAAUCAAUUUUUUUUAAUUUUUAAAUAAUUUUAUUACUUUUUUUCUUUUUCUUUUUCUUUCUCUCCUAUUCUUCUUCUUCAAGUGGUUGGUCGCCGAUUCGGCGAUCGGCGAGAAGAGGGCUGGCGACCUCCCCAGAGCAUCAUCGGCCCUUGGCAAGGCCGGCCCUCGUCGGCAGAGCCUUGCUAAUGGCCAGGUAGGCCUCAUUGGGGCUGGGUGAGGCUCGCCUAGCCAUCGGCGGGGUUGGGCGAGCCUCGUUGGGGUUGGGCAAGGCCAGCCUGGCCAUCGGCGAGGCUGGGCGAGCCUCGCCGGGGCUGGGUGAGGCCUGCCUCGCCGGUGGCUGGGCUUGCCUUUAUCGAGCUUACCGGACCUUGCCUUGGCCUGGCGAGCCUUCGGUGAGCUCACCAUAGCAGUUGUCGGCGACUGGCAGCGGUGGGCGGCAAACGGCGGCGGAUGGCAACCGCGGCGGUGGCGGUAGAUGAAGAAGAAGAAGAGAAAAAGGGUAGAAGAAGAAGAAGAAAAUGGCUUGAUUAUUAGAUUUGUUCACGGGAAUAAGAAUCAACUUUUUUUUAUUUAUUCUUGAUUCUAUUCCAAAUCUACUUUCGGGAACAAAAACAUAGAAAUUUGUUCAUGGGAACAAAAAUUUUACCAAACACUUUUCUAUUCCAAAACUACUCCUAGGAACAAAAACUCAGAAUCUGGCAUUAUUGGGAUGGUUACCAAACAUUCCCUACGACUGGUCUUAAAAAGAACCACUCGCCAAGGAUUGAAUUUCUCGAGAGAAAUAGAGAGAGUCUAAUUGCAUAGAAUAAUAAAAUUAUAAACAUAAAAUAAAAAUUUUCCAUUGGUCAGCAAACAAAAGAAAUACUAAUUCAAGAUAAAGUCUCAUUAAAAGAUAUGUUUGACCUAGGAAUUCUAUAUGCUCUUUUAAGUUAAAUGGCUUUCAAAGGGUGAUUCUUGCACUUGUGAGCUCUUUUUAUAACGAUAUAAACAUGUAUUGAUCAUCGUCAAUCCAAUAAAAUGGCUGCUCUUUAAUAGAUUUUACAUCUUAAACCAUGUUGAAACCAAUGUUUUUCCUUCUUUUUGUCGCUUCUCCAAAAAGGCACGUGUCCCUUUAAAGAGGAAGCAACUAAUUGUACUCAACAAUUUCUAGAUGCAUACCUGUAAUGGAGAAAUUGGUUUAUGUCAAUAAAUCUUUCAAAUUCAAAGCUCCAUCUAAAAUAGAGAACCAUUAGGGAAAAAAAAUAAUUGAUCAGGUCUGAGUGAUUUAGUCUGCACUUAGAACCGAACUGAUUAUCAAUGAUUCCAAAUUUUAGGAACGAGGAAUUGGACUAGUGCUCACCCCUAGAUAGUAUGUUUGAAUGUAAAGAAUUUGUGCAACCAACUGAGAUCUUUGGUUUUACAUACCGAUGAAAAUGAUUUUCCUGAAUAUGUCAAUUGAAAAAUUUAGCUAUGGUUAAGGAAAUUUCUAGGAAGAGUUUAAUUAAGUGAUGCAAAUAUUUUUUAACUGAACACCGGUCGCGAAGGUCUAUAGGUGUAGAGAGCAAAGCUCAAGCCAUAUGUGUUUUGUUUUCUUCAACUAGUUAAUUGAUAACCUUCUACCAUGUCUUUAUUUAUAUAAAAGAAAAUACUUUUAAUACCUUAGCUAAGAUUUCAAGCAAAGUUUAGAGUUCCGAGGCAUUGGAGUGUUAUUAUAUGUAUCCCUGUUUUUGUGCAAGAAUCUAGCAUUGCGCAAAAAUAGAAUUCCGACAAUACAACCCUUUCGAUGUCUUGCCGAAAUAAUUCAUGGUUAGCACAUCAACAAACACAAUAAAGUGACCCAAAUGCUGCAUCUUCUCGAUAGUCCCUUUAUAUAUAUGUAUGUAUGUAUAUUGUCGAGCUUCUCAAUAGCGUUGACUUAUGUACAUUCAUUACUACGUGGAAAGAAUGAAAGAAACUCUUGAGCUCUAGUGGAGCAGUUAGUAGUCUCUCUUCCACAAUGGUCCAGAGGAAGUCUGCUGCUUCUCUGUGCGCCGUAUUGCUAGGGUACCCUUGGAUCUGUCACCACCUGAUCAACAGCUUCCGAUGAAUUCUCAAUGGGUGGCUUAAGAGGCCAAAAAUUUCUAUUCCUAGGGAUUAAAGAUGCUGGCAAGUUCUCGUCAUGGCACCAUCGCUGACCUCGGUUGUGUGUGCUCAUCUGUCAAUUAUGCCUCGGCCCACUUGACCUCAACCCCCUCAAGUUUAAAGGAGUCUUACCUGGCAGGGGAGCAAGAGUUAGUCCUUAGGUAUCAAGAACUCUCUGGGGACAGAAUCCAUGUCCACGUAACAAUUUUUGGCUUUAGCAUCAGCACUCCGCGCAGCCCAAUCAUCAGACUGAAUCAAAGGUUAACGUUUCCCAUUACCUAAUAAGAGUAAAAGACACUAAAACAAUCACAAUCUGUCCUCGUAAGUGACAAAUGAACAGGACACGGAGUUGGCCAUAAAGACAAAGGUAUACAACAGGGCUGAUGAAACCAUACCUUAGAUGCUCCUAUAUACCGAGUAAACAUGGGUUUCGUGUGGUAAGAGACAGAACCACCUCAGUGGGAUUCUUGACCAUAUGUAAUAUCACAAAUUAAGGCCUAAGCAAUGGAUCUUUGUAACAUAUUUAAUCAUGUUACUUCACCAGUCUCACUAUCGAUUAGGCAUUCUUGGUAACAGUAUUUGGAAGGGACAUCAUGGAUUUGUUAAUGCAUCCUAUACCGAACAGACAACAACAUUGUUGCGCAAUCCAGCUUGCUAAAAUCUAUCAAAAAGUCUCCUGCUAUCUAGCAAGGUCCGAUAACACUAGCAGGAAGCUGCUGCGGAUCCACAAACAGAAACAUCAAGCAGCACCAAGAGAAAGGGAAGGAAUAACUGCCACCAGAUUGGCAUGCACUGCCUCAUCAAUGACUGCCAUUUCGAAACCAUGAGAAAGGCGAGAGAAUAAGGCUGCGUUUGCUUUGAUUUCUUUUUUCUGUUUUUAAAUAAUUUUUUUGUUUUUUUGUUCCUGGGAACAAAAAAGGAACAGAAAUGCCUUUGUUUGCGUUUUUGUUCCAAAGUUAUUUUUUUGUUCCCAGAAACACAUCUAGAACAGAAACAAGAAACAAAAAAAAAUUAUGUUUCUUGUUUCUGGAACACAUUUUAAGAACAAAAAAUGAACAAAAACAUAAGCCCUCGUGUUUCUUUUCUGUUUCUUGCUCAGCCGUUCGAAGACUGCCUCUCCUCCUACAUCUUCUCCACCGUCAUCUUCUCCGGCGCCUCCCACUCUCCGGCGCCAACAACCGCCUCUGUCUCGAGACCAUCCGGCUUCUCCACCGUCGUCCUCUCCGGCGCCGAUAGCCGCCUCUGUCUCGAGACCGUUAGGCUUCUCCACCGUCGUCCUCUCCGGCACUAACAGCCGCUGCUCCUUCACUAGGUGAACCUGCUCACUGCUCCUCCUUCACCGAUUGACGAGGGCUUCAGCGAGAGCCACCCCUCACAGAUUUGGGCGAUGGCUGCUCGGAGCUCGAGCGUGAGGGCUCGCUUGAGCCAGCGCUUGCCCAGAUCUGCGAGACGCUUGCUCUAGCGAGUCUCGUAGAUCUGGGCGAGCGGGGCACCGUUGCUCGCUAGAUCUGCAGCAGCGGCUCGUCUGCUCACUCGAGAUCUGGACGAGCACGCUCGCCGAGAUCUGGCGAGCAGACGCUGCCCGAGAUCUGGACCAGCACGCUCGCCCAGAUGAGCAACUCACUCGAGCAUUUGCUUGCAGCCAAGAUCUGGACCAGCACACUCGUCCAGAUGAGUAGCUUGCUCGAGCGUUUGCUUGCAGCGAGCCCUGCUCUGCUCGCUCGCUGCUGCUCACGCUCGAGUGAGCUGUGAGUAGCAGCGAGCGUCUGCUGCUUGCUUCUCUGCUCGCUCGAGCAUGAGUAGCAGUCACUUGCUUCUCUGCUCGAGCGAGCAGAGCAGCGAGCCUAGCUCUGCUUGCUCGCUGCUGCUCACACUCGAGGGAGCAGAGUAGCAAGCGUCUGCUCGCUCGAGCAUGAGCAGCAGCGAGCGAGCAGAGUAGCGAGCGUCUGCUUGCUUGCUUGUCUGCUCGCUUGCUGCUGCUCACGCUCGAGCGAGCAGACAAGCGAGCAGAGCAGCGAGCGUUUGCUCAUUGCUCACGCUCGAGCGAGCAGAGCAGCGAGCGCCUAAUGAUAUUGAUUAUUAAACUUGUUGAAGAUCUUUGGAUUGUGUUGCAACUAGGAGAGAUUGAUGCAUAGGUGGAUGCAUCCUAAUACUGUUAAUUCCUGUAUUAGUGUCAAUCCUGUUGAUCAAACGAUAAGGUAACAUGUUACGUUUUUCAUAACUAGAGAGAGGAAAAGGACCUCUCAAAAUCUCAUCCCUUCUAUUACAGUAACACGUUACGUUUUCUGGCAAGUUAAGUCAUUGAAAUCAUUUAACUAAUUACUUUAUAAAAGUUGUGAAACUUAAACAAUCAUUUUCAAAGGAUUUUUUUGCCAAAAUAGGCUUGGUACAAUGAUUUUUGGCAAUGAUAAUGUCCGUCUCCAUCAUUUGAUUUUUGUUGCAAUGUGGAAUUAAAACUUAUCCUGUAUUGUGGAAGCCUCUUGCAUAUUUGCACUCAUUUUGGUGACUGUUUCCUUCUCUUUUCCUUGUUUCUCACUCUAUCUCAAUUAGUUGUCUCCUUCCUAGGUGAACAAUGCUGGUGUUGGUGGAUCCAUUAUCGACGCUGAUGCUUUGAGAACUUCGGUGGAUCCAUCCAAAGUUCCGCCUUACCGGUGCCAAUCCACGAAGAAAUAUUUUUUUUCCCUUGCUCUGUUUGCAAUUUGCCAGUCCUUGCCACAUAAAUCGCAAUUUGCUGAUUUUGGAAAUAGUUAUCCGCACGCUAAGGUUGGCCUUUCGGCUUCUUUUUUCUUUGUCUUAAUCUUAGAGAUCUUAUAAUUUAGUUGGACUGUGCACAAAAUAGGAUAGGGUGUACGGAUCCAUAUAGGUUACCAUGCUGAUUCUGUGUAUGGCGUGUAGUUCUUAUGGUAUUAUGUUAUUGAUUUAAUUCAUAACUCAUAUGAUGCUCAACCGGUCGAAGAUUCAAUGGCAUCUGAGAGACACUCAUUCAAUGCAAAGUGGACGGAGUCUAUAACCAAUAUACUUAUCGAUUUAAAGGGAAACCACACCUCUUCCACUUUCGACAAAGCGGGGUGGAGGAAUGUACAGUCUGAACUCAGUAGACAGACAUGAUUCCAAUUUACCAUGGUACAGCUGAGGAACAAGGAAAACAAACUGAAAAAACAGUAUGGCAGUUUUCACAAACUCAUUUCUCAGUUCGGAUUUGGUUGGGAUAAUGUGAACAAAAGAGUUGUUGUCGACGAUCCAAGUAUAUGGGAAUCUCAUAUCAAGGUAUUUCUUAACUUUGUGGUCAUUUUGAUAUCAUUACAAAUGUCAAUUUUAAAAUGUAUGAUUAUAUUGCUGAAAUGUCAAUAUUGUGAAAAUUGUAGGAUAAUGUCGAGUGGGCAAGAUUCAGGAAGAAUGGAUUUCCUCAGUAUCAUGAGCUCUGUAUUGUUUUUGGUGGUACAUAUGCUACUGGGGAUCACGCCAUAGGAAAUGCUCAAGAUGUGAAUGUGUCGGAUGAUGAUGACAAUGGUGAUGACAAUGUAGGUGGUGACAACAGUAGUGGCGAUGCAAAUGGUGUCAAUGCAGGUGGUGACUAUGAUGGUAGCAAUGCAAAUGAUUUCAUUGGACACCACAGUGAUGACAGACUCUUUACAACAGACGAUGCUGGAACUUCAGUUCAUGGAAAGCACAAAUUGGAUAGAACUCCAAAUAGUAAGUGGAGAAGAAAGAGUAACCAAUCCGGUAUUGCUGAAACUUGCAGAGCCAUACAAGAUUUUCUGAAAGUUAGGUCAUCAAGUCAAUCUGGUGGUGGCUCUGCGAGCUCAGGGACUACACAACCACCUGUAGACCAUUUCUCCAUAUCUGCUAUAGUCCAUAUUCUAUUGAGUAUGCCUGAGAUAGAGCAAGAUGUUUACAAUAAAGCAGUGGAACGAGAAUGCGCCAGUUGUCAAUGGAGGGAGGCUUUCAUUAUAUCCACAUCUGCAAGGAGGAUUGGACUUCUUCAAUUCCUUUAGUAGAUGUUUGGAAAUAUAUUAUGAAUUGCAUAGAGUUUCAUUAGACUAUAUAACUUAUAUUAUCUAUUAAUCUUUAGUUUAUUCAAAUAUGAUUAAUGUUGAGACUCUUGUACUUAUAUGUAAUGGCAUAUCUUAUUGAGAUUUUAUGACUUAUGUUAUUGAUUGUUAUUGGGAUGUGUUUUCAAAAUCUAUAUUGAUGUUUUGGUCAUUUUUGUGAUUGUAAAGGUACUAUGGAAGGGGGAUCAAAUAGUGUGUCUAAUGAGCAGGUACAACCAGUUGAACAAUUCUUGGAUGAUGAUAUUAACAUAUUGGUAGUGUGGUUCUGCUUAGCUGCGAUGGACACGUCCCUGCAUACGAGAGAACCUAUUAGGGACAAUCAAUUAUCAGGAGUAGAAUGGAUAAGGGAGAUUGUUCAUGGACAUUCAGAUAGGAUAUAUGAAACAUUUAGGAUGGAGAGACAUAUUUUUCUUAAUUUAUGUGACUUAAUGAGGGUAAGGGGUUGGUUGAAAGAUAGUUGAUAUGUUCAAAUAGAUGAACAAGUUGGGAUAUUCUUAAGUGUGGUUACUCACAAUAACUCAAAUAGAGAUUUAUGUGAGAGAUUCCAACAUUCAGGAGAAACGAUCAGCAAGUAUUUCAACAAAGUGUUGAAAGCAAUGAUCAAACUUUCAAAGGAGAUAAUCAAACCACCGUCCUUUGACGUCAUUCCACAAGAAAUUCUUAUUGAUCCUAGUCAUAAACGCUACUUCAAGGUAUGAUUUUUAUAUUGAUUUUAUACCGUCAAAUACAUGUAGUUGAUAAUCUUAUAUGAUAUUAGAUUGUUAAUAUAUUGACAGGACUGCGUAGGUGCUACGGAUGGCACCUAUAUAGAUGCUACCGUCUCUGUGUCUCAGCAGAUUCCAUUUAGAGGUAGGAGUAGAAGAACAACCCAGAAUGUGCUGUGUAUUUGCUCUUUUGAUAUGAAAUUUACUUUCGUGUAUGCUGGAUGGGAAUGAUCUGCCAACGAUUGUCGAGUGCUUUUAGCAGCACUAAAAAAUCCUCAACUACAAUUUCCCCGACCACCACCUGAUACUUACUUUGUUUAUGAAGACAAUUUUAUGAUUAUAUAUUAUGGUUGAAUAUCACAACAAAUUUAUAUAUAUCAUGUUAUAAGGAAAUAUUACGUGGUAGAUUCGGGUUAUGCAGCACUUCCAGGAUUUUUAACUCCAUUUAGAGGCGAUCGGUAUCAUCUAAGCGAGUAUAGAGGGAAUGGGGGACGACCAAGGACAUCAAGAGAAUUGUUCAACAAGAAGCACUCUUCACUAAGAAAUGUAAUUGAGAGGUGAUUUGGGGCAUUAAAGAAUUGCUUCACCAUUUUGAGACAGAUGCCUUCAUUUACAAUUCGGAAGCAAGCACUUGUUGUAAUUGCUUGUUGUGCUCUCCAUAACUACAUUCGUGAUCAAGAAGCGAUGGAUAGAAACUUUUCCCUAUAUGGAGAUCCGGAGUAUCCAUGCGAACCUACAGAAGUGGAGGUUGCAGAUGAUACAUUGCAUGAUGCACCUAGAAUAAACAUGCUAGGACAAGGAUUGCAAAUAAAAUGGCGACGGAUCAUAAUAUGCCUGAGAUUUCAUGACUUUGUGUUUCCGACUUUUGUAAUUUUGUUUUUAAGUACUCACUUAUCAAAUUCAAUGUGAUGAAGUUGAAUAAUGAACUAUAUUGUCCGGGAUAAGAACGCUUCAAGUGCCAAAAGUUGGCACAAAGGGACACUUAAGUGCCAAAAGUUACGAAAGGUACACUUGAGUGUCACAUUCGAAGAAAAACGGAUCACUUAAGUGCCACUCCGGCCAAAGUCCGGCCAAAAGGCUGACGUGGCAUUUUUCCGACGAAUUUCCGGCGAAGUGAACCCAAAACGACGCCGUUUUGCAUGCUGACAUGGCAAAUAAUGCAAAAACGGCGUCGCUUUGGGUUGACAUGGCAAAAAAAUAAUAUAACAAUUAAAUAAAUUAAAUUUAAAAUUCGAUUUAGAUAAAAUAUUAAAAAAAUUAAUUUUAAUAGUUAAAAUAUUAAAAAAAAUAAUAAAUUUAAAAUUACAUUUAGUUAAAAAUUUUAAAAAAUAAUUUAAAAAUUAAAUUUAGUUAAAAUAUUAAAAAAUAAUAAUUUUAAAAUUACAUUUAGUUAAAAUAUUUUUAAAAAUAAUUUUAAAAUAAAAUUUAGUUAACAUAUUAAAAAUAAUAAUUUUAAAAACUAAAAAUUAAAAAAAUAAUUUUAAAAUUAGAUUUAGUUAAAAAUUUUAAAAAAAUAAUUUUAAAAUAAAAUUUAGUUAACAUAUUAAAAAUAAUAAUUUUAAAAACUAAAAAUUUAAAAAAUAAUUUUAAAAUUAGAUUUAGUUAAAAAUUUUAAAAAAAUAAUUUUAAAAUAAAAUUUAGUUAACAUAUUAAAAAUUAAUAAUUUUAAAAAUUAAAAAUUAAAAUAAAUUUAAAAAAUUAAAAUAAAUUUAAAAAAUUUAAAAUUAAAUUUAGUUAAAAUAUUAAAAAAUAAUAAUUUCAAAAAUAAAAAAUUUAAAAUUAGAUUUAGUUAAAAAUUUCAAAAAAAAUUACAAUUAGAUUUAGUUAAAAAAUUAAAAAAAAUUAAUUUUAAAAUUAAUUUAUUAAAAUAUUAAAAAAUAAUAACUUUAAAAAAAUUAAAACAAAUUAAAAUAAUAAAAAUUUUAAAAUUAGAUUUAGUUAAAAUAUUAAAAAAUAAUAAUUUUAAAACUAAAUUUAAUUAAAAUAUUAAAAAAUAAUAUUUUAAAUUAAAAAAUAAAAGAAGGGGGCGGUGGNNNNNNNNNNNNNNNNNNNNNNNNNNNNNNNNNNNNNNNNNNNNNNNNNNNNNNNNNNNNNNNNNNNNNNNNNNNNNNNNNNNNNNNNNNNNNNNNNNNNNNNNNNNNNNNNNNNNNNNNNNNNNNNNNNNNNNNNNNNNNNNNNNNNNNNNNNNNNNNNNNNNNNNNNNNNNNNNNNNNNNNNNNNNNNNNNNNNNNNNNNNNNNNNNNNNNNNNNNNNNNNNNNNNNNNNNNNNNNNNNNNNNNNNNNNNNNNNNNNNNNNNNNNNNNNNNNNNNNNNNNNNNNNNNNNNNNNNNNNNNNNNNNNNNNUUUUAAAUGAUUAUUUUUUAAUAUUUUAACUAAAUUUAAUUUUAAUUUUUUUUAUAUUUUAACUAAAUGCAAUUUUAAAUUUAUUAUUUUUUUAAUAUUUUAACUAUUAAAGUUAUUAUUUUUUAAUAUUUUAACUAAAUAUAUUUUUAAAUUUAAUUUAUUUAAUUUUUAUAUUAUUUUUUUUAUCACAUGAGCCAAAAACGACGUCGUUUUUGCAUUAUUUGGCCAUGUCAGCGUGCAAAACGGCGUCGUUUUGGGUUCGGUUCGCCGGAAAAAUGCCACGUCGGCAUUUUGGCCGGAUUUUGGCCGGAUUGGCACUCAAGUGAUUCAUUUUACUCCGAUUUUGGCACUUAAGUGUACCUUUCGUAACUUUUGGCACUUAAGUGUCCAUUUGUGCCAACUUUUGGCACUUCAGGGGUCCUUGUCCCAUUACUUCAUUAUUGUGAUGUUAUGUAUGAAAGGGUCUAUGUAGAGAUCUAUAAGAUAUUCUUCUUUUAGCCAGCUCUUAUUGUACAAAUUUUACUUACGAAAUUUUGUUCCAAGUAUGCACAUGACCAUGUUCAGAAUGUUUGUCUUCACCCACCAUGAACAAAAUUAAAUUGAUGAGCAUUUCAUUAGAGUGAUAAUGCAAUACCAAGUUUACACUUUAUUGAAAAAAAGGCACGUGAGAAAAAUUUGGUACAAAGUUUAUUUAUAAAAUUUUCUUCAAAGUAUGCACUUAUAACCAUGUUUAGAAUGUUUGACUUUACUCACCAUGAACAAAAUUAAAUUGAUGAGCCUUUUAUGAUAAUGAGAAUUCAAAACCAAGUUUACACUUUAUUAAAAAAAAAAAAAAAGCAAUUGGGAAAAUUUUGGUACAAACUUAAAAAAUUUUCUUCCAAGAAAGCAAAUAUGAUCAUGUUUAGAAUGUUUGUUUUCACUUACUAUGAACAAAAUUAAAUUGAUGAGCAUUUCAUGAGAAUGAUAAUUCAAUACCAAGUUUACACUUUAUUAAAAAAAAAAAACACUUGAAAAAAAAAAUGGAACAUAAAUUUUGUGCAGUUACCAAACGUGUUUCUGUUCUUUUUCUAUUCCAGAAACAGAAAUUUUAUGCAGUUACUAAACGCGUUUUUUUGUUCAAAAAUUAUUCCCUGGAAGAGAAACACUUUUUUCUAUUUCUGUUUCCUAGAACAAUUUUUAAACAGAAACGUUACCAAACGCACCAUAAAUUUCUACCACUGCUUGACAGGGUAGUGAAGACAAUCACAGCUUCAUAUGAGAUCCAUUUAUCAAAGCAGCAGAAACUUUUCCUUGAACUAUGUGAUGUGAUUUGCAAAUGGAUCGAUGGAUCUAAAUUGCCAAUCACACAUUGAUGCUACGAUUAGUAUCAUAUGGGAAUAAAUUGACUAAUAUGAAUUCCAAUCGUUGAAUCAUGCUACAUUUUUCGACAUCCUCCAAAGAUACUACCCAGCAGAAUUCCACUUCGCUUUUAAUAACUCUUGACGACAGAUAUGCAAUGCAACUCAUGCAUACAUGUGAUUAGCAUUACACUGAGCAGAUUUUGGUUCUUCAAAAACCCCAACAUUCCAUCCCUACCACGACACUCAAGAGGGAAGCAACUCGCGAGUGUUGAUUAGCACAAACUGUCAUCUUCCCAAUUGCGUGUGACACAACUUACUCCGGCGGAAGAGACCGAAGAGGGAUAGGUGAACUGUGCAGUGGACUGAGAGGGGGCGUAAAACCACCGCCGGAGAAAGCAGCGGCGGUGCCCUCGAAUUGGCUUCCAAAUGUGGCCAUCUUCUCUGUUUUGUUUCCUUUUCUUUUUCUUUUUUUCACUUGAUCAAGAGGGAAUUGUUUCCAUCGUUGGUUCAUUCGAUUCUCGGAUUUUUUUUUUUCCUGUUAUAGAGCUUCUUUUUCCGUCUGUUUCUCGAUAUACUUCCAUAAGAUUCCACGAAAGAUUUCCUGGGUUUUCUCGUGCUUGGGUUUCAACGUUACCCGUGAAAUCUUGUUCAACCCACUCUUGGUAGCAACGACAUGGAGAAGAUAGUCUAUUGCCUAUACAGUUUGAGGCUAAAGACAAGAAAUUCCGAUUUUUUUGGCCCACCGACCGCUGUCUUUAAUUUCUCGGUCAAGUGGCACCAUUUGCUAGUUUUUGUUGAUAAAAAACAAUUUUGAGUUGUUUAAGUGGACACAACCACUUCUAAUGCUCAUUUUUUUGGGCAAACAUCACAAAAAAUCUCAUACCAUUCGCACUGUGGCAUAAAUACCCAAAGCUUAUAUAUAUAUAUUACAAAAAAUUAUAAAGUUGCCCAUUGUGGCACAAAUACUUCUGACUUUUUUUUCGUGUCACAAAUAAAUCCAAUGUAUAUAUAAAUAUUUUCUAUUUUAGUUCUGUUUAGAGUAUAUUUGUCACAAUUGGCAAGUUUAGGAUUUCUACUAAUAAAAAAAAAUUAAGGUAUUUGUGUCAUGGUUGGUAUAAUUUGAGUUUUUUUGAGGUAUUAAACCCUUAUUUUUUAUUUAUUUAUACGCAAUGCUUUAUUUGCCUUUUUGAGCAUGGGUUUUUUAUUCAAUCAUGUGAUUGAGAUGCGUUUGUUUUUAUUUAUUAAUAUAACUGAGAAAGAAAAUAUUUGAUCACGGAUGCUGAGAGAAAGUGUGCGUAUCCACUCUAGCAUUAUUAAUCCUCGUUAGUUGAUAAUAUAUCUAGCCUUAAUCAUGUAAUGAAAAUCGCGAAUAAAGUGUGGGGUAGUGAGAGUAUUUUGUGUUAUAUAUAGAGUGGUUAGGAUUUGAUUUUAUACACCUGAUCCAGUGCCUUAUCUGAUAGUGUAAAUGAAAGUUCCACGUUAAACGUGCAUUUGAACACUGCCAAAAAAUAGAUGAUGAGUACACAUACAAGUAUCUUUACGCUAUCGCUAUAAAUGAGUAAAGAAUUCGACAUGUGGGCAUGAGGUUUCACGCUCUUGACGUCGUCAAUAUCGUAUGCUAAAUGUCCACCAAAUGGUUCAUUGACUUGAUACUACCCACCUAACUAAAGCGACAUAUCUUUCUCCAUCCUUACUAGAGCCAGACCUCCAUUAGAGGAUUGCAAAUAAGGAUAGAACCCGUUUGUAAAUUUAACUAAGUUGAAAUUUUUGCGAUGUCAAAUUAUAAUUGGAUCCUCUAAUUAGGGAUGGAGGAAAUAACAUAGCCCUUAACUAAAUGAUAUUUAUUUUCUGUCAAAAAAAAAAAGCUAGACAAUUUUUGUUCAUGUGCAUGCUCAAAAUUCAAAGAAAAAGAAGAAGAUUUAAUUGGAUCGAUAUACCAAUUUUCACUAAUAAAUAAAAAAAUUCAGAAGAGGCCGUUCAGGUGGUGUCUAAAAGUGAUUUUUUUUUUCCUACUAUGAGGACCAUCUCCAUUUAACGUAUAAAUUGCAAGAGACACCCAGCACCAUCUUCAUGUUCUUUAUUUAGACACCCAAUCAUUCACUCCAAUCAGCCUCCUCCUCCACCUACACCACCACUAACACCACCAUCACCACACGCCACCGCCGCUGCCGCCACCAUGCAACCCUCUCAACCUCCUUCUCUCAUUGAAAAUUACUUGCGAGACGACGUCAAGUCGCCAGAAUGCGAAGACUUGCUCUCCUCUCUCCCUUCGGAAGAGGGCUGGGUCCAAACCUCUCUCCGCUUGUAUCGGGGCUUCUGGUUCCUCUCUUGGCUCUUGAACAGCGUCUUUGCUUGCCAAAACCAAUUCCAAGUUCACCCCUCUGACAUCCUCCUUGUCACCAGCCCGAAAUGUGGCACCACCUGGCUAAAGGCCAUCCUCUUUGCUCUCUUGAACCAUGCCGAGUACUCUGACUCCAACCCACAACAACGCCACCCUCUCCUAACACAAACCCCCCCACGAUCUUGUGCCCUACUUGGAGCUCGGGCUCUAUCUCCUGAAUAAAAACCCCGAUCUCACUGCUUUUACGUCCCCAAGGCUCUUGGCCACCCACUUGCCUUAUUCCUUGCUUCCGCGAUCGGUGAGGCAUUCCAAUUGCAAGCUGGUUUACUUGUGUAGGAACCCUAAAGACACUUUCAUCUCGAUGUGGCACUACUUCAACAAGUUCAGGCCCGAAGAGAAGGGCCAACUUCCACUCCUAGAGGGCCUCGACAAGUUCUGCGGAGGCAUUAGCGUGUACGGGCCUUACUGGGACCAUGUGCUGGGUUACCACAAGGCGAGCUCGGAGAUGCCCGAGAAGGUUUUGUUUGUGAAGUAUGAGGAGAUGAAAGCGGACACGAGCGUUCAAGUGAGGAGGUUGGCCGAUUUCAACGGGCGUCCAUUCAACGAAGAAGAAUUGAGAAACGGGACCGUGGAGGGAAUACUGAGGAUGUGUAGCUUUGACAAUUUAAGUGCAUCGGAGGUGAAUAGGAGCGGCAAGUUGCCUACUGGAGUAGAGAACAAGAGGCUCUUCAGGAAAGGCGAGGUUGGAGAUUGGGUGAAUUACAUGAGCGCUGAGAUGGGAGAGAGAAUUGACGGUGUCAUGGAAGAAAAGUUGCAUGGUUCUGGUUUGAAGUUUUAGGACAUAUGACCCACUCGAAGAUGUUUGGUUUGAUGGUGGAAAAGAAAAAUGUGUGUAAAAAAGAAGAAAAAAGAAGCAAAAACGAUUCGACUCUCCGCACUUUAGGGGGUCAAUGUCUGGUUGGCCAAUGCAAGCGUGUUUCUCAUGCUAUAGGAUGAAAGAUCUUCAGUGGCUUCGUCUGUGUUGUGUACUAUUGGCGUUUGGCAGAAGUUAUUUGGCCAGUACGUAGCUGGCUAAACAAGAGCUGCCUAGCUGCUCCCUGGGAGCUUGUGGAUGUAUCUUCUGUUAUUUAUUUCAAUUCCAUUUUUCUUUUUCUCUUGGCUGUGUGAAGAUUCGUGGCAUACGAUAUUAAAUACAAAGCAGUUAUUUGGUAGGUUAAGCUACAAAUUAUAUUUGUAAGAUGGAAAAUAAAUUUGUUAUUAAGCUUAUCGGUUUAAUUUGUCGGUUUUCAAAGUCAUAAACUAAAACCAAACGAAUAACCAAAGAAAAAAAAAAUCCUAAACCAAAAUUAAAAUCCUAAAGUGCUAAACUGAGCUUAUCAAUUUUGUUCGGCUCAUGUUGAUCGUUUUUGUUUUUUUUUCUGUUUUUCGUGAACAAUAGAUCCUUGCCGAAGCUGGCCAUGGUUGGGCUGUGGCCAUACCCAUGCGGUUUAUUCUAUUUUCUUUUUUUUUUUUUUAACUUUCUUUCAUUUUAUUUUUUAAGAAUUCAUUAAUUUUCAUUUGUUCCUCUUGUUUUUGGCUCUUUUAAGUGUUUUGAUAAACCGGCUUGUAGUUUGGUUGACCCCCUUUUUAUAAUGUGUUAAUGAGAAUCAAAAAUUAAUUUUGUCAUGCCCUUUAAUUUACUUUGCCAAUUGCUUGCCAAGUGAUGUCUUUAGCUUCCGCGGCUUUAAUCUUGUCCUCUUUUUGCUGAUCGCGUGUUAACGGCCUAGCCAAGCCCACGUUCUUUCGAUGCUAGACUUCAGCCUACCAUCAAUUUUUCCUUCCAUAGAUUGUGCGCAUGAAGGAAUCGAACCAAAUGAAAAGAAGGCAAACGGUGAUAGAAAACGAGGAAAUGAGGAAACGGAGAAGAGAGAGACAAAGCUUGCGUGCGCAUCUCACAGGAACCACGCUAAGCCAGGUUAGCAUCAUUUUGUAAUGCCCAAUAAUUAAUCGAACUCGUUAUUCAUCUAAUCAAAAUAAUUUUGGGAAUUAGGCCGCAAAUUUGAAGUUUAAGUGAAUUUUGAACUGUGAUUAAGGAAUUAUUAAGUUAUGGAUUUAUAUGGAAAUGGUCGACAAUGUUGUGAGCCCACCACAAUCAAUGAGUUUGAAAGAGGGGCCCAAGAUUUGACAUGUGCUCUCAUAUCAUAGAGCAAUACCAAAUCAUAAAAUUUAAAACAUUAAAUGAAAGGAGACUACCAGUAUACAAAAUAUAUCAUAACUAUAAUUUAAGUGAUUUAGAACGAUACUUAAUAGUUUGAAUGGAUGAGACACCAAAUAAUUAUACUAGUGGAGGUAAAGGAUCUCAUUCCAUUUUGGGGUAUCUUCACACAAUAAAUGUUGACACCUAAAUUUUGGUUACCCGUUUAGUCAUUUAUCGCAUUAAGAAAUUAUGGAUUAAUUUUAACCCAUAAAAAAUAUUAAUUAAUUAACUGCAUAGUAUUUAGUUGUAGGUGCAUUUAUUUUUUAUUUGCAUUUUAUUGGACCGGUGGUGAAUGGGUUUAAAUUUAUGUUUAUGAGCUCUAGUUUGGCAGGCCGGUCUAGGCCCACGAAAGGAGCAAAUUAGCCAAAGCCCGUUAUUUUUUAAAUUAAUUAUCUCGUGGGAAAUUGAGAUUUUUUGCGAUAUUAUGGUGAUUUUUAGAAUCAGGUUGUAAUCUUAUCUUUAGUCUUUAGGUGAUAAGAUCGUUGGGAAUAUUAAGGAGAUAAGGAAAAUAAGAGGAUUUUGGGUGAUCGGGAGGUUAUAGAUUAUUUUCGUGUAUAUUGAAAAAAGCGAGAUAAAAUAUCUAUAAAAGCAAUCGUGGACUUACCUAUAAAAGCAAUCGUGGACGGCAAGAGAAGGGGGCUUUUCGAGGUUUCUCUUCGUUGAAAGAGGAAUUAUUCUCGGUUUUCAAAGUAAAAAAAUAACACAAAAGAGAAAGGAAAAAAGCAAGGAAGAGCCGUGCGUGGAGAAAGGGGAAAAGCAAAAAGCAAAAGGAGGAACAGUGUGGGGACAGUGACUGUUCACUGUCUCCUUCCCUUCGCUGCUCACGAUCGUGCACCACCGGUCGGAGGUCCACACCGCCGGGCGACCCGGAGCCUCACGCCGCACCACCGUGCCCACACCGCCGCCACUCCGUUGUGGUCCUCCUUCGACGAGUCUUCACCGCCGUUCCGCCAGUCUCGCCACGACAUCCGGCCCCGCCGUCGUCGCACGCAGCUGCUCCCUUGCCGGUUCGUCUCCCUUGCGCGACCCACUGCCGAGAUCUGCCGUCCUGCCCCACCGCACCUCCGUCUGCGAACACCCUAGCAGACGACCCGACGUUACUCUGUUCUGCCCGUUCGAAGUUGCUGUCGGUGAUGCUACUUCUGCUCUGGUUCUGCUCAUGCCCCAGUAGAUCUCGAGACGGUUCCUCCCUGUUCUGUUCGUGAGUCGCCUGAAGCCACUUUGCUCCGAUGCCCAGCGAGUACCGUGCCACCACACCGACCCGCGAAACGCCCUGCCGUCUGCUGCCGGAGUCCCCGCAACGGAGCUCUGACACCGCGAGCCCAUCUCGUCUGCAACCCGAGCCAGAUUGGUAGCCCUACCGCGCACCACUUCCGAUCCGACGCUGUUCUGCCCGAGUCCGAUUGACCCGAGCCAGAUCUGCCCGACGCUAGUGCCCAGCGCCCGAAGCCAGCAGCCCGCGUCCGACGACCGUGCUCCUGCUUCCGCCGAUGCCGCGCCUCUACCUGCCAGUCUGCUUGCCACCGAUCCCCCUCGCCGGAGCUCCGACCGCGACGCCCUCUGACGAUCGAGAUUCGCUGCCCGGUGACCAGCCACACGAGCAAGCCCACUUUUGCGGAAAGAAAAAAAGAAAAAGAGAAAAAGAAAAAAAUCAGAUUAGGUAGUUUUUCUUUUAUGUUUUGUUUUGUUUUUUUAUCAUUUUUAUUAUUAUGUCUUUAAUAUUCUGUUUUAGUGGAAUUGUUCCUUAAAAUAUUAUUGAUAUCCCAAUAUGAAAUAGUCCCUCAAGCUAGGGAUUGACAGUCCGAUUUUUGCGCCCGAAAUCUGACUCGCAAUCCUUUACAAAAAUCGACAAUUCAAUCUUAAGCCCGAGAUUCGAUUCGCGAUUUAAUUUUAAAAUUGGUCAACCCGAUCUCAUGCACGAGAUAUGGUUCGCCAAUUUUUGGAUAUCAAUAUUGUCUUGCUUGAUUAGAUGUCGUGUGUUUGGAUCAAUUUUAUUUUCAUAAGAGGAAAAAAAAAUUGAAUUAGGGUUAAGUUUGUUUUAGAAUAUUCCUAGUCUAAGGUUUAAAAUCGCAAUCUUAUUUCGAAUUUUUAAAUAAGAAAAUAAAAAAAAUCUGAAUAAGGAUUAGGUUUGUUUUUAUUAUCCUGCAUAUUUAGGAUUGCAAUCUUAUUUCGAAUUUUUAAAUUAAAAAUCUAAAAAAGAAAGUGCAUUCAUUUAGGUUGUUAGUUUUUUUAUUCGAAUUGCAUGUUUAAUUAUGUGAAGUUUUAAUUUCGAAUUUCUUAAAGAAAAAACACAAAAAAAAAAAAAUCAUUGUGCAUAUUAGAUUAGAAUUGCAUGUUUCAUUUUAAAUUUAGAUAAUCUUUUUUAGAUAAAUUGCAUUUUUGAUUUAGAUAAUGUCUUAGUUUAAAUUAGGAUUUAAUAUGACUUAAUCCCCUAGUUUAAAUUAGAUAGAAUCUUAAUCUAGCUAGAUCAUUUCAAAUUUCAUAAAAUUUGUCUUAUGAUAAAUUAGUUGCAAUUUUUAGGAUAGAUUGCAUUUUAAAAAUAAAAAAUGUCAUUUGCACGUCAUACAGAAUUAGGUUAAUGAAAUGCACGUUAUUUUAGUGAUUAUUGUUAGGUUCAUUUCUAAUUAGAAAUUGUCCGUCAUUAGAUUAUGUCAUUUAAUAAAUGUUGCGUGACAUAUAGCUCGCAUAUUAAAUUAUAUGUCAAAUGUCAUUUUAGUUAAAAUAAUCUUGUACGUCAUUGCAUUGCAUCACACGUCAUUAGAAUUAAGUCAUUUUGGUUAAUUUAGAUUGCAUAUUUAAUUAUUGCAUGUUCAUUAAGAAAUCACAAAAUUUUUUAUUCAUUCAUAUAGUUUAGAACAUAUUGCCAUGUCAUAUCAUUUCAUAUUAGAUUAAAAGCAUUGCAUUGCAUAUGGAUUAUAUUUUUGUUGAAAAAUAGAAAACAACAAUUGAGUAAUUGCUUGUUAAUUAAAAAUGAUGUGGAUUUUAAUUUAACACUGCAGAUGCUUUCGUUGCUUUGAGGUAAGUCUUGCAUUAUUUAAUUGCUUUCUUGGGUGUUAAAUUGGUGGUUUGCGCACCUGCAUGAACACCUCACAUGUUAGGGAAAUAGAUUUAAAAUCAAUCCAAAUUGCUUACCAAACAUUUUUCAAAAUAAAAAGAAAGGUACCAAAAGGGCGUUAGAGAAAUCUAACGUAAUCAAGUCCCCGUACCCUUAGUCUUUGGUUCGUAGGAGUAAAGUAAAUCUCCGGUUACUUUACUAGGGUUUCUAAUUGACCUACCAAAAAUAGAUUAGUGGCGACUCCUAGUUAAAAUUCAAUUGCAUGUUAACAAUUCAAACCUAAGUCGCGAAUUGGUAUGGGCUUGGGAGAACCUGAGUUAAGUCUAGGCUUAACAGUCCAUUAGCCAAACCGUAGGUGGUUCACACCCCGAAAAAAGUUGGUCGCGACAAUAAAAUUGCCCUCUAACUUUACAGAAUCCUGCCAUUUUUAUUCAAUUACAGAAAUUAAUUGAAGUGGCCCAAUAGCAUCAUGGUGAGAGGAUCCAAUUCAAAGACACGUAGUCAAUAGCUCACUAUGUAGUGAAAAGAGUGACAUAUGGACUUCCGCAUAAUUUUUUUUAAUAAAAAUUGCCAUAAUUAUCUAUAUCUGCACCAGCCUUCCUAACUAGCUAUGUCACAUAAGAUGGUUGAUAUUCAUGUUAGUAAUUACCAGCCAAAAUUAGUUGAAAUGACUAUAUGGACAAAACAUUGAAUGAUUUAAGAUUAAAUUGGUUAAAUUGAAAAGUUUAGGACUGAAUUAAACCGUAUAAUAGGUUUAUGACUUUUUAAAUAAUUAUCCAUAAUUUUUUAUGAUGAUUGAUAAUGCUUCCUCCUGACAGAGUGAAGUACCACUUACUUUUGAACAGCCAAAAAAUGGAUGAUGCUUACAUAUACAAACAUCAUUACGCUAUAGCUAUAAAUGACUAAAAAAAAUGCAAAUAUGUUCCCUUACAUUAGAUGUACACCAAAUGAACUCAAAAUUGCAUAUCUAACUAAAGAGACAUAUUUUCCUCUAUUCUUGCUAAAGCCAAUCUCAAAGUAGAGGAUUAGACAACCCCCUUGCAUAUUUAACUAUAAAUAAAAUGUGCGCCAUGUCAAACUAUGAUUGGAUGCUCUAACUAGGGUAGCUAAAAAUUUUCUAUGAUGUUAAUUGUUCAUAGGUUAAGAAACAAUGGAAUAUGUAACUGGUUUGUAAUACCAAUUCUUAGAAAAACUCAGAAUAAGUCGUCAGAGUAGAGAAUAAAAGUGAAAAUCAUUUUUUUUUAAAAAGCCGUAUGAAAGCAUCAAAUAAUGCUGGGAAUAUUUAUUUAUUUGGGUUUUUUUUUUUUUAAAGAUAUCCCUCUACACAGGGAAAAUUGGCAAAUUGAUGUUUAUAUUGUUGAAAGACUUGGCCUUGUGCUUGGUGACUUAUCAUGUAUAUCAUUGACUUCAUUUUAAAACACCAGUUCAUAUUUGGUGUUGUAUACAAUACUGGAUUGAUAUUAUAAAAUUUCAUCCACGCUACCCCAGAUACGAGCCAACCAACGAAUAUUUCAAUAGGUUUGCUUUGCUUAGUCGAAAAUAGAGUUAAGUGGGCUACCUUUUAAUUAUUAUUAAAGGAUGAACUGGAACCUUCGAAUGUACUGUUCAGAGUUGACAUGAUACGGAUGCUACUUGUAUAGAAAUUAUAAUUUGCAUUUCGCAAGAUGACAAAGCAUAUUUUGCGUAUGAUAAGUUACUUUAUCCCUGUUGAAGAUGACGUUCACUUGGUAUACUAGUCAUCCCGGAAUUCGAUACAGAAUGCAAAAUGCAGCCGGAGAGAAUCCUUGAUACUUUGGGCGUUCAUCACAGUUUUGAUACUUUGGGAAUUGUUUUAUUGUCUGGGGAUUUUAUAUUUGCUUCCGCAUGCGUAUGAAAAUUAAUGGGUCGGUGAUGCGUCCUGGGACGUUGUUAUUUAAUCGACUAGUGAGGGAUGGGUGCGCGCUCGAGGAUCGGGGCGUGACAUAGAGAGACACUUAAGUGUCAAAAGUUAGGAACGUGACAAUUACGUGCCAAAAUCGAAGCAAAAUGGAUCAUUUAAGAACCAAUAUGGUCAAAAUGUUGACGUGGCAAUUUUCCGGUGAAAUAAGUGCAAAACGGUGUCAUUUUGCAUGCUGAUGUGGCUAGAUAAUGCAAAAACGUCGUUUUGUCUUUGACAUGGUAAAAAAUUAAUAUAAAAAUUCAUUAAAUUAAAUUUAAAACUAAAUUUAUUUAAAACAUUUAAGAAUAAAAAUAAAAGUAAGAAAAAAAUGGGGGGAGGGAGGCGACUGAGGUGCUGAGCCCUCACCGCCACCACCAAGAAGGGUCGGCAAUGGAGGGGGGAGGGUCGGCCGGGGUUGUUGGCCCCCGGCUGACCGGCGAUCUCUCGCCCAGAUCCGGUGAGGGCUCACGGGCCCUCGCCGCUGAUUGGCCGGGGGUUGGCGACCUCGGUUGAUCCUCCCCCCUCCGUCAUCGGCCCUUCCCGGCGACAACGGGGAGACGGUGACCCUGGCCGACCCUCCUCCCUCUGUCGCCGGCCCUUCUCGGCGGUGGCGGGGAGGCGACGGGGGUGAGGGCUCAGCCCUCAAUCGUCUCCCUCCCCUCCCCCUCCUUUAUUUUUAUUUUUACAUGUUUUAAAUAAAUUUAGUUUUUAAUUUAAUUUAAUGAAUUUUAUAUUAAUUUUUUAGUACGUUAGAAAUAAAAACGACAUCGUUUUUGCAUUUUCUAGCCACAUCAGCGUGUUUUGCAUUUACCUCGUUGGAAAAUUGCCAUGUUAGCAUUUUGGCCGGAUUAACACUUAAGUGAUCCAUUUUGCUUCGAUUUUGGCACUUAAGUGUCGCUUUCCUAAUUUUUGGCACUUCAGUAUCCCUUCAUGCUAAGUUUUGGCACUCCAGGUGUUCGGCACUCAUUUUUUAACUGAACAUCGUUCGUGAAGGUCCAUAGGUGUAGAGAGCAAAGCUCAAGCCAUGUGUUCUUGUUUUCUUCAACUAGUUAAUUGAUAACCUUCUACCAUGUCUUUAUUCUUAUAAAAGAAAAUACUUUUAAUACCUUAGCUAAGAUUUCAAGCAAAGUUUAGAGUUCCGAGGCAUUGGCGUGUAUUAUAUGUAUCCUGUUUCUCGAUAUACUUCCAUAAGAUUCCACGAAAGAUUUCCUAGGUUUUCUCGUGCUUGGGUUUUAACGUUACCCGUGAAAAUCUUGUUCAACCACACUCUUGGUAGCAACGACAUGGAGAAGAUACAUUUUGAGACGAAAGACAAGGAAUUCCGAUUUUUUUGGCCCGCCGACCGCUGUCUUUAACUUCUCGGUCAAGUGGCACAAUUUGCUAGAUUUCGUUGAUCAAAAACAAUUUUGAGUUGUUUAAGUGGACACAUCCACUUCUAAUGCUCAAUUUUUUGGGCAAAUAUCACAAAAAAAAAUCCCAUACUAUUCGCACUGUGGCACAAAUAUCGAAAAGUUUUUUAAUAUAUAUUACAAACAAAAUUAUAAACUUGCUCACUGUGGUACAAAUACCUCUUACUUUUUUUCGUGUCAUGAACAAAUCCAAAUUUAUACACAUGUGACAUAAUUAUUCUCUAUUUUAGUUCUAUUCAGAGUAUAUUUGUCACAAUUGGCAAGUUUAGGAUUUCUACUAAUAAAAAAAAAAAUUGUGUCAUAGUUGGUAUAAUUUGAGUUUUUUGAGGUAUUAACCCUUAUUUUUUAUUUUUUUAUAAGUAAUGCUUUAUGUUCUUUUUUGAGCAUGGGUUUUUUAGUCAAUCGCGUGAACGAGAUGCGUGUGUUUUUAUUUAUUAAUAUGACUGAAAAGUAUAUUUGAUCACGGAUGCCACGAGAAAGUGUGCGUAUCCACUCUAGCAUUAUUAAUCCUUGUUAGUUGAUAUAUAGCCUUAAUUAUGUAAUGAAAAUCGUGAACCAGGUGUGGGGUAGUGAGAGUAUUUUGUGUUAUAGAUAGAGUUGUUAGGAUUUGGUUUUAUACACCUGAUCCAGUGCCUCGUCUAAUAGAGUAAAUAAAAGUUCCACGUUAAACGUGCAUUUGAACACAGCCAAAAAAUAGAUGAUGAGUACACAUAAGUAUCUUUACGCUAUCACUAUAAAUGAGUAAAGAAUUCGACAUGUGGGCAUGAGGUUUCACGCUCUUGACCUCGUCACUAUCGUGUGCUAAAUGUCCACCAAAUGGUUCAUUGACUUGAUACUACCCACCUAACUAAAGCGACAUAUCUUUCUCCAUCCUUACUAGAGCCAGACCUCCAUUAGAGGAUUGCAAAUAAGGAUAGAACCUAUUUGUAAAUUUAACUAAGUUGAAAUUUUUGUGAUGUCAAAUUAUAAUUGGAUCUUCUAAUUAGGGACGGAGGAAAUAAUAUGGCCCUUAACUAAUGAUUUUUAUUUUUUGACCAAAAAAAAAGCUAAACAAUUUUUGUUCAUGUGCAUGUUCAAAGUUCAAAGAAAAAGAAGAAGAUUUAAUUGGAUCAAUAUACCAAUUUUCACUAAUAAAUAAAAAAUUCAGAAGAAGCCGUUCAGGUGGAGCCUAAAAGUGAUUUUUUUUUUUCCUACCAUGAGGGCCAUCUCUAUUUAAUGUAUAAAUUGUAAGAGACACCCAACACCAUCUUCAUGUUCUUUAUUUAGACACCCAAUCAUUCACUCCAACCAUCCUCCUCCUCCACCUACACCACCACUACCACCACUAACACCACCAUCUCCAUUUAAUGUAUAAAUUGUAAGAGACACCCAGCACCAUCUUCAUGUUCUUUAUUUAGACACCCAAUCAUUCACUCCAACCGGCCUCCUCCUCCACCUACACCACCACUACCACCACCAUCACCACGCACCGCGGCCACGGCCGCCACCAUGCAACCCUCUCAACCUCCUCCUCUCAAUGAAAAUUACUUGCGAGACGACGUCAAGUCGCCAGAAUGCGAAGACUUGCUCUCCUCUCUCCCUUCGGAAGAGGACUGGAUCCCCACCUCUCUCUCUUCGGAAGAGGACUGUAGCCCCUCCUCUCUCCACUUGUACCAGGGCUUCUGGUUCCCCUCUGGGCUCUUGAACAGCGUCGUUGCUUGCCAAAAUCACUUCCAAGCUCACCCUUCCGACAUCCUCCUCGUCACCAGCCCGAAAUGUGGCACCACCUGGCUAAAGGCCAUCCUCUUUGCUCUCUCGAACCGUGCCGAGUACUCUGACUCCAACCCACAACAACGCCACCCUCUCCUAACACAAAACCCCCACGACCUCGUGCCCUUCUUGGAGUUAAGCUUCAAUCUCCAGAAUAAAAAUCCUGAUCUCACUACUUUUACAUCCCCGAGGCUCUUGGCCACCCACUUGCCUUAUUCCUCUCUUCCACGGUCGGUGAGGGACUCCAAUUGCAAGCUGGUUUACUUAUGUAGGAACCCUAAAGACACUUUCAUCUCGAUGUGGCACCACAUCAACAAGUUGAGGCCCGAAGAGAAGGGCCAACUUCCACUCCCAGAGGGCCUCGACAAGUUCUGUCGAGGCAUGAGCUGGUGUGGGCCUUAUUGGGACCAUGUGCUGGGUUACCACAAGGCGAGCUCCGAGAUGCCUGAGAAGGUGUUGUUCAUGAAGUAUGAGGAGAUGAAAGCGGACCCGAGCGUUCAAGUGAGGAGGUUGGCCGAUUUCAUGGGGCGUCCAUUCAGCGAAGAAGAACUGAGAAACGGGACCGUCGAGGGAAUAUUGAGGAUGUGUAGCUUUGACAAUUUGAGUGCAUUGGAGGUGAAUAGGAGCGGCAAGUUGCUAAUUGGACUAGAGAAGAAGUGGUUCUUCAGGAAAGGCGAGGUUGGAGAUUGGGUGAAUUACAUGAGCGCUGAAAUGGGAGAGCGAAUUGACGGUGUCAUGGAAGAAAAGUUGCAUGGUUCUGGUUUGAAGUUUUAGGACAUAUGACCCACUCGAAGAUAUUUGGUUUGAUGGUGGAAAAGAAAAAUGCGUAAAAAAAGAAGAAAAAAGAAGCAAAAACGAUUCGAUUGUCCGCACUUUAGGGGGUCAAUGUCUGGUUGGCCAAUGCAAGCGUGUUUCUCAUGCUAUAGGAUGAAAGAUCUUCAGUGGCAUUGUCAGUCCUGGCUUCGUCUCCAUAGUGAGAUGCUUUAAGGUUGUGAUUCUAGUCUUCAUCUGUGUUGUGUACUAUUGGCGUUUGGCAGAAGUUAUUUGGCCAGUACGUAGCUGGCUAAACAAGAGCUGCCUAGCUGCUCCCUGGGAGCUUGUGGAUGUAUCUUCUGUUAUUUAUUUCAAUUCCAUUUUUCUUUUUCUCUUGGCUGUGUGAAGAUUCGUGGCAUACGGUAUUUAAAUACAAAGCAGUUAUUUGGUAGGUUAAGCUACAAAUUAUAUUUGUUAGAUGGAAAAUAAAUUUGUUAUUAAGCUUAUCGGUUUAAAUUGUCUGUUUUGGAAGUCAUAAACUAAAACCAAACGAAAAGCCAAAGAAAAAAAAAUCCUAAACCAAAAUUAAAACACUAAACUGCUAAACUGAGCUUAUCAAUUUUGUUCGGCUCGGUCGAUCGUUUUUUCUUCAUGAACAAUCCUACCAGCAUAGAUCCUUGCCGAAGCUGGCUAUGGUUGGGCUGUGGUCAUACCCAUGCGGUUUAUUCUAUUUUUUUUUUUUAUUUUUUUUAACUUUCUUUCAUUUUAUUUUUUAAGAAUUCAUUAAUUUUCAUUUGUUCCUCUUGUUUAUGUCUCUUUUAAGUGUUUUGAUAAACCGGCUUGUAGUUUGGUUGACCCCCUUUUUAUAAUGUGUUAAUGAGAAUCAAAAAUUAAUUUUGUCAUGCCCUUUAAUUUACUUUGCCAAUUGCUUGCCAAGUGAUGUCUUUAGCUUCCGCGGCUUUAAUCUUGUCCUCUUUUUGCUGAUCGCGUGUUAACGGCCUAGCCAAGCCCACGUUCUUUCGAUGCUAGACUUCAGCCUACCAUCAAUUUUUCCUUCCAUAGAUUGUGCGCAUGAAGGAAUCGAACCAAAUGAAAAGAAGGCAAACGGUGAUAGAAAACGAGGAAAAGAGGAAACGGAGAAGAGAGAGACAAAGCUUGAGCGCGCAUCUCACGGGAGAAUUGGAGCUCAGGCGCUAAUGAAAAAAAAAAAAAAACAGCAGACAGGUAUACGGCGGGGUCGAGUCUUCCAAUUUUGGUGGAUUCCUUCAUCAUCGGAGCUUAUUUUGUUUACUAAUUUCGCUUAGACAUAUGGGGUUACCAACUCGAAGCAACUAAGCAACCCUCUCUUCGGUGACCCAACAGAGAACCCAAAGGUCUGCCUAAGGACUGAAUACUACCACUUGCUCAAAAAAAAAAAAAAGGACUGAAUACUGCCAUGGUCCAGAGUUCGGCUCUCAGCCCAACUUACUGUUUCUUUUGGGCCAUAUCUUAUCCUAACCAAUUGGACAGAAAUGGACGGGCAGUUGUGGAAGAGCGUCAGCAAUUAAUGGAUCAGGGAUGCACACGUUAAUGAUAUGAAAUUGAAACGCCCGUCUUCUCAGUUUAUGGAGCUCCAAAGGUGUUUGAUCGGGGCAAACGGAUGAGCUCCAAAGGUCUUCUUAAAUGAAAGGGGACUAGAAGUAUACAAAACAUAUCAUAACUAUAAUUUAAGUGAUUUAGAACGAUACUUAAUAGUUUUAAUGGAUGAAACACCAAAUAAUUUUAUCGAUGGAGGUAAUGAAUCUCAUUCCAUUUUGGGUAUCUUCACAUAAUAAAAUUACCCUCCAACUUUACAGAAUCCUGCAAUUUUUAUUCAGUUAUAGAAAUUAAUUAAAGUGGCCCAAUUGCAUCAUGGUGAGAGGAUCCAAUUCAAAGACAUGUAGUCAAUAGCUCAUUAUGUAGUGAAAAGAGUGAAAUCUGGAGUCCCACAUAAAAAAAACUAAUAAAAAUUGCCAAAAUCAUCCACAUCUGCACCAGCCUUUCUAACUAGUAAUGCCACAUAAAAUUGUCGAUAUUCAUGUCAGUAAUUACUAGUUAAAAUUAACUGGAAUGACUAUAUUGACAAAACAUCGAAAAAUUUAAGAUUAAAUUGGUCAAAUUGAAAAGUUUAGGGCCGAAUUAACCACCGUAUAAUCGGUCCAUGACUUUUUAAAUAAUUAUCCAUAAUUCUUUCUAUUGAAUGAUAAUGCUUCAUUUUGACAGAGUGAAGUACCACUUACUUUUGAACAGCCAAAAAAUGGAUAUGCUUAUAUAUACAAAUGUCAUUACGCUAUACCUAUAAAUGACUAAAAAAAAUGCAAAUAUCUUCACAUACAUUAGAUGUAACACCAAAUGAACUUGAAAUUGCAUAUCUAACUAAAGAGACAUAUUUUCCUCUAUUCUUGCUAAAGCCAAUCUCAAAGUAGAGGAUUAGACAACCCCCUUGCAUAUUUAACUAAAAAUGAAAUGUGUGCCAUGUCAAACUAUGAUUGGAUGCUCUAACUAUGGUAGCUAAAGAUUUUCUAUGAUGUUAAUUGUUCAUAGGUUAAGAAACAACAGAAUAUGUAACUGGCUUGUAAUACCAAUUCUCACCAAUAAAGAGAAAAACUCAGAAUAAGUCGUUAGAGUAGAGAAUAAAAGUGAAAAUCAUUUUUUUACCUGACGAGGAGAUAUGCGUAGAGGAAAUAAUUCUUUACGCAUGAGAUGAAUUUGGUAGGAUGUUAAUUUCUUUCAUCUUGAUACAUACAAAAUGUAAUAUCAUAUAGUAUGAAUUUCGAUGAGUAAAUAUCGAGAAUAUAAAGAUUGGUGUACAAAAUUGAUUUACAUGAUGAAAUAAUAGAUCCCAAUGAGUAUCUAAAUUAAGGAGGACGUAUACAUUCAAGCAUCCAAUAAUAGUUUUGACAUAUACACUGAUAAAUAUCGGUCUUUACCAACCUUGGUAUCAUCAAUUUUUAUUUUUAUUUUUAAAAAAGCCGUAUGAAAGCAUCAAAUAAUGCUGGGAGUAUUUAUUUAUUUGCUAUAUAUAUAUAUAUAUAUAUAUAUAUAUCCCUCUUCACGGGGAAAAUUGGCAGAUUAAUGUUUAUAUUAUUGAAAGACUUGGCCUUGUGUGCUUGGCGACUUCUCAUGUAUAUCAUUGACUUCAUUUUAAAACACCAGUUCAGAUUUAGUGUUGUAUCCAAUAUUGGAUCGAUAUUAUGAAAUUUCAUCCACGCUACCCCGGAUACGAGCCAACCAAUGAAUAUUUCAAUAAGUUUGCUUCGCUUAGUCGAAAAUAGAGUUAAGUGGGAUACCUUUUAACUAUUAUUAAAGGAUUAACAGGAACCUUCGAAUGUACUGUUCAAAGUUGACAUGAUACGGAUGCUACUUGUAUAGAAAUUAUAAUUUGCAUUUCACAAGAUGACAAAACAUAUUUUUGGGGAGAAGUACACUAUCAGUGCCAUAAGUUGUGUGCGGCACUCACUUUGGUGCCAAAAGUUUCUAUUGAAUCACUUAAAUGCCAAAAAAGUUUGAAAAACGAUCAUUUUAGUGCCAACUCUGAUCAGAUUGAUCGGAAAUCCGACAUGACACUUUUUUAUUAAUGUUUUUAUGCUAAUGUGGCUCGCCGGAGAGUACAGUCAGCAUGUAAACCACAAAAUGAUCUCGUUUUGCGUCUUUCUCCCAAGUCAAAACCCUAAAUCCUCAAAUCAAGAGAGAGAGAGAGAGAGAGAGAGAGAGAGAGAGAUGGCAUGGUCGUGUUGUCUUCUUCCCCAAAGAACAACCUCAGCACUAGCCACUCUCUGAGCAGAGCCCAAUCCACCAUCUCCAUCUGUGCCCUCAUUGUUUCCCUCGCACUCCUCAUCUUCUCUCUCUCUCCGCACCUUCGACCCCCCUUCUUCCUCCUCCUCCUCCGCCCUCGCCUCCUAUUUUCCCAUCGGUUCUUGCCCCAGAAACAACCUCAGUCUCUCCUUGCUCACCUAGUCGAGCAACUAUGACGGAGGCCGAGCACGGUGGCCAAGCGACGGUGGCUGAGCACGGUGGCCAAGCAAGCUUGGUCGGCGAGGAUUGAACCAAAAAAAAAAAAAAUCCUAAUUUCAAUCCCAAAUGAGUUGUGUGGCGUCAUUUUUGUGAGGCCAUCCACAUAUGAUGGUAAAACGACAUCGUUUUCUUAAGGAAGAUGGAAAAUGACGUCAUUUAAAAGGCUUGUCAAUUUUUUUUUUUAAAAUAUAAAAGUCACGUAAUCAUUUUGGCAGGAAUCUCUCGUUGGUGACACCAAAAUGAUCGUUUUUCCUCCGAUUUGGCACUUAAGUGAUCCGAUAGAAACUUUUGGCACUAAAGUGAGCGUCGUACACAACUUAUGGCACUGAUAGUGUACUUCUCCCCAUAUUUUUAUGUAUGAUAAGUUACUUUAUCCUUGUUGAAGAUGGCGUUCACUUGGUAUACUAGUAUACUAGUCUUCUCGUGAAUUUGAUACAGAAUGCAAAAUGCACCUAGAGAGAAUCCUCGAUACUUUGGGCGUUCAUCACAGUUUUUGGGCUAACAUUAUAAGAGUUAUUUUGCAUAUGAUGUUUCGGGCAUUGGGUAAUGGCCGUGGAGGGUUUGUCAUGAACAUAAAUUUGGCAUUAGCCACUAGAGAUGAAGUUGAAAUAGAAGACAUCGAGGAAGCCUCAAUUGGAGGAUACAAGUCAUAUCCCAACCAAGUCACGCGGAGCGUCUCCAGAGGCACCAUUGAAAAGCUCGAGCAGAAGAGCUACUCUGUUGGGGAAGCUGACGAAUGCUAUUCUAUUUGUUUAGAGGUAUUGGAUGAGAAAUAUAAAGUGAUGGAGAUACCAUGUUCGCACCUAUGGCACAAUAGGUGCGUCGUCAAGUGGCUCGAGAGGAAUAAUUCGGGUCCACUAUGUCGUGGCAAAGUACAAGCACAAGAUUUAGAGUAGUCAGUUUUAGUUUGUAAGAUUUUCUAAUAAGAAAAUAAUUCUCUUUUUUUUUUCUCCAAUGGAUUAACUAAUCUACUGCAAUGACUUUGGGUACUCAAUGCAGUGCCCGUUGCUACAGUUCCGAAUAUCACCCCUGUUAAAAAACCAAGGUCACCUGUGAUGUCACAGUAGAGACUAUAUAUAGUUUAUGUUUCUUCUAUGGCCAGAACCUGGCAGAGAUAGUAACCUGCAUUUGGAAAGAGAGCAAAACGAAAAGAAAAUUGUCCCAAUCAAUAUUUACAUGAGAACACUCACAAAAGAAUGUUCACAUAAGAGUACGAAACGAGCGGGGAGCAGGGAGCGGGGAGCAGGGAGCGAGGAGCGGGGAGAGGGAGGGAGAGAGGGGGAGGGAGAGAGAGAUUCUUACGCAAACCGACAUACAGAAUAUGUACAACUUUAUUAGCUCGGUUUUGCCAGUUAUCCUAGGCAACAAUGACCCAUUCAUAAGAAAAUGGGCAAAGACGACUAACAGUGUAUUAUGCGCACAUUUGAUAAUCUCAUAUAUAAGCUAUCGUGUAUAUUAGAAAUAAAUUAAUAAGAUUGUUGCAGAUAUUUCUCAAAAAUUUAUUUAUUUUUUUAUAGGUGAAAGAGAAUAUUACUGAAGCACACCAAGGGAGUGGAAACCCAUAUGCAAAAAGAGCUCAGUUACUGGACAAAUUAUGUACAAUGUUAAAGCAUUUCCAUCCGCACGACUUUCUAGGACACCAGAAGCAUAAGAUUUUUAACCAACUUUCAAUAAUUAUAGAAAAUGGCGAUUCUGUUAAAGUUCAUAAAAUAACAAUCAAAACAGAAAAAUCUCUGUUGUUUGAUGGAGAGAAAGGAUAAAAAAAAAAAAAAAAAACAGAGCAUAGCACUUCAUACAUCUUGUGCAAAAGAAAAAACUGUCGAGUACCACAACUAAAUACAAAGCAGAAACUGCUCACAUACGUGCAACACAUAACUGCACACAAACGUGCUAUUAACUUCCUAGAAAAUAGCAAAAACACUAACUGCAUAACUAAAUGAACUUGACUGUUUUUUUUUUUAAACAGAGGAAAACAGAGGAAAAGCACGACUGAAAAUAGCAGCACUGAGACAAUUCCAACAAACUCCUCCUUAGAUCAGUUGCUGCUGCAAAUUCCUAUUUUCUCUCUUAACAGCUCAAAUCUUCUAGCUUGAACUGGUUUUGUGAACAUAUCUGCAAGCUGAUCUUCAGAUUUGCAAUAGACCAACUUAACUUCGCCACUUUGUUGCACCUCACGCAAAAAGAAAAAAAUUGACUUUGAAAUGCUUGGUUUUGCCAUGGAAAACUGGAUUAUGAGAUAUUGCUAAAGCAACUUGAUUAUCCACAUUAACUUCAAUGCAAUCACUAGAAUUCAACCACAAAUCAUUCAUGAUCUUUUUUAGCCACAAAGCUUGAUUUGCAGCUACAGUAGCUGCUAUAAACUCAACUUCUGCUGUGGACUGAACUACAAUCUCUUGCUUUUUGGAACACCAGGAGAAACAAGCAGAACCAAGACUGAAACAAUACCCAUACAUACUUUUAAUGUCAUCUACUGAACCAGCCCAAUCACUAUCAGAAAAUCCUUAUAAAUUAAACUUCUGACCUUUCUUAAACUUCACACCAAAGAACAAUGUUCCUUUGAGAUAUCUCAAGACCCUUUUUGCUGCAACCAAAUGUAACUGACUAGGACUACUCAUAAACCUGGAUAAAACACUCACAGCAAAUAGAAUAUCUGGUUUGGUUACUAUAAGAUACAUGAGACACCCAAUGAGACUUCUAUACAUAGAAGCAUCUACUGCAUCUGUUCCAUCAUUCUUGUGCAGCUUCUCUUUAACAGCCAUAUAUGAGUGCUUACACUUCGACAAUCUUCCAUCUAAAACUUCUUUAGAAUUUCCUUCGUGUAUUUUUCUGACAGAUGAAGAUCUCAUAUGAAACUUGUUUGACUUCUAGACCCAAAAAAUAAGUCAUCUUUCCCAAGUUUGACAUCUCAAAAACUGCAAAUGGAUCUUGCUUCACCUUCUUUAUCAAUUCAAUAUCAUUCCUUGUCACUAAUAGAUCAUCUACAUAAAGUGACAAAAUUACAACACUGUGAUUCACCUUCUUGACAUAAAGAGUGAACUCACUUAAGCUUUUUACAAAGCCAAAAUCCUACAAAUAUCGAUCUAUCUUCUCAUACCAAGCCCUUGGAGCCUGCUUCAGUCCAUAUAGAGCUUUCCUCAACCUGUAUACGUUCUCUUCUUGCCCUUUGAUACUGAAGCCUUCAGGUUGUUCAACAAAAAUCUCCUCCUCAAGCUCUCCAUUCAAGAAUGCAGACUUGACAUCUAACUGAAAUAUAGGCCACCCCUUCUCUGUUGCAAUAGCUAACAGUAGCCUUAUUAUAUCAAGUCGUGCAACGGGAGCAAAUGUUUCAGAAUAGCCUACUCUCCAUAUUUGUGCAUAGCCUUUCACCACCAGUCUAGCUUUGUGUUUAUUGAUAGAACCAUCAGGAUUAAGUUUUGUUCUAAACACCCACUUAACCCUAAUCACAUUCUUAUCAGCUAGUCUAUCAACAAGCUCCCAUGUGUGGUUUUUCUGGAUCAUUGCAAUCUCCUCCUGCAUUGCUGCAAUCCACAUCUGAUCCUCCUUAACUUCCACAAAGUUAGAUGGUUUGAGCAUUGCCACAUUGCUUCUUUCAUAGAUUUCAGCAAGUGACCUUGUGCCUCUCACUAGUAAAUCAUCCAUAUUGUCUUCCAAUCCAUCUAUAACUUCAUCAACCUCUACAUCUGCUGCAAGUUGUUUUUCGAACUGCUACUAUUUUGCACUCUUUCCUUCCAUCCAAUUCCACUCAUCUUCCUCUAGAAAAAUAACAUCUCUGCUCACAGUCACCUUCCUUGUCAUGGGAUGGAAAAUCCUGUGAUUGAAGACUAUACCCAGCUUGUUCCUCUUGACCUCAGGAACAUGAGUGUAACACAAACACCCAAAAACCUUCAAAUUCUUCACAGAAGGUCUAACACCAUGCUAGACUUCAAAAUGUGUUGACUUCUCUAGGGCCUUUGUGGGCAAUCUAUUAGAAAUACUGCAGUAUUAGCUUCUUCAGCCCAGAACUUCUUAGGUAACUUCUUCUCUUGCAUCAUACAUCUAGCCAUCUCCAUAAUGCUUAUGUUUUUCCUCUCAUUGACCCCAUUCUGUUGAGGUGAAUAGGGAGCAGUGAACUGCUGCACAAUUCCUGCUUGCUCACAAUUCAACUUAAACUUGUGAGCAGUAUACUUAGAACCAUUAUUAGACUUGAGCAUUUUGAUUUUCUUUCCACUCUGAUUCUCAACUAAGGUUUUAAACUUCACAAAUACAUCAGCAACUUCAGACUUGGCUUGCAGAAAAUAAAUCCAACUCAUCCUAGUCAUAUCAUCAGUGAAAGUAAUAAAAUACUUGCUACCAUUGAGAGAAGACUUAGACAUAGGUCUACAUAGAUCUGUGUGGACUAAUUACAACUUCUCACAUGCUCUCCAGUCUCCUCAUUUGAAAGGAAAUUUGGCUUGCUUGCCAAGAAGACAAGUUCUGCACUGUGGAAAUUCCUCCUCCAAACUUAGCAAGUCAUCCGCUAAGCUAUUUCUUUGCAUAAAUGACAUGCUCUUCCUGUGAACAUGCCCAAGUCUUUUAUGCCAUAACUCUGCAUUUUCUUCUUUGCACUUUAAAGCCAUUUGUUGCAUCUCUUGUGGCUUGAACAUGAAACUCUUGUCCUUCAUUGGGAUUCUUCGCACUUCUUUGCUAUCUGCAUUAUUAAUAAGACAUUCAUUCCCUUCGAACUUCACUUUAUAGCCCUUCUCAACUAAUUGACCAACACUUAACAGAUUUUGAUCAAUAUUUGGCACAAAAAGAACAUCACUGAUCAGCUUCACCUCCUGAUUUCCUUCAAUAGCCACUGUACCCUUCCCUUGCACUUCGAUAUACUGUCUGUUGCCAAUUCUGACUCUGGACCUGACUGACCUAUCUAGACUCCUAAAUAGCUUCGAAUUGCCAGUCAUAUGAUUGGUACAACCACUAUCCACCAGCCAUGCAUAAUUCCCAAUAGAAGAUCCAAGAAAUGAAGCUACAAACAAGUGCUCUUUCUCAGUUUCAUUCACUGCUACCUGUGCUUCUCUUGCUUGCUGGUAAUUUUUCUCUUUGCAGAUUGCUUCCAUGUGACCCAACUUGUGACAUCUUCUGCAUCAAGCAUCAGGCUUUCUCCAACAUCUAAAAAACUGAUGAUUAGUUCCACCACCGUUUGACAAGGCUUUUUGUUCUUCUUUCAUUUGCUAGACCCACCAGAAUUUCCUUCUUUUGCUACAAACUUGGAGUCAUUAGCAUUUUCUUUGGACUGAAUCCAUUUCUUCCCUUUGCCUUCAUCAUUUGACUUCACUCUAGCUUGCAGCACACACUCUAUAAACUCCUCUUCUCAUCAGUCUUCUGUGCUCCUGUGCCUGCAGAACAUUUAACAAUUCUGCAAGCUUUAUAUCAGCUAAGUCUCUUGUAUUUUCCAAAGAAGCUAUGGUGGCUUCGAACUUCUCUGGAAGAGACACCAGGAUCUCCUGAACAAGUCUUUCAUCCUUCAAGUCAGUCCCUAAAACUCUAAUUUUUUCAACUAUCUCAACCAGCCUAUCAGAGUACUCCUUCACUGACUUUGAAUCCUUCAUCUGCUGUCUCUCAAACUCCCUCAAGAGAUUCAACACCUUCAUGCUCCUUAUCUUCUCAUCUCCCUCGUAUUCAUCCUUCAAGAAAUCCCAUAUUUCCUUUGCAGAAUCACAUCUCAUGAUCCUUGUGAAAAUAGGGGGUGAGAUAGCACCAUACAUGCAAGACUUUGCCUUGGCCUUCCUUGUGAUUAUCUCUUUAUGGUACUUUAUCUCAUUCAAGGUCGGAUUGUCUAGAAGUGGAGCAACCUCAUAAUCAUUCUCCACAGCCUCCCAUAAAUCAUGACCCUCCAAGAAUGCCGUCAUCUUGACAGCCUAAGCCUGAUAAUUUUCCCCAGUAAAGACUAGAGCAGCCAUUGCAAAGAAUCCACUCGGUCCUGCCUCCAUCAGCUUUUUCUUUGCAGAUUGGAAUCAAUCUUCACUCACUUACUCUCACUUCACAGUCCCUUAAGAUCCCACAAACGCUCUGAUACCAAUGUUAAAGCUCAUAAAACAACAAUCAAAAUAGAAAAAUCUCUGUUGUUUGAGGGAGAGAAAGGAUAUAAAAAAAAAAAAAAAAAUAGAGCAUAGCACUUCAUACAAAAAACUGUUGAGUACAACAAUUAAAUACAAAGCAGAAACUGCUCACAUAUGUGCAACACAUAACUAAUUGCAUAACUAAUUGCAAAAACACUAAUUGCAUAACUAAAUGAACUUGACUGUUUUUUUUUAGGAAAAACACGACCAAAAACGGCAGCACUGAGACAAUUCCAACAGUUUCCUCUCCAAUGAAAGCUCUCAUAGUCAGCUCUCGGAAACUUAACUUAAACAGAUGACUUCCAACCAACAGAAUAUAUACAAAGACAUGCACAACAUCUAUCGUUCCAUCAAUGUUGAACACUGACAUAAGUUCUGGUAAUAAUAUAGGUACCUGUGCGGGUAGUCAUCCACCACACCACCAGUGAAUCCAGCACGCAUGGUAGAACUCAGAAUCAACUCUACUGGGCUAUGCUUUCUGGAUAAACUUGAAAAACUGCUCGUUUUGCUCCUUGCCAAGCAUCUAUAUGACGAGCCAAAAAAUGCCCUAAAAACACUUGAGACAAAUGUUGAUUAUUAGCCAGCCAAAUAGGGACUAGAAGUUGAGCAAGAUAGAAAAGAAAAAGAAGAAGAAAUUUUUCGAUUAUUUCGGACAAUCAUCCAGUUAUCAUCCAAUGCUAAGGGAGAAGCUUCAAUCUUAACCACGGCUCCUGAGAGGACUUAUCCACGUUGCAUAACCAAUGCAUGAAAAACAGAUAUAGAAUCAACAAACUACAUAAAAGAAACCAAAAAAGAUUCCAAGUUACCUAGUGUAGAAACUCAGAGAAUUUCCAGAGAGUGUAGCAAGAUUAUGAAAUAAGAAUGAUAACAUGCAAAAUUAAUGACGAAAGAUAAUUAGAAUGUACGAAGACGAUGCAGCAAUGACACAAGGUGUAUCACCAGGCUAUGGUCCAACAGUCCUUCAAACCCAACUAUGCCCAAGUUCUAAACAUUUCAUGUGCACAAUUUACCCCUUGAGUAUCCACUUAAUAACAAGUCAUUCUUACGGAUCGUUCUUUUGGUGUCUAACUAGCAGAUAAAGGGGGAAAGACAGAGAGUUGAAUCUACCAAAGUUGAAGCACAACAGUAGCUACUUUCUGCAGUGAACUUUUCCUAUGGCUCAGUCUUUGAUUUGUUUGGCCCAAGCCAAGAGGUCAACCAUGCAUCCAUAGUGCUCACUAGUUGGAGCGGUGCCAUAACCUUUGCUCACAUGUCCGAACAAGCGCAAUGCUCCAUCGAUUAGACACCUCCGAUUGAAGGCCAUUGGACCUCCAACAAACGUCACAGCAUUUGGUUUAGGGCCCCUAUUUUCCAUCUCGUAGAAAAAAUGCAGCCCAGUUUCAUUCUCACCAUUAACAGCAAACCCCAAUAUCAUCGCACUCCAAGUUGUCAACAUCUUUCAGAGGCAUUUGGUCAAACACUUCUUUGUGCGAAUCCGACGAACCCACAUGUGACAAGAAAAUAAUCAAUGCAAUUCUUGGCCCAAGUUCGUAAACAAUGCCACUCUCAUCUAUGUACUUAUGGACCCAUUUUCCUUCUUUAGAGGCUUCCACAAUAGCACGGCACAAUAGCACGGUGCUAAAGUACGCUAGCCUAAAGAGAUCCACUUAAUUUAACCACUCGUUCCUAACGUAGCCAGAGAUCAAGGCACUGUAGGAAACAUCAUUUUUCCCUGGCACUGAAUCGAACAGCCCUCGAGCUUCCUACAUGAGGCCAAUGCUACAAUACCCAGUGAUAAGGCUCGUCCAGCAAACCACGUCCCGCAUUGAACUCUGAUCAAACGGGCGGCUAGCAACAGUCGCAGCCCAAUGCUUCCGGUACAUGCUUAUCAGAGAACCCACCACGUAUGCAUCACAAUCUGGCCCGAACUUCAUCGCCCGGCGGUGAAGUUGGCCAAGCUAAGGAAGAGCGAGCGCCAUGUCCCGACCAAUGCAGUGGAAGUGCGGGCAUAUGGCGGGCAUAGACAGAGACCAGCCUUCCCACGUUCGAAGUACCCCAAAGAAACCCAUCAUCCCGACUCCCAAGUCGAAGACAAUGGUGGUGGGCGAGUGGAAACACAAGAGAAAACGCGCGCCGCGUAGUUCAUGUGGCGGCGAACGGGAAGCGAGAGAGGCCGGAGAUGAUGGCGUGAGCAUGGAUUUGCUUCGGGUGGUCGGUCGAUGGUUGAGCAUCUUUGGAGAAGGGCGAGCGUGUGAUAUAUUUAUCACUAAUUGGUUGGAUAAUUUCAUCAUUUCACAAUGUGUAAUAAUAAAUAAAAUAUUUAUUCUAUAUAUGUCUUCUUAUUUUCUUAAUAGAGAAAUGAUAUAUUAUAACCGGUCCAUUUAACACCCCUAUCCUAUAAUGUCUUUAGACAUUUUGGCUGUGUUCACAGCCAAUUUAUUAUGGAAAUAGUGAGUUUCAAGAAAUUGAAACCUAAUAUGAUGGGAGAAUCAUUUUAUGCCAUUUAGAACACAGAAGGGAAUACAAAGUUAUCGUGAUUUAUUUCUUGAUCAGUCCGCCCACAAUCAACUUUGGUCACUAAAUAUAUCAUAUUUGAGUGUAAUAAUUAUUGAUCACACUUUGUAAGAGAAAACUGUAAUCCACGCGCAAUUGCAUGACAGAUCAAUCUACCAUAAUCAACUUUGCCCACUCAAAGUAUACCUUGAUAUAUACGAAUAUAAAUAUAAAUAGAGUAGAAAAUUUCCUAAAUAACCACAGUGGAGAGAAAUGAAACAAAAAAGAAAAAAAGUUGAAGACAUUACGACUGGGCUUCAAAAGAACCACUCACCAAGGAUUGAAUUUCUCGAGAGAAAUAGAGAGUCUAAUUGCGUAGAAUAAUAAAAUUGUAAACAUAAAAUAAAAUUUUUCCAUUGGUCAUCAAACAAAAGAAAUACUAAUUCAAUAUUAAGUCUCAUUAAAAGAUAUGUUUGACCUAGGAAUUCUAUAUGCUCUUUUAAGUUAAAUGGCUUUCAAAGGGUGAUUCUUGCACUUGUGAGUCCUUUUUAUAACGAUAUAAACAUGCAUUGAUCAUGAUAUAAACAUGUAUUGAUAUCGUCAAUCCAAUAAAACGGCUGCUCUUUAAUAGACUUUACAUCUUAAACCAUGUUGAAACCAACGUUUUUCCUUCUCUUUGUUGCUUCUCCAAAAAGGCAUGUGUCCCUUUAAAGAGGAAGCAACUAAUUGUACUCAACAAUUUCUAGAUGCAUAAUUGUAAAGGAGAAAUUGGUUUAUGUCAAUAAAUCUUUCAAAUUCAAAUCUCCAUCUAAAAUAUAGAACCAUCAGGGAAAGAAAAAUAAUCAAUCAGGUUUGAGUGAUUUAGUCUGCACCUAGAACCGAACCGAUUAUCAAUGAUUCCAAAUUUUAGGAACUAGGAAUUGGACUAGUGCUCACCCCUAGAUAGUAUGUUUGAAUGUUAAGAAUUUGUGCAACGAACUGAGAUAUUUGGUUUUACGUACCAGGGAAAAUGAUUUUCCUAAAUAAAUCAAUUGAAAACUUUACCUGUGGUACCAUCGGUCGUGGUGGCUCCGCUGGAUAAGGGCUCCAUCGAUCCUUCCCCAAAGGUGAGGGGUUUGAAACCUAGUGGAGGCGCUUGGUGUCUUAAGUGUGUUGUCAAGGUAGUGGGUUCUCUGCUAGCGUCACCCCGGGUUUACCUUGUCACGCCCCGAUCCUCGAGCACGCACACAUCCUUCUACUUGAUCAAUUUUAGAAUGCAAUAUCCCAGGACUAUGUAUCGCCGACCCUUUCAUUUAUUAAGCACAUGUGGAAGCAGUUAUAAAUCCCCAAAUAAUAAAAUAAUGGGAUAGAAAAACAUGUCAUAUUUUUCAUAUUGAAGUCUACAACCAAAACUUUAUACAUGGCAUUAGAUAGAGUACUUCACAAACUAUUCACAAACUUCAAAGUCUCACUCUAUCUACACAUAUACAUAGGGUUCAUAAAAGAGAUGAGAUUUCAAUUCUCAUCUGGGUCAUAUUCAGGAUCAUCCUGAUCCUCUUUUGACUCAUCUUCACUAAGCUCAUUUCCUUCGUGCUCUUCAUCUUUUCCUGGCUCAUCAUCAUCUUCUAGCUCCUCCUCCUCCUCCUCAAGCUCAUGUACGGGCUUGAAAUGUCGUCCCACAACCGGGAUGGGACUACGUCUUAGCAAGUUCUACCCCCACCAAGGCCUGAUUAGUAAACCAUUAUAUUAUAGGCUGCCUAAACACGCACAGGUCAGAGAACUUACCUUGGUCUCAGAUUCCACCUGUCAUAAUAGGCACCCACUUACUUAAACAAAUCGAACCAAUUGAUUACAUGUCACUCGAUUCAAUCCCCACGGUGGAAUAUCUAGAAGUUAGGCCACGUGCAUUCUCCAAGACGACAUACCAAGUCUCCAAGCCACGUGCCUUAAACCUUGGGCCCACGUGCAUUCUAUAAGGCGACCUCUUCACCAAAGUGGUACAUCAAGUCACCGAGCCACGUGCCCUUUUAGAUGCCAUUCUCGAAUACUGGACCCAUGUGCAUUCUCUAAGGUACUAGUUCACCAAAGUGACGCAUCAGAUCACUGAGCCACGUGUCCUUUUAGAUGCCACUUUGGAACGUCGGGCCCACGUGCAUUCUCUAAUACACUAGUUCGCCAAAGUGACGCAUCAGAUCACCGAGCCACGUGCCAUUUUAGAUGCCAUAUUCUGUCACCGAGCCAUGUGCAUUCUCCAGAAGGACAUACCGAGUCUCCGAGCCACGUGUAUUCUCUAAGGCGACAUCUUCGCCAAGAUGACAUAUUCAACCACCGAACUCACGUGCAUUCUCCAGGUGAUAUUCCAAUUCACCGAGCCCACGUAUUUUCUUUCAAGUGAUAACCAACUUACUUUCGAUACCGACAAUCAAUACUCAACGAUUUCUCAAUCAAAUAAUUAACAAUCAACUCAAUAAUCACAUAUCCCAAAAUUCACAAUUUAAAUCAAUUACAUACAAAUUGAAGCUCAAUUAAAUAAACGGACUACACCAUGACGAUUAGCGUGAAAUUCCGGUCACCGGCCAUCCCAGUUGAAUUUCCGGAAAAAUAAAUAAAUAAUUAAUUAAUUUCGAAAAUUAAUAAUUAAUUACUAAAAAUCCAAUUUAGGCCUGUAAUGUCUAAUUGAAGCCCACUAAGGGUUGGGAAAAAUCCUGAGAUACAUUCAAUAAAUAGUAGACUAUGUCUACUUGCUAAUUACACAAUCAAAAUGUCUAAUAUGCAUUACGAUUGUCUAAUAAUCACUAAUCUACUCUAAUCUAACCACCUAAUUACACUUAAAUAAAUCUAAUCAAUCCCUAAGCAAAAUUAGCAAACUAAGCAGGGAUUAGUGAGAUUACUCACUUGUGAAAAGUGAAGAUCGGAACACCGCGACAGUGACGCGACGGUGGUUGAAUUUGGGCUCGCGACGACACCACGAGCUUGGACCGGGCCUAAAAGGCCUUACAAGCUCACGACAAAUUGAUGGGCUUGAUCUCGAGCUUGGGUUGCAGCUGGGUUGGGCUUGCUUUGCGGGCCCAAGAUGGGCUGAAAUGCUGAAUUAAUGGGCUGGCUUCUUGGGCUGCAACUUAAAUGGACAAAGCUGACACGGGCUUCAAAGCUGGACUGCUGGGCUUUGAAAUUUCGCUGGGCCUCAUGGGCUGAACAAGAAAGCCCAAAGGAGCUGCUGCUUCGGUGGAUUACGUGGGCUGUUGCAGGGCGAAAUCGAGGGAACUGGCAACGAAAAAGAGAACGGCGUCGAGGUGGGCUGCUUCGCUCGUUGAUUCGGCAGUGGUUGAAGAAGCAGUAGAUUCGGUGGAGAGGUUGACCGAAUGAAGAUGCAGCGCUGAACGGUAGCUUCGGCGGCAGAGGAGAACCGAUCGCUGCUGGGGGAGUCAACCUCGUGAGCAAGACACGGCGGCAGCUGCAGCGUGAGACGGCAGAGGGAGAAAACGAAGAUGGAGCAGCUUCGGACGGAUGCUGCUUCAAACGGAUGUUGCUUCGAUGGGGUUUUGCAGGCGUGGAGUGGAGGCGCGGCCUUGUGGCGUGGGGCAGCACUUCGGAGGAAACUCCAAAUGAAAGGAACAAAACCAGAAGAAGUGGGGGCAGCUCGCAUGGGUGAAGGUGUAGUGAAGAGAGAGAGAGAGAUCGGUGGGUCGCUGGUCCUUUUUCCGAACUGAAGAAAACAAAAAGCAGAAAAGAAACAAAUAAAAGAGGGAAGGGAUAAGGGAAGAAGGGAGUGUCAGCAGGUGGUGGGCCAAGGAGGAAAUGUGCGAAAUGGAUAGAGAGAGAGAGAGAGAGCCGUGAAAGGGGAUAAGAAGAGACCGGUCAAAGAAGAAAGGAAAAUUGAAGACCAAGCAGAGAGUUGUCGGGUGAGGGAAAGCACGUGCGAGGGAGAGUGAGAGAGAGGGGAAGACCGAAGGAAAUGGGGAAAAAUUAACAGGAUUUCAAUAUUAAUCCAAUCUUGGUCCCGCGACUUCCAUUCAAUCUAAUUUGAUCCCCAAAAAUUCCCAAGAUGAAAUACGUGAUCCUCACUUGCUUUCUUGCACCAUAAUUCCCUCAAAUAACAAGUCUUUGACAACAAAAACGGUAAUUUUCCCUCAAUUCCGAAUUCUACUUUAUUUUUCUCGGCAUUUGAUUUUCUGAACAAACAAAUCUGGUUGAGGUCUAAUUCAAACGCAGAAAAAGCCCAAACAACAUCUAUUUACCGAUUCAUUUACACCAGAUGCCAAAAGUCUCUUCAAAUUGGCUAAUCCGUAUUUCCAUGCAUUUUUCGAAUCAUCCAUCUCGAUUUUCCGAAAAAUCCCGAAUUCUCUAGAAUUUCCUCAAAAGGUGAGUCGACGUUCUUAGAAUGACUCAUGACAUGAUAGGACUUCCAAUUUCUGAAAUUGAAUUCAAAUUCGUUGUUAUUUUCAAUCAAACGUGCUUUUGGUGUGACCUUGCCUAUUGGGUAGCUUUUAGGAAUUUUUGGUGCAAUUGACCCAUGGUCGAUUUUCUUCGAACCACAAUAAACCCAUUCGACACAUUGGCGACUCUCGGUGGUCGUGAAAAUCUCGAGAUUUCAAAUACGGAUACAGGGUACCAAAACAACAAUAAAAUCAAACUAGUGCCGAUCGAUGAGAAUUUUCCAAUUUAGUGAAGUCACCCACGAUCGGCCACACAUCUCGGUCGAACCGACCUAUCUCUGAUCUUAAUUCGAUUUUUAACUGUGCCGUAAUGACCUCUAAAGAUGAGCACGGUCGAGAAACCGAUUCCUGGUUAAACUUUCAAGUCUAUUGCAUUUAAAAUCCCUUAAUGGCUUCACCAAAUAGGCCAGUUAUCUCCUGAGUAGCCAUUUCAGAGAAAAACACUAUAGUCACGUUGAUGAAAAGCCUGACUUAUUCGAUUGAAAUCAGACCCUGAAAAUCAAGAUGUCACUUACCUCGCCGACUGCCAGCUGUACAGGGGUUCCCGGGUCAUCAAAAAAAAAAAAAACUUUACCUAUGGUUAUGGAAAUUUCUAGGAAGAGUUUAACUAAGCGAUGCAAAUAUUUUUUAAUGGAAGAAGUACACUUUAAGUGCCAAAACUUGGCACGGAGGGACACUUAAGUGUUAAAAGUUAGGAAAAUAACACUCAAGUGCCAAAAUUGGAGCAAAAUGGAUCACUUAAGUAUCAAUUCGGCCAAAAUGCCGAUGUGGCAAUUUUCUGGCGAAAUAAGUGCAAAAUGGUGAUGUUUUUUCAUGCUAAUGUGGCUAGAUAAUGUAAAAACGACGUCGUUUUAUCUCUAACGUGAUAAAAAAUUAAUAUAAAAAUUAAUUAAAUUAAAUUUAAAACUACAUUUAUUUAAAACAUUUAAAAAUAAAAAUAUAAAAAGGGGGGGGGGGGGGGGGAGGGAGGCAGCUGAGGGCUGAGCCCUCGCCGCUGCCGCCUCCCUGCUGAUGCCGGGGUCACUGGCCCCUGACCGACGUACAUCGCUGCAAUUACNNNNNNNNNNNNNNNNNNNNNNNNNNNNNNNNNNNNNNNNNNNNNNNNNNNNNNNNNNNNNNNNNNNNNNNNNNNNNNNNNNNNNNNNNNNNNNNNNNNNGCCGGUUGGCCGGGGGUUGGCGACCCUAGCCAACCCUCUCCCCUCUAUCGCCAGGCCUUCUUAGCGACGGCAGCGGCGAGGCCUCAGCUCUCAGUUGCCUCCCUCCCCUCCCCACCUUUUAUUUUUAUUUUUAUAUGUUUUAAAUAAAUUUAGUUUUAAAUUAAAUUUAAUUUUUUAUAUUAAAUUUUUACCACGUCAGAGAUAAAACGAGGUUGUUUUUGCAUUUUCUAGUCACAUCAGCGUGCAAAACGAUGUUGCUUUGCACUUAUCUCGUCGAAAAAUUGCAACGUUAGCAUUUUGGCCGGAUUGACACUUAAGUGAACUAUUUUGCUCCUAUUUUGGCAUUUAAAUGUCACUUUCAUAACUUUUGACACUUAAGUGUCCCUUUAUGCCAAGUUUUGGCACUCCAAGUAUCCCGCACUCAUUUUUUAACUGAACACUGGUCACGAAGGUCCAUAGGUGUAGAGAGCAAAGCUCAAGUCAUAUGUAUUCUUGUUUUCUUCAACUAGUUAAUUGAUAACCUUCUACCAUGUCUUUAUUCAUAUAAAAGAAAAUACUUUUAAUACCUUAGCUAAGAUUUCAAGCAAAGUUUAGAGUUCCGAGGCAUUGGCGUGUAUUAUAUGUAUCCUGUUUUUGUGCAAGAAUCUAGCAUUGCACAAAAAUAGAAUUCCAAGAAUACAACCCUUUCGAUGUCUUGCCGAAAUAAUUCAUGCUUAGCACAUCAACAAACACAAUAAAGUGACCCAAAUGCUGCAUCUUCUCGAUAUAUAUAUAUGUGUGUGUGUGUGUGUGUGUGUGUGUAAUUAUAUUGUCGAGCUUCUCAAUAGCGUUGACUUUUGUGCAUUCAUCACUACGUGGAAAGAAUAAAAGAAACUCUUGAGCUCUAGUCGAGCUCUCGUUUUUACUCGAAGCAGUCACAUGCCAGUAUUAAAAACAAGGCAAAGAUCAAAUUGCAGAGAGGACGAGCAGUUAGUAGUCUCUCUUCCACAAUGGUCCAAAGGAACUCUGCUGCUUCUCUGUGCGCCGUAUUGCCAGGGUACCCUUGGAUCUAUCACCACCUGAUCAACAGCUUCCAAUGAAUUCUCCACGGGUGGCUUAAGAGGCCAAAAAUUUCCAUUCCUAGGGAUUAAAGAUGCUGGCAAGUUCUCGUCAUGGCGCCAUCGCUAACCUCGGCUCUGUGUGCUUGCCUGUCAAUCUAUGCCUCAACCCACUUGACCUCAAACCCUCAAGUUUAAAGGAGUCUUACCCGGUAGGGGAGCAAGAGUUGGUCAUUUAGGUAUCAAGAACUCUCUGGGGACAGAAUCUAUGUCCACGUAACAAUUUUUGGCUUAGCAUCAGCACUCUGCGCAGCCUAGUCAUCAGACUGAAUCAAAGGUUAGCAUUUCCCAUUACCUAAUAAGAGUAAAAGACACUAAAACAAUCACAAUCUGUCCUCGUAAGUGACAAAUGAACAGGACACGGAGUUGGCCAUAAAGACAAAGGUAUGCAACAGGGCUGAUGAAACCAUACCUUAGAUGCUCCUAUAUACCGAGUAAACAUGGGCUUCGUGUGGUAAGAGACAGAACCACCUCAGUGGGAUUCCCGACCAUAUGUAAUAUCACAAAUUAAGGUCUAAGCAAUGGAUCUCUGUAACAUAUUUAAUCAUGUUACUUCACCAGUCUCACUAUCGAUUAGGCAUUCUUGGUAAUAGUAUUUGGAAGGGACAACAUGGAUUUGUUAAUGCAUCCUAUACUGAACAGACAACAACAUUGUUGCGCGAUCCAGCUUGCUGAAACAGAAACAGAAACAUCGAGCAGCACCAAGAGAAAGGGAAGGAAGAACUGCCACCUGAUUGGCCUACACUGCCUCAUCAAUGACUGCCAUUUCGAAACCAUGAGAAAGGCGAGAGAAUAAAUUUCUACCACUACUUGAUAGGGUAGUGAAGACAAUCUCAGCUUCAUAUGAGAUCCAUUUAUCAAAGAAGCAUAAACUUUUUCUUUAACUAUGUGAUGUGAUUUGCAUAUGGAUUGAUGGAUCUAAAUUGCCAAUCACGCAUUGAUGCUACGCUUAGUAUCAUAUGGGAAUAAAUUUACUCAUCUGAAUUCCCAUCGUUGAAUCAUACUACACUUUUCGACAUCCUCCAAAGAUACUACCCAGCAGAAUUCCACUUUGCUUUUAAUAACCCUUGACGACAGAAAUGCAAUGCAACUCAUGCAUACAUGUGAUUAGCAUUACAUUGAUCAGAUUUUUGUUCUUCAAAAACCCCAACUCUCCAUUCCAUUCCCACCACGACACGCAAGAGGGAAGCAACUCACGAGUGUUGAUUAGCACAAACUGUCAUCUUCCCAAUUGUGUGCGACACAACUUACUCCGGCGGGAGAGACCGAAGAGGGAUAGGUGAACUGUGCAGUGGACUGAGAGGGGGCGUAAAACCACCGCCGGAGAAAGCAGCAGCGGUGCCCUCGCCCUCGAAUUGGCUUCCGAAUGUGGCCAUCUUCUCUCUCUCUCUCUCUCUCUCUCUCUCUCUCUCUCUGUUUCACUUGAUCAAGAGGAAUUGUUCCCAUUGUUGGUUCAUUCGAUUCUCGGAAUUUUUUUUUUUUUACUGUUAUGGAGCUGUUUUUCCGUUUUUCCGUCUGUUUCUCGAUAUACUUCCAUAAGAUUCCACGAAAGAUUUCCUGGGUUUUCUCGUGCUUGGGUUUCCCGUGAAAUCUUGUUCAACCCACUCUUGGUAGCAACGGCAAGGAGAAAAUAGUCUAUUGCGGAUACAGUUUGAGGCUAAAGACAAGAAAUUCCGAUUAUUUUGGCCCACCGACCGCUGUCUUUAAUUUCUCGGUCAAGUGGCACCAUUUGCUAGUUUUUGUUGAUCAAAAAAAAUUUUGAGUUGUUUAAGUGGACACAUCCACUUCUAAUGCUCAAUUUUUUGGGCAAACAUCACAAAAAAUCUCAUACCAUUCGCACUGUGGCAUAUAUAUAUUACAAAAAAAUUAUAAACUUGCCCAUUGUGGCAGAAAUACUUCUUACUUUUUUUUCGUGUCACGAACAAAUCCAAUGUAUAUAUAAAUAUUUUCUAUUUCAGUUAUGUUUAGAGUAUAUUUGUCACAAUUGGCAAGUUUAGGAUUUCUACUAAUAAAAAAAAAAUUAAGGUAUUUGUGUCAUAGUUGGUAUAAUUUGAGUUUUUUUGAGGUAUUAAAUCCUUAUUUUUUAUUUAUUUAUACGCAAUGCUUUAUUUGCCUUUUUGAGCAUGGGUUUUUUUUUAUUCAAUCAUGUGAUUGAGAUGCGUUUGUUUUUAUUUAUUAAUAUAACUGAGAAAGAAAAUAUUUGAUCACGGAUGCUGAGAGAAAGUGUGCGUAUCCACUCUAGCAUUAUUAAUCCUCGUUAGUUGAUAAUAUAUCUAGCCUUAAUCAUGUAAUGAAAAUCGCGAAUAAAGUGUGGGGUAGUGAGAGUAUUUUGUGUUAUAUAUAGAGUGGUUAGGAUUUGGUUUUAUACACCUGAUCCAGUGCCUUAUCUGAUAGUGUAAAUGAAAGUUCCACGUUAAACGUGCAUUUGAACACAGCCAAAAAAUAAAAUUAAAAGAAAAAACACAGCCAAAAAAUAGAUGAUGAGUACACAUACAAGUAUCUUCACCCUGCAGCUAUAAACGAUUAAAGAAUUCGACAUAUGGGCCUGAGGUUUCAUGCUCUUGAUGUCGUCACUCUCGUGUGCUAAAUGUCCACCAAAUGGUUCAUUGACUUGAUACUACACACCUAACUAAAGCGGCAUAUCUUUCUCCAUCCCUAAUAGAGCCAGACCUCCAUUAGAGGAUUGCAAAUAAGGAUAGAACCCAUUUGUAAAUUUAACUAAGUCGAAAUUUUUGUGAUGUCAAAUUAUAAUUGGAUCCUCUAAUUAGGAAUAGAGGAAAUAACAUAGCCCUUAACUAAAUGAUAUUUAUUUUUUGACCAUAAAAAAAAGCUAGACAAUUUUUGUUCAUGUGCAUGUUCAAAGUUCAAAAGAAAAAGAAGAAGAUUUAAUUGGAUCAAUAUACCAACUUUCACUAAUAAAUAAAAAAUUCCGAAGAAGCCGUUCAGGUGGAGUCUAAAAGUGAUUUUUUUUUCCUACUAUGAGGACCAUCUCCAUUUAAUGUAUAAAUUUCAAGAGACACCCAACACCAUCUUCAUGUUCUUUAUUUAGACACCCAAUCAUUCACUCCAACCAGCCUCCUCCUCCACCUACACCACCACUACCACCACCAUCACCACAUGCCACUGCCGCUACCGCCACCAUGCAACCCUCUCAACCUCCUCCUCUCAUUGAAAAUUACUUGCGAGACAACGUCAAGUCGCCAGAAUGCGAAGACUUGCUCUCCUCUCUCCCUUCGGAAGAGGGCUGGGUCCAAACCUCUCUCCGCUCGUAUCGGGGCUUCUGGUUCCCCUCUUGGCUCUUGAACAGCGUCCUUGCUUGCCAAAACCAAUUCCAAGCUCACCCCUCUGACAUCCUCCUCGUCACCAGCCCAAAAUGUGGCACCACCUGGCUAAAGGCCAUCCUCUUUGCUCUCCUGAACCGUGCCGAGUACUCUGACUCCAACCCACAACAACGCCACCCUCUCCUAACACAAACCCCCACGAUCUUGUGCCCUACUUGGAGCUCGGGCUCUAUCUCCUGAAUAAAAAC
rnacentral:lncRNA from 1 species